rnacentral:lncRNA from 1 species
CUUCAAAACCAUUGUUGGACAUAGCUAAUCUCUGCAAAAACGAUGCAUUCCCUAUCCAUCUUGGGAGCUUUCCAUGCAACUUGUUGUUACUGAGAUCAAUUUCGCUUAGUGAAUUUGGAAACUCAAAAGUAGACACAUCAACAUUUGUCAUCUCUCCUGAAAAAUUAUUUCCAUCCAAAUAUAAAUGCUGCACCCCAUUUGCGCUGAGAAUCACAGGAACUACAUUUCCACUGAGGUUGUUAUUUGAUAGUCUCAAAAUGGUCAGUGAGCCUUUCGUGAUCAACUCUUCUGGUACUUUUCCAUACAAAUGAUUGUCUAAUAGAUCUAAAAAUGAUAAGUCCUUCAUGCCACUUAAACAAAGUGGGAUAUUAUCUUCAAAAGCAUUCUUGGAUAAGAAUAACCGACUCAAAUGUGGAAAAGUUGAACAUAUACCAGUUGGAAUUUGACCUUGUAAUUUGUUUUCAGAUAUGUCAAUUGAAGAUACAUCAGAAAUAAGAGCCGACGAAAGUGAGAGAGGACCUGUAAAUGAAUUACCCUUCAAGAUGAGAUCUUCUAACUUUGUGUUGUUUUCUAGCAACCAAGUUGGUACAGUUCCACUGAGAUUGUUAUGAGAAAGAUCCACAUAUCUCAAGUCAUAUUGGUAGUAAAGGAAGGUAGGAAAUUUACGAUUGAGUUGUUGAGAUGCUAUGCACUUUGGCAAUCUGAUGACUUCCAAUUGGAACUUUGGGAUUGAGGUAUAAAAGGAAGAUUCCAUUACCAUCUUGUUUUCAUUAAUCGAAAGGGCUUUGAGGUUUGAAAGGUUUGCAAAUGGUGCAAAUGACAGCGGAAUUUGAAAAUGGUUUCUUGAAACAUCUAACACACGAAGAGAUGUCAAGUUACUAAAACAACGAGGAAGCAUCCCCUCAAGUGCAUUGUUGCUCACAUCCAAUACUUCAAGGUUCUUUAGAUCACACCAUCCUGAAAAAUUUAUAAAUUCAUGGAAGAAAUUUUAAUUAAAUUUGGUCCUAUUAAAUAGAAUAGGAGAUAUUAUAUUACAAAAGCUAGUAAAGAAAUCAAUUUGAGCCAUAAAAUUAUUUACCUUGAUUAGGUAAGGGACCAAUAAGUCCACAAUGAUAUAAAGACAAUGUUUUAAGAGAAGCGAAUACUCCAAUGCUUUGCAAAAUGUUGGUGUUGAGAGUAGAAUAGUCAAGAUAUAUUUCCUCCAAACUGCUCGACACAUUUGAAUCUAAGCAAUGUCAAGAGGUAUUAGAUAACGGUAUUAUAGAAAGCCUCUACUAAGUAGAAUGCUUUAUUUUCUGUGAAUGAAAUGAAGUAUAUAAAUAUAUAUAUAUAUUUUUUAUGAGUUAGAUUAUUCAUGAUUUAUCUGAGAUAAAUUUUGAUAGAGAGAAGAUGUUGAAACUUUAAUAUAACUCUUCAUCCAUUUUAUUAAUUAUACUAUUUUUUUUCUUUUUAGUAUUUUCUUAUAUUAUUUUUUAAUAUAAGUAAUUAACUGAUAUAGCUAAGUUGUAUAAUUUUCAAACUCCAAUCAACAACACUAUAAAUAAUAUUUAUAAAAUAAAACAUGUCUACACUAAAUGUAUGUUUAAAUUUCAUAAAAUUGAAGAUAUUUUUAAAUUAUUCAAAAUUCACAUGUCUACACUAUAAAUAAUAUUUAUAAAAUAAAACAUGUCUACACUAAAAUUAUUAUAUUACCUUUAAAGAUGCCAAUAGUAUAUAAAAAAAUCAAAUAGGUAUUUUACUCAACAAUAAAUAAAACUCAAAAGAAUUAUAAGUAAACUCAGCGGAUUAAAUGAAAAUUUUAAAGCAUUAAAUCUUGGCCCAAAAAUAGAGUUAAGUUAAAAUUCAAAAUUCAAAAUUAUUUUAUUAAUAUUGUUAAAAUUAUUUUAUUAAAUCCAUGUUCAUUACGUCAUUUUUUUAGUUACAUUACUACUAAGUUUUUUUUUUAUUUCAAAAUGUCACACCAACAAGCUAUUUUAAAAUUUUAACAAUUUUAACAAUUUAACUAGGAUUUUGAUUUUUUUUUAUAAAAAAAACAGGGAUUAAAUUCUUGAAAAUAAAAGUAUAAGAAUUAAAUUACAAAUUAGUAAAGAGUACAUAGACCUAUCAUAUUUUUUAAAACCAAAAAGUUAAAAACAUAUGCACUUUGAAAUUUAUAAAAAGAUUGCAAUGGAAGUUUAAGCACCUCUCAAUGUAUGUUUAAAUUUCACAAAAUUAAAGUUUUUUUUUAAAUUAUUCAAAAUUGACAUUUAUUUAUUUUUGCCAAAAAAUGCCAUUUAUUUAACGCUAAUAUGUAUUUUUAUGUUUUAUACUAUUAAAAAUAUAUGAAAUUAAAAUAUAGUUAUAUUACAUAUUUUCUCAUAAAUAUAUGUUUUUAUUUAUUUAUAAUAUCAUUUUUUAUUGUUAUAAUUAUUUUUUAUCUCAUAAAAAUUCAAUAAAUUAUUUUAAAAAAUAUAUUUAUACAAACAAAAUAAUUAUAAACAUUAAUAUUUUAAAAUGAUGAAAAUUUUAAAGAAUUUUAGUUUCAAACCAAAGUCCAAACACAUUAUAAUGGAUGAUUUAGAAAAUGUUUCACCAAACCCAUAUUUUACUUUCAAGUAUGAUAUGAUAUAACUUUAUUAAUAUUUAUGACAAUAACCGUUAUUAUAAUAUUUGACAUCAAAACUAAAUUUCUAAAUUAAAAAAAAAAAGGAAGUUUAAUUAAAUGAUACCUUGGUGGAUCACCAAAUCUUUCAAUUCAUUAUAGCUCAUAUCUAGUUUCCUUAAGUUGAUAAAUGCUUCCAAAUCUAGGAAAACAAAAACAACAAAUCAACUUCAUUAUAUUCUCUUAAAACAUUAUUAUAUUCUUGUUAAAAAACUAAUACUUUUACCUUUCAUAUCUAUUGAUCCUUUCAAUUCAUUGCCUCUUAUGCUCAAAGAUUUCAAAUUUGAAAGCUUGUUAAGGGAUGCAAAUACACUAGUAUUGAAGUGAUUUCCAUCUAAAUUAAGCUCUUCCAAGUGGGUCAAUUCCAAUUUUCUACCAUCAUCUACAAAAGAUUUAUAUAAUUUCAUCAUCUACCAUCACUAAUUUCAUCUACCAAUUUGUUAAAUUGCUCAAUCCUAUACAUAUCCACGUACAAUUCAAAAAAUCAUUAUGUUAAUAAUUUUAAUUUCUACUUAAUAUUUUAAUGAAAUAAAAAUGAAAAAAAAAAGUAAAUCUAAAACUUGAAUUGAAGAUAAAAAUCCUCAAACGUGAAAUGUGAAUGUUCAAAUUUGAAACAAUUAAUUUUAAAAGGCUCUAGAAAGAAUUAUCAAGAAAAACAAAGUUAUAGCUUUAGUACCUUUAGUAUCUAAUGAGCCUUGCAAACGGUUGUUGAACAAAGUCAAAGACUUUAGGCUUGAAAGCCCUUGAGGAAAGGAAAUUGUGUUGUUCCGAAAGAGAUUACCACUCAAAUAAAGUUCCUCUAAGUUUGUUAGCCUCAAUUGUGUUCCAUCUAUCAUUGGAAGAAAGUAAUUAGUAUAGUUAACAUCAUUCAAGAUAUAAAUAGUUAGGAAAAAUGUUUGUUUGAGAAGGAAGAGCCAAUUUACAAGCUUUCCGAUGAAUUGAUUCAAUAUAUAAAUACUUUGUUUGAGAUACCUUCCUACUUAAAUUACUCAAUUUUGAAAUUUAAUCCCAAAUAUUGAUUACUUAUAUAUAUUCAUGAUAUGAUAAAAUCAAAUGACUUAUUGCAACAACUUUUCCUUCAACAUGAAUUUAUUUUAAAGAAUGCUAUUCUUCAAAUAAUUCCAACUUAUAUCAAUAAUUUCCAAUUUAAUGAGCCAUUGAAAACCUCAUUUAUAUAUUAUAUAAUUAGUUACUACAAAACUUAAAUAAAUAAUAAUACUCCAUUUUUGCAAUAAAAAUUCACUAAAGAAAAUACAUUUGAAGUCUGUCAUUGCCUUUUGGAAUAAGAGUCGGUCAAGAAAGUUACUAUGCAGAAAUACUUAUACCUUUGUUUGAGAUGCUUUCAAUGUCGUUCCAACUUAAAUCCAAGUACUUCAAAUUUGUCAAAUUAUUCAAUCCUGAAAUUCAAUCCCAAAUAUUGAUCAGUUAUAUAUAUAUAUUCAUGAUAUGAUAAAAGCAAAGACAUAUUGCAACAUUAACUGUCCCUUAAACAAAAAUUGGUUUUAAAGUAAAAAAGAAACAUAUAAAACCAGUCUACCUUUAAUAUGAAUUGACAUAUAAAUACUGUACUUAUACCUUUGUUUGAGAUGCUUUCAAUUCUGUUCCAACUUAAAUCCAAGUAUUUCAAGUUUGACAAAUUAUUCAAUCCUGAAAUUCAAUCCCAAAUAUUGAUUAGUUAUAUAUAUUCAUCGUAUGAUAAAAUCAAACUUGAACAUACAUUGAUUUUUAAAUCAAGGAUGAAAGAUUUCUCAUAUGAAACAAAAUGCUAUUCUUCAAAGAAUUCCCACUUAAAUCAAGAGUUUCCAAGUUAUUGAGUCUUGAAAGCAAUUGAAAACCUGAUAUAUAUAUUUACUUGUUAAUUGUUUUUUCUUUCUUAGCCAUAUGAAAAUUUUACUAAAGCAAAAGUGGAAUUACGACGGAUAAAAAGAAUGGAAAACUAGGUACCAAGCCUAGAAGACCAUCCUCAAACUCCACUAUACAAAUAAAAACUAACAGCAGACCAAACUUAAUUUACCUCUUUGAUGACCUGAUCCUUCAAAUUUGUUGAUUGAUAGAUCUAAAUACCGGAGAGAUGAAAGCUCACUCAAAGAUAACAAAAUGCUAUCAUUCAAGUAAUUGAAACUUAAGUCAAGGAUCUCCAAAUUACUCAAUGUGGAUGAUAGUUUUCCAAAGCCUAUAGAAAUAUUCUUUUAAAUAUAUACAAGUUAGUGACUUUUCUUCCAUAAAAUAAAAUAAAAUAUAAGUAAUUGCAAAUUAACGAUGGUAAGAGUAGUGGGAUAAUAAAAGAUGUAAUUAAGGAAAAACUAGAGGCACGACCUUCAUUUUCAAGGUUACCACUUAUGGCAUUCCCCCGCAAAUAAAGACUCUUCAAUUCCUCAAAGGGAAGAAACAUAGAGGUAUUGAGAUACCAGGCAUUGAGAUUCCUAUUAUCCGUUUUGUAUCCCAUACUGUCAAACCAUCUUGUAGAAUUAAGGGAGAGUUGUAUGAGUCUCCUAGUGGUGGUGUUACACUCAACUCUUUCCCAUUUACAACAAUCUGAACCCUUCACCUCAACCCAACUUUGCAAUUGAUUUUGAUAAUUGAAGAAAGGCUUGAGAUGCAAGAGAGCGAUUCUCUCAUGCUCCAAACAAGCAUCAGUAGUACACCAUCUGCAUCCUUCUAACACCAACAACAUUACUGCCAUCCUAAUAAGCCUUAACCAUUUCCACUCCAUCAUCAUCAUCUCUCUGUUUUCACUUCUCUCUCAGUUAUAUGUUACUUUUUGUUAACUUCUAUAUGUAAAUAAUCUAAAGCAGCCUAACCUUCUUAUUUAUAUACAAGCAGAACAUACUGGAUCCCACUAAUUCACUAUAAUGUAAAAAUAAUAUAUAAUUAAUUAAUUCCUCAAAAAUUGGAUCAAAAUCUAGGCUUUUUAUUUACGUAAAUUCCUUAUUGCAAAAACUCCUGGUGGAAAUUCGUUAGGAAAGGAUGAAUGGACCACAAGAAUGUUGAUGUUAAUCUUGAAAAACGAAUGGCCAAAAAAAUAUGAAAAGUGAGAGGUGGACAUAAAAUCUUGUGGUUGGGGUUGCAAAAGUCUUCAUGUGGCUUUCUUGUGAGCUUCAUUUAUACCCUUCUUACACAUAUACAAACUUAGUCUUGACUUGGCUUUAUUAAUGGAAAAUUUAGGUCUUCAUUUUUGGUUUCAUUCAUGGAAAUUUUACUUCUUUGAUUUUGAUUUUGCUUUUAUUCUUGCACAUUUUAGGUUUUGAUUUUGAAAAUUUAGUUUUUUUCAUCUCUAUUAUUAUAAAAUUUCUUGAUUUAAUUAAUAUCAUGAGUUAAUUUAAUAUUUUAAAAAAUAAAAUAUUACAUUCACUAUUUUUAAAAAAAUAGGAGUAACUAUAAAAUUUAAUUAUUUAUAUAAUAUUUUUAUAAAAAAACUAUUUAUUUCUACUAGACCACUACUUUAAAACUAUCAAUUAUCAUAUAACUUCUCUUUAAUAAUUCACUAUUCUUUGAACAUUCAUUAGUUUUUGAAACAUAAAAUUUAUAAAUAAUUAUUUUUAAAAUGACUUGAGUUUUACUUGAAUCAUUUUUGUAAUUAGUUAAUUAAAUUGGGUUAUUUUUAAAAAAAAUCCUCUUAACUAAUAGCAAAAAAAAAAAAAGAAAAAAAAAAGCCAUCAUGUAGAAAAUUCUGGUUUGUUGGAAAGAUAAAGACUUGCACCAUUACUUUAAAUUUUGAAAUGUUCAACUUGAUAUUGACAUCUGAUAAUAUGUACAAAUUUCUCAUUGUUUUGAAUUUUAGUGAUAUUACACAUAUGAUAAUAUGUUUGUCACACCAAAUUUUGAAAUAGUAGAACUUAAUGAAUUUAACAAAUACUUAAUGAAUUUAAGAAAUAUCUAAAAUAUCAAAUUAAAGUCUAGGAAUUAAAUCUACAACUUCAGUAAAGUACAAGAACUAUUGUAGAAUUAAACCUUUAUAUAAUAAUUUCCUUCUAUGAACCACAAUUCAAGUGCACCCCACAAGCAACAUUAAAAAAUUGGCAUGUGUCUAUUUUUUUAAAAAUAUUUAUUUUUUUAAUAUUAUAUACUACACCUCUAUAGGAUACGUGUCAAUCCUUUAACUCUCCUUAUGGAAUUUAAAAACUCCACUAACAAUGUACCAAAUAUUAAUCCUAAUUAUUAUACUAUUCAUGGAUAAAGAUAAAAUAUAAUAUUUGCUUAAAAAUCUCAAUUAUAUAUAUUUGGUCACCCAUUGUGAUGUAAUAUAGCACCGUCUACAAAAUAGUUGGAGGAAAGUGUUAAGAAAAUAUCAUUACAUAUAUCAACAUUCGCAUAAUUCAUUGCAUUAACUUUCAAAUGUUAACUAUUGACUUCUGCGUCAACUUUGAGCUUAUAUAGGUCCCCCUCAUGGAAAUUGAGAAAAACAAAUUAAUAUGUAUAUUCUUGUGGGUGGAAAUUUAGUGGAGAUGCCCAUCAUCUUUCCUAAUUAAUAAAAAUGAAGACUUAGAAAAUGUGCAAUCAUAAUCCUAGUCGUCGUUAUGGCCCCAAGAAUAGUUAUCUUAAUUUGUCUCUCUUCAGGAUUAAAGAUAAAAAAUAAAUUUUAUAAAGUUAGAACUAUAAUUUUAUAAUUAUAUUAACAUAUAAUUUCAUAAAAUUUUAAAAAUGUAUCUUUUAAUUUUUUAAUUAAAUUGAUAAUUCGUUAACUCAUAAUAUUAUUUUAUUUUUCAAAAUAUUUACGAGAACGAGUUCGUAUUCUAUUGUGUGGAAAAUUUUAGUACAGAUUAUUAAGUUAUUGGAGAAGCCAAAUCCAACUUGUUUGACCAAGAAAGUUUUUGUCGCGUGGAAAAUGGACAUUACCAUUUCCUUGAAUGACCUUCAAUUUAAUGUAUUCACACCAAAUUUCAUUAAUGAGUAAAACAAAUAAUGAAUAAUAAUGAAAAUUGGAGGAAAUUGUUAAGAAAUUAUUAUUACAUAUAUCAACAGUCACAUAAUUCAUUGUAUUAACUUUCAAAUGUUGACUAUUGACUUUUACAUCAACCUUGAGCUUAUAUAGGCCCCCCUCACGGAAAUAAUCUCAUAAUUAAUGCCUGAAAAAUUAUUAUACAUCAAUUUACAGUUUUAAUCCCUAGACUUACUCAAUUGAAUUAAAAUUUUAGUUUUUAUUAUUUAAUUUGAACUAUUACUUUAGAUUUUGAAAUGUUCAACUUGAUAUUACAAAUUUCUCAUUCUUUUGAAUUUUAGUGAUAUUACACCUAUGAUAAUAUGUUUGCCACACCAAAUUUAGAAAUAGUAGGACUUAAUGAAUUUAAUAAAUAUCUAAAAUAUCAAAUUAAAGUCUAGAAAUUAAAUCUACAACUUCAGUAAAGUACAAGAACUAUGGUAGAAUUAAACCUUUAUAUAAUAAUUUUCUUCUAUGAACCACAAUUCAAGUGCAUCCCACAAGCAACAUUAAAAAAUUAAAAUGUGUCUAUUUUUUUAAAAUAUAUUUUUUUUAAUAUUAUAUACUACACAUAUAUAGUAUACGUGUCAAUCCUCUAACUCUACUUAUGGGAUUUAAAAAAUCCAGCAACAAUGUACGAAAUAUUAAUCCUAAUUAUUAUACUGUUCAUGGAUAAAGAUAAACUAUAAUAUUUGCUUAAAAACCUCAAUUAUAUACAUUUGGUGACCCAUUGUGACGUAAUAUAGCACCAUCUACAAAGUAGUUGGAGGAAAUUGUUAAGAAAAUAUCAUUACAUAUAUCCAACAGUCACAUAAUUCAUUGCAUUAACUUUCAAAUGUUGACUAUUGACUUCACGUCAACUUUGAGCUUAUAUAGGCCCCCUCCUCAUGGAAAUAAUGUCACAAUUAAUGCUUGAGAAAUUAUUAUACAUCAAUUUAUAGUUUUAAACCCUAUACUUACUCAUUUGAAUUAAAAUUUUAGUUUCAAUUUGAUAUAUUUUGUUCCUCUUAUUAAUAUUAAUGUUAUAGAUUUAUUAAAAUAACUAACAUUAUUAAUUCUCUAACAUUUAAAAAUUAAAAUUAUGUGGUUAUUAAAAUUAUGAUGCUAAAUUGAGAAUUAAAAAUUAUCAAGUUUUAAAUGAUCUCGGGAAUUAAGAAGAGAUCGUGUCCUAACUUAUUGGGCAUGAUCCUUUUUUUUCUCAAGUUUUAAAUGAUCUCAGGAAUUAAGAAAAGAUCGUGUCCUAACUUACUGGGCAUGAUCCUUUUUUUUUUAAAAUCUAAGAUAGCUAAAUAUUUUUUAAAUAAGUAAAUUUUUGGCAUUCAUUCGCGCAUCGGGAAUUCAAGACAUUGUGUCCUAACUUACUGGAUAUAAUUCUCUUUCUCGAUUAAUGUGAAUUAUGGCUUUUUCCCGAAAAUUUUCAACAUUUCAAUAAAGGAUCGUAUUUUAAAUCUCUUUAAAGUUUUCAAUCUUCGAUACUAAGACAUUAAUUAAUCAACUAGGUACCAAUUUUGGGCGUAACGAGGGUGCUAAUCUUUCCUCGUACGUAACCGACUCCCAAACCUGUUUUUCUGAAUUUCGUGGACCAAAAUUAUUAUUUUAUUAAAAUUAAAUUGUUUAUUAAAAAUAACCACUUUUCAAGGUGGCCCGAUCACACCUUAUCAAAAAGGAUUGGUGGCGACUUCCAUAUUCGUUUUCAUUUUUUAAAAUCCAAGUCGACCCCGUUUUCACAAAAAAAAAAAGUGUCAACAAUUAUAUUAAUAUAUAAUUUCAUAAAUUCUUUAAAAAAAAUUGUAUCUUUUAAUUUUUUAAAUUAAUUUAGUAAUUCAUUAACUCAUAAUAUUAAAUUUUUUAUUUUUCAAAAUAUUUACGAGAACGAGUUCGUAUUCUAUUGUGUCGAAACUUUUAGUACAGAUUAUUAAGUUAUUGGUGAAGCCAAAUCCAACUUGUUUGACCAAGAAAGUUUCAGUCGUGUGGAAAAUUUUAGUUUUGUGGAAAAUAUAGAUUAACUUCUAUAUAUGUAUGUAAUCUAAAGAAGCCUAAGCUUCUUAUUUAAUUAUAUACAAGCAGAAGAUAUUGCAUCCCACUAAUUCACUAUAAUAUAAAAAUAAUAUAUGAUUAAUUAAUUCCUCAAAAAUUGGAUCAAUCUAGGCUUCUUAUUUACGUAAAUUCCUUAUUGCAAAAACUCUCGAUGGAAAUUCGUUAAGAAAGGAUGAAUGGACCACAAAAAUGCUUAUCAACUCUUGACUUUGGCGUUCAAUGCUAAGUUCAUUUUAAAAUUCUUUCAUGGAGAGAAGAUGGGAUGACAAGAAUGAUAAGUUUUAAGUCAUUUAAGUUUACACAAAAUUUUAAUCACUCACAAAAAAUCAGUCUUGAUAUUCUAUUAAAAAAUUUAAACAUGGCUUAACGUUGAUUUUAAAUCUAAUGUCGAUGUCAAUCUUGAAAAACGAAUGGCCAAAAAAAUAUGAAAAGUGAGAGGUGGACAUAAAAUCGUGUAGUUGGGGUUAUAAAAUUCUUCAUGUGGACAUAAUAUAUUUUUUAUGCCCUUCUUACACUUAUAUAAAGUUAGUCUUGAUUUCGCUUUAUUAAUGGAAAUUUUAGUUCUUCAUUUUUUGUUUUAUUCAUGGACAUAAUAUUUAUUUUUAUUUUUUAUUUUUGUGUUAUGGUCUAUGUUCGAGGUUUAUGGCUAUCCCCUUUCAACAACGUCGUCUCAACGGUUCAAACAUACACUUGCAGGUAAAAUAAUACUUUUUAAAAUCACAAAUAUUUGAAAUAAUAUAUUGCAGCUAUAUAAAUGCUUUCUUGUUUAAGAUACUAAUAAAGUAAUUAACAAAGUAAUUAUUAUACCUAUAAUAAUUCAAAAUGCCACUUGUUAUCUAAUGAAGUAUAGGGGUGCAAAUGAGACAUCCGUACCCGCAAGCUAUUCGAAUUCGGCUCAAAAAAUUUUGAAUUUGAUUCGGUAAUUAUUGCGCCGAGCUAUAGGUCGAUCCGGAUUCAAGCUUAGUAAUACUUGACUCGAGUAGUUUGGGAGCCUUAUUGAACUUUUCAUAUUUUUAUAUUAUUAGAUUACAUUAUUGCCUUUAAUAUAUAUUGUUAACCCUAAGUUUAAUUAUUGAGGCGAGCUCGAACUCGAGUACAAAAAUUGAUAAACAGAUUUAAUUUCGAGCUUAAAAAUAUAUGUUCAAUCGAGUAUCAAGCUUUGAAUUUCAAAUUAAACUUGAGUUUAACCGUAUUGAGUUCGAAUAGAUUCAAUUACACCCUACAAUAAAAUAUACCAACAAAACCUACAUUCCAUAUUUGCUUAAAAACUUUGCUGUAAAUUUUAUAUAUGUGUGUGUUUAACGUGAGUUCCAUCUAUGUCCAACUUGAUGACGAUGAAAGUUCCUAUGGUGUAAAAAGUUUUAGUUAUGUGGAAAAAUAAGGUCUUCUCUUCACACGUUUAAUAUGCUUACUUGUGACGGUCAUUUCGGGCUUGACAUCAAUUUUCAAAAUGUUCUAAUUGGUGGAAAACUUACGUCUGCUUUUAUGAUUCUUUCAAGUCAAUUGGAGAAUGCCUCUGUUACACUUCAAAAGAAGUAGAUUUUGAACUCAACAUGAACCUGUGAGAUUUGAUGCCUAAAAUAUAGGUAUAAGGUUUCAAUUCAAGGAAAUGUUGGAAGUCCAGGAAAUUUCUUAGUCUCCUCUCUUUGGAUGUUUUUGAACAAAAAUGUUUUAAGUCUCUUCCGAUGCUAAACUUCUGAUUGGUCGUCGGUUCACUGACCCUUUGGUACACAGCAAUAUGAAGCAUUGGCCAUUCAAGGCCAUUGCUGGUCCUGGUGAUAAGCCAAUGAUUGUACUACUAUAGAUUUGAAAUGAUUGUACACAUCUGAUCGGCUCUUUGUAAAUUUAAAUCUUACAAAUUCGGAUAAUAUUCGAAUUUAAAUAUUUCAAUUACUAUCUGCAAUAGAUUAAAAACAAACGUGAUUAUCAAUCCUUGGAUAUCCACAUACAGAUUAUGCAAUACAAUCUCUUAAGGCAUAUAGAAUUUGGGUCUUAACCAAGCUAUGUUGCUUAAAAGCUUGCUAAAAGCACCCCUAACAAAGGGGUAAAUAAAUAAAAUAUCAAGCACCAGUUAUCAAAGCAGAUUGACCACCUUAUAUCUAUGUAUGCUACUACAAAACUUGCACCAUUAAAAUCUCAAGCUGGUAAUUGGAGCUUCAUGUUAUUCUUGCAGCUGCAGGCAUAAUAAUCAAAUAAGUUGCAAUCAUUCACAUAGGUACUAUGAAGUGCUUUCCAGAGCGUGAGAAACCUCUGGAAGUAAUAGUAGAAGAAAUCAGCAUAAAGCAAUGUCUGGACAAGACCGCAAAUCCAAGCUGAUCAAAGGCAUCAAUCAUGUAAACUAGGUGUUAGAAAUAACAAAUAUAGCAUAGAAUAUAACAAAUAAUGAAUAACAAUGAAUAGUACACGUUACCAUUUCCUUGAAUGACCUUCAAUUUCUCCAUUGAGAUAUAGUAAGAGGGAGUGGAAUAGAUGUAAGGUAAUAUUUGAUGUAUUCGGUAAAUGAAUAAUAACACCACAUUCCAUUAAUGAGUAAAACAGAUAAUGAAUAAUAAUGGAAGUUUUAUAAAAUAAAAAUAAAUUAAAUCAUAUACAUAUAAUGUAUUAAAUCUUAUUCGUGAAGUUCACAAUGAACAAAAUACUAAUCCAUAAUGGAGAAAAAUAACCUAAACUUUAAACAUUUGUUCAUUACUAUAAACAUAUGUACAACUUUUUAAAGGUUUUAUAUAAACUAUUAAAAGGUAUAAACACUCUCAUAAAAAUAUAUUAUUAAGUACGUCUUCUUUUACUAGGAAAGUUCCUAUCCUGUAGAAAAAUGUAGUUUUGUGAAAAAAGGUCUUCUAUGCACUAAUUUGUGGCAAUCACAUGGGGUUUGGGAAUUUCAAUUUUGAUAGCCAACCGAGAUUCACUAAAUUUAAAUUUUAUUAUGAUUAAUUACGCUCUUCGUUUUGGAGAAAUAGGUAAUCACAACAACUAAUUUAAUUAAAUGUAAUUUAAUAAUUAAUUUUUUUAUAAUUUAAUUACAUUAACUAUAUUUAAAUUUAAUAUUUAGUAUUUAUAUUUUAAUUUAACAUAAUUUAAUUCACUUACUUUUAUAAUAUUAUUAGUUCGUCUAAAUAGUUGACACCUUUAAUUAAUUCUUAUUAAAAUGUUAAAAAUGUUUAUACUUAUUUUCCAUGUUAAAAUAUAUAUUUUUUUGUGCUUUUAAAAACAAAAUUUCACAAUAUCAUUUCCCGAUAUAAAAAUUAAAUCUCAAAUUAAUUUAUAUUUUUGUAUUUUUUUAUAACUAAUGUUAUCAAGAACUCUUAAUAGUGCAACUGAUUCCACCAUAAUAUUUAUAUUCUUUAAAUAUGAUUUACAAUUUAUGUUUGGAGUUCGUGACUGUCAUUCUUAAUAAUGUCAUUUCUAAUGUUCGAACAUGCAUCUCCCCUUGAGAAUGCAAUAUUCAUUACUAUUGCACCUAAUUAUUUUGAUAAUUUAAUUUUAAAUAUUGACAUAAAAAUAUUUUUAAAUAUAUUAUUAAUAAAUUUAAUUAAGAUUAUAAAACUUGAGGUUUUUUUUAAUUCUUCAAAAAUGUCAUUUAUUUAUUUUUGGCCAAAAAAUGCCAUUUAUUUAACUCUAAUAUGUGCUUUUAUGUUUUAUUUUAAAAAUAUAUGAAAUUCUAAUGAUAGUUAUAUUACAUAUUUUUUAAUUUUAAAUAUCAUUGUUCUUUUAUAAUUUGUUUCAAGUAUGAAAUGAUAUAAUUUUUUUUAGUAUCUAUCACAAUAACCUUUACUAAGAAUUGAAACUAAAUUUCUAAAUUUUGAACAAAAAUGAAAGUUUAAUUAAAUGAUACAUUGGUGGAUUCAUUACCCCUCAUAUCUAGUUCCCUUAAGUUGAUAAAUGUUUCCAAAUCUAGGAAAACAAAAAACAACAAAAUCAACUUCAUUAUAUUCUCUUCCAACAUUAUUAUAUUCUUGUUAAAAAUCUAAUAUUUUUACCUUUCAAUCCAUUGCCCCAUAUGCUCAAAGAUUUCAAAUUUGAAAGCUUCUUAAGGGAUGCAAAUACACUAGUAUUGAACUGAUUUCCAUCUAAAUAAAGCUCUUCCAAGUGGGUCAACUCUAAUUUUCGACCACCAUCAAUAAAAGAUUUAUAUAAUUUCAUCACUAAAAUGAAUUGGCAUAAACUUUUAUUAUAUAUAAGAAUUUAGGUAAUUGGUUAAAUAUAAAUGCAUACCAUUUAAGGAUUGAAAGCUUUCAAUUUCAUUCCAACUUAAAUCGAGUUUCUUCAAAUUUGUUAAAUUGCUCAAUCCUAUACAUAUCCUCAUCCAAUUCAAAAUCUGAAAUUAGUAAAGAUAAAAUUGCACAUUGACCCCCUAAAAUUGAUAAAAAUUUAAUUUAAUUCUUUAAAAAUUAUAAACAUAUGUAGCGACCUAAAAAUUUCGGCACGGGCGCUAGUCGAAGUAAUUAUUGUAAAUUUGAAAACUGAAUCUCGAUUUUAUUUGAAAAAGGAGUCGCCACCGAUAUUUUUUCUAGGUGUGAUCGGACACCUACAAAAUUCUCUUUUUAGAAGAAAAAAUUAUUUUUAAACUUUUCUAAAAAAGAGGUAAUUUUAGGUCCACGUAAAAAUCCAGAGAAAAUUAGGGUCCGGGAGUCGGUUACGCGCGAGGAAGGUAUUAGCACCCUCGCAACGCCCAAAAUUGGUAUCUCGUUAAACGCGUGUUGUCUUCAUUUUCAAAAAUACGAGUUCAAUUUAAUAUUAGUCGUGAUCCGAUUGAACACGAGAAUUUUAAAGCGCAACAACUUUUUCUUUUUUGAAAACACGAAAAUUUUAAAAUACAAGAAUUUUAGAAACACAAAACUUUUUUUUUAAAAAAAACACGAAGAAUUUAAAACACGAGAUUUUUUAUUUUUAUUUUUGAAAACACGAUUCUUCUUUUUGAAACACGAAAAUUUUUAAAACAGAAAAUUUGUUUUUGAAAACAUAAAUUUUUUGAUAAAAUACGAAACACGAGAAAUUUUGAAGACAUGAAAAUUUUUGAAACACAAUUUUUCUUUAAAAAAUACCGUAUUUAACACGAAUCGAUGAUAUUCAUCCCGAUAUGGCGAUGAAACCAUCGAAUUAGUGUUAACUCAAUUCAAUUUAAUAUUUAAUCGGGAUUCUAAUAAAACACGAGAAUUUUUAUUAAAAUACGAGGAUUUUUGAAUAUUUUUAUUUUUAAAAGGGUGUCCCGAAUUUAACACGAGCUAUCGAUAUCCACCCAACAUAGCGAUGAAUUCGAUGACUUGAUGCUAAAUCGGUUCGUUGCCUUAUGCAUUAAAAUAUUAUUAUUUUUAAAAAAAAUAUGCAAUUAAAAUGACAUAAUAAUAUUUAUGAAAACUGUUUUAAAGCAUACUAAUUUAAAUUAAAUAAAACACCAUUUAAAUAAAUAAAAUAAAAUAAAAUAGAUUAAAAAGAAAAAAAGAAAAAAAUUACCCAAAAGCCCAAAGUUAUGGGCUUAAAUUUUGGGCCUCCCCUUUUAUUAUUUUUUUUGCUGUUGGGCUNNNNNNNNNNNNNNNNNNNNNNNNNNNNNNNNNNNNNNNNNNNNNNNNNNNNNNNNNNNNNNNNNNNNNNNNNNNNNNNNNNNNNNNNNNNNNNNNNNNNNNNNNNNNNNNNNNNNNNNNNNNNNNNNNNNNNNNNNNNNNNNNNNNNNNNNNNNNNNNNNNNNNNNNNNNNNNNNNNNNNNNNNNNNNNNNNNNNNNNNNNNNNNNNNNNNNNNNNNNNNNNNNNNNNNNNNNNNNNNNNNNNNNNNNNNNNNNNNNNNNNNNNNNNNNNNNNNNNNNNNNNNNNNNNNNNNNNNNNNNNNNNNNNNNNNNNNNNNNNNNNNNNNNNNNNNNNNNNNNNNNNNNNNNNNNNNNNNNNNNNNNNNNNNNNNNNNNNNNNNNNNNNNNNNNNNNNNNNNNNNNNNNNNNNNNNNNNNNNNNNNNNNNNNNNNNNNNNNNNNNNNNNNNNNNNNNNNNNNNNNNNNNNNNNNNNNNNNNNNNNNNNNNNNNNNNNNNNNNNNCUCUUUUUACUUAAUUAUUUAUCAAUUUACACUAGUUCGAGUUUUUGUAACAGUAUCAUGGAGACUUAUGUACUAGGAGUUAGAUUGUAUUUUGCCUCUUUUACUCAAAAAAUGAGUAAAUUAAUCCUUGUACGUUAAAUCAAUGAGCAAACUAGUCCUUUUAGUUAACAUUUUCAUUCAUUUUUACUAUUAAAAAUUGGAGUGACUAACGAAAUAACCAGAUAGUUACACAUUACAUGCCAAGGGUGAAGCCAGAAAAUUCUUUUAGGGGGCCGAAAUUAAAUUUUAAUUUUUAAUAGCUUAUAUCUUUAUAAUUUUUAAAUGAUUAAAUCAAAUUUUUAUCAUUUUUAGGAGGGGACUAAAGUGUAAUUUUAUCUUUACUAGUUUAAAUUUCUAAAAUUUCUAAAAAGCCUAAAUGGAUAAUUUUCAAUUUUAGAGGGGUCAGGGCCCUUGCCAGCCUCCCUAGAUACGCCACUGUGGCAUGCCACAUGUACCUCAUGUCAGCAUACAUGAACCCGUUUUUAACAGUUAAAAUGGAUGAAUUUUUUAGUAGAAGGAUUAAUUUUCUCAUUUUUUGAGUAGAGGAAAGAAAAUGCAAUCCAAUGCCUAAUACAAGGGCCUCUAUGUCUUUCAUUAUUACUCAAUUAUUUGUCAUCAAAAGUUGUAUAUGUUCAAAUAUAAAUACAAUAAAACACAUAUGUAGUUAUUAAACAUAUCAUGCUAAUGUCAUUGUUUCUUCUUUAUCCAAAAUUAUUGGACUUAUAAAAUUCUUGAGAAUAAGAAAACCCCAUUAAACUUCCUUUUAAGUAAAACGUGUGUUCAAAAUCUUGAACUAGGUUUAUGCAGCAAUAGAAAUUCACAAGCUGUUUUUUUUAUACAUGAGAUGUGAAUCUCAAAAUUUUAGGGUUUCUGAUCUCAUAUAUUUUGGGUCCAGAUUUAAUGCUAAGGAUUUGUUGAGAAAGUUGAAAGGGAAGAAAAUGAUGUUCAUUGGGGAUUCACUAAGCUUGAAUCAAUGGCAGUCUCUAACAUGCAUGUUGCAUGCAUUUUUGCCACAAUCAAACUACACUGUUCACAGAGAAGGGAACCUUUCGACCUUUUAUUUGCCUGUGAGUUGCCAAAUCUAGUAGCUAUUUUAUUUCCUUCUUAUAAUUAAAACUUUUCAAUGUCACCUUUAGAAGGUAGCUGCAUGAAUCAAAUGAGUUAAAUCAAAUAGACUAAUUACUAUUGUUUGGCAAAAAUACCGAGUAGACCUUUUUAAAAAUAGUUAUUAUACUUUUAUUACAACAAAAUAAGCAGGGGUGAACCUAAAAUUUUUUUUAGCAGGAUAGAAAUUUAAUUAUAAUUUUUUCAUAGAUCAAAAUAUAAAUUUAUUAUGAAUUAAUUUAUAAUUUUAUCAUUUUUAAAGGGAUUAAACAGAAAUCAUUUCAUUUUUAUGGGGGUUAAAGUGUAAUUUUACUAUAUAUUAAUUUAUAAUUUCUUUAUUUAUAAGACUAGAAAAAAUUUUCAUGGGGGCCAAAGUACAAUUUUACUAUAUAUUAAUUUAUAAUUUCUCUAGUUAUAAAAGAACUAAAUUAAAAACUUUUCAUUUUUUAGGGGGGCCAAGGCCCUGCCUACCCCUUUCAGAUUAUUCGCCUCUGAUAAUAAGCCAUUAAACUUUAAUUUAUAACCGUUACCAUUAAUUUUUAACUUAUAUCCAAAUAACCCCUUACCAUUUUAUUUAUACUCAAAAUAAAAUUUAACAUAAAUAAAGGUGAGAGAGGGGCCUUGGCCUAUUGGUUAAAAUAGAAAAUUUUCAUUUAGGUCCAAAGGUAAAGCCAAAAAAUCAUUUUAGGGGGUUGGAAAUGAAUAAUAAAUUUUUGGGGAGACUAAUAUUGCAAUUUUAUCAUUAUAUCAACUUAUAAUUUCAUAAAUUUUGAAAAGAUUAAAAGACAAAUUUAUCAAUUUUUGGGGUUGUCUACUCUCCUGAGUUGGUCUCUAUUGAAAAUUAAUAAUUCCAUAAAAUAUAGCUUUCCUAAAUUUAUAAUUUUAGCUCGACCCUAAAUAUAAAAUUCUUUGCUUUACCCCUGAUAUUAAAUCAAAAGAUAGAAACUUAUUAUGUUACUAUAAGAAUAUAGGGAUUUAUUUAGCAAAAGCAAACUAUUUCAAGGACUUUUUUGGUAGUUUGCACUUAUAGUUGGUAUUAGUUAGAAUUAAGUGCCAAGAUUAAGUUUCCUUUGAGAUAUAUAGUUGGUUAAGCAAUUUAAUAUAAGUGGAAAUUUAGACCCCUAAGUUAUACCCUUCAUGCAUUUGGACAACUGUGUUGAGCCAAAAAAAAAAUUGCAGGAGUAUGAAGUUUCGUUGAUGCUAUCACGCAAUGCAUUUCUUGUGGAUAUUGUCCAAGAAAAGAUUGGCACCGUUCUGAAGCUUGAUUACAUUAAAAACGGCGAAUCAUGGAAAGGAUAUGACUUUCUCAUCUUCAAUACCUGGCAUUGGUGGCUCCACACUGGAAGAAAACAACCGUAAGCAAAACAUAAUUUCAGCAAUUAAAACCCGAUUUUUUAAUUGCAUCCCGAGUAGAUUUGUAAACAAAUACAACACUCGAAUUGGGUUGGGUUUGAACCGGAAUAUCAUUCCUAUAGUUUUGAUUAGACCUGUAGUUUAAAAGUUAAUUAUUUAUUUAAGUUUGAAAAUUCGUUUGAAAUUUAGAAGAAUAUUUAGAUAAAAAUAUUAGACUUCAUAAAUGAGCUUGAGUAAAAAAAUUAAACCCGUUUUUAAUAUGGGUUAAGCUUAAGCUCAAAAAAGUUAAGGAUCCAGACAUGUUGAUGAACUUAAAAUGAAUUUGCGAUAACUAUUUACAAAUAUUAGUAUGUUGGAGCAAAAUUUUAAGCCAUUGUUUGGUCCAACUAAAUUUAGGCAAAUAUAAAGUGCGUUAAUAUCAUGCUUAAAAUUGAUUCAAACUGAUCCCAACCCAUAACCACUUCUAAUUCUGAUUAGUUUGACUCAACCUUUUUAUUCUUUUAAAUACUUAUAAAAUCUCUUAUCCAAUUAUAUUUAUAUUUGAGCAAAAAAUGAUGUAUGUAUGUAUGUAUGUAUGUAUGUAACUUGAAAAAUGAAUUGGAUAUUAGAUGGGAUUUCAUUGAAUCAAGAGGAAAGGUGAAGAAAGACAUGGAUCGUAUGGCUGCAUAUAGAGAGGCACUAAGAACAUGGUCAAAAUGGGUGGAUUCCAAUGUUAACACUACAACUACCCAAGUGUUUUUUCAAGGCAUUUCUCCGACUCAUUUCAAGUAAGCUUUAGCUCUUCUCUUCUCUUCUCUUACCAUUUGCAUUAACUUCCUUGUUCUUAUUUUACUUAAAAGAAAUGGAAUUAUGAAAAAAAUUGAAAGCCAUUUUUUUUCCAAUAGAACUUAAUUCAUUUUAAUCCCAUCAGAUUUGGUUCAAAUUAGAGGUGUUUAUAAGUUGGUGAGUCAAUCGGCUUAGUUCGCUUUAGACUGCACUUGAAGUUAAGUUUUCAAGUUUCGAGCCAGAUUAGCCUUACUUGUUUUAUUAGUCGAAGAAAACUAUUUUUAAUUGUUUUAUAAACAAUGAAAAUGGACCAUUUAGGUAAGCUUAAGUUUGGAAAAUUUUUGAAAUUGGGCUUAAACUUGACUUGGAAAAUGAACACUUAUAGUUGAAAGAAACUCAUUUGUCAUAAAGCACAAAUACUUUUAUGAUUAGAGACGUUAAUGGGCUUGAACUUAAAUUUUCUUUUUGGUUUAAGCUUGGUUCGAGUUGAAAACUCGUAUUGUUUAAAAUAUUUCUAAUAUAUUAUUGUUUAAAAUAUUUCAUAAAUAUUUUCAAAAUGAAAUAUGUGUAAGAAUCAUAAAUUCAAGCUGUAGUGUUUCCUCAUAUAAAUUAUGAAUCACUCUAAAUAUCUCAAAGAGAAAAUGACAGUUCAUUGACAUCUAUAUAAAGAUUUUUUUUUUUAAAAUAAAAAUCAACAAGUCUCUUACGUUAUCCAUAUAUAAUAUGUGGAUGUACAAUUAUAAACUUCACCUCAAACAAUUUGGUAUUUUGAUCCACAAUUUUGACAGUGGCAAAGAAUGGAAUGGUACCAAAUCAACAACUUGCACACAUCAAAUCAGACCGGCUACCGAUUUAACGUACGAAAGUGAUCCACCUCCGGAAGUGACGAUCGUAAAGGAAGUGCUAAAAAACAUGUCGACGCCGGUGGUUUUGCUCGACAUAACCAGAUUAUCACAGCUGAGGAAAGAUGGUCACCCAUCAAUUUAUACUGGUCUAAAAGGAAAUGAUUGUAGUCAUUGGUGCCUAGCUGGUGUUCCUGAUACAUGGAAUGAAAUCUUAUAUGCAAUUCUUACAAGUAGGAAAACUUAAUUCAAGAUUAUAAUUUUUUUUUCAAUUUAAUGUAUUUAGUUAAUAAAAAUUAAUUUCCCAUUAAUAGAUGAAGAAUUUUAAAUUUAAUAACAUAGGUGUAGCCAUCAAUUUAAUGUAUUUUUUACCCGAACCCAAAUUAAGUCAAGCUCAAACCAAUGGAAAACCUACAAUAUUAUUCAUAAUAAUAUUGAAACUUUAGAUUUUUUUAUUAGUAUUAUAUAUUUUAAUAAUUAAUUUUAAAUAUUUUUAUUAAUAAAUAGUAUUCAGGUCGCGCCAGCCCAAUUUAAAAGAUAUUUAACUCAAUAUAAAUUCAACAUAUUAAAUGAAUAAUUCAAAUGUCAAAAUGAGCAAAGGAAAAUCUAGAGUUGUAAGCUUUGCAACUUUAAAUUGGACAUGAGAGUUUCUUUUAUUGGAUACAUGCCACAUUAUUUUUUAACAAAAUUCCUUUAUUUUAUCAAUUGAAUUUAAAUUAUUAUAUUAAUAAAAUUAUUUAAUUAUUUAAUUGUGUUUCAACCUUUUACAUAAAAUAAAAUUUUCUCUUUUAACUUUUUCAUCAUUUAAUUUUUCACUUUUUAAAAUCACCCUCAAUUUCAAAUAUAAAUUUACUUGUGUAAAAAAAAAUCUAAAUCUGUUAAUUGCAUCUAGAACUUUUCAGAGUUGGUCUUGUCAAAAUUUUAAGUCUAUUUGCUAGGCCCAAGUUUGGCCUAAAAAAUAGACUUAAAAUUUUGUCUAAAUUUAACCCGGAUAAAAUAUUAAAAUCAGGCUCGACUCAACUCACCUGAAUUAAUUUUUCUAUAAAAAUAUUAAAAAUAAUAGGUCAAAAUACUAAAAAUAUUAAAAUAAAUAUUUUUUAAUAAUUUAAAAAUAAAUUUAAAAAUAUUUAUACUUAGAUAAAAUUAACAAUAAAAUAAUUUUUUAAUGUUUAUUAAAAAAUGGGCCGGACCGGGCUCGGGCUUAUGAUAUUUUUCCCGGGCCGGGCCUGGAAAAAUAUCAGGCCCAUAUUUCGAGCCGGGCCAAAAAAAAUUUCUGGGCCCGACCCGGCCCAUGGACAGGUCUAAUCUUAGACCUUUUCAGUGUUGGUCUUGUCAAAAUUUUAAGUCUGUUUGCUAGGCCCAGGUUUGGCCUAAAAAAUAGACUUAAAAUUUUGUCUAAUUUUGACCCGAAUAAAAUGUUAAAACCAGACUUAGACUCAACCCACUUGAAUUAAUUUUUUAUAUAAAAAUAUUAAAAAUAAUACGUCAAAAUAUUAAAAAUAUUAAAAUAAAUGUUUCCUAAUAAUUUAAAAAUAAAUUUAAAAAUAUUUAUACUUAGAUAAAAUUAACAAUAAAAUAAGAGUUAUAUAAUAUAUAAAUAAUAAUAAAAUAAUAGUAACAACAAGAAAAUAGUAAUUUUUUGUCUUUUUGUUAAUUCAUAUCGGACCGGGCUUAACCCGGUUGAGAACGGUACUUAUAUUUGUACAAAAAAAAAAUCAAAAAAAAAUGUGAACGGUACUUAACCCGGUUGAGUCGGAGCUCCAUGACCCGAACAGCAAUUUAUUUUUCAAUUCUUCUUCGUUACGCAAAAAGGAAAAAAAAAAAAACAGCUCAUGAAAAUGGCAUGGUCAAAUACUCUGCUUCAGAUUCACAUCAAAUCCCCUUCGAUCCCUUCUCUCCAUUUCCCACAUUCCCUCCCAAAAAGCUCCCCAUUCCUUCUUAAUCCUAACCCUAUAAAUCCCAUUCCCAGAUCCCUCAGAAUGCAAUUCCUUCACAGACCCAACGCUGUCCCACUCGUAUCAAGAGCCAUGGACAUCAUCCAAUCGUCUCCUCCCACGUGGCAAUCCGCAGUCCUCAGUAACCUCUUGAUCUUCGUCGUCGGCACCCCACUUUUAGUGGCGGGGCUUUCUCUCUCCGGAAUUUGUGCUGCGUUCUUGCUUGGCACUCUCACUUGGCGCGCUUUUGGCUCCCCUGGGUUUCUCCUCGUUGCUUCGUACUUCGUUAUUGUGAGUUGCUAAUAAUAUAUUAUGAAUUGUAGCUGAAUUAUGGGAAUUAAGUUAAAUUUUGGAAAUUGGGUUUUGAUUUUGUAUCCAUCUGGUAUUAAAAGUUGCUUGCUUUGGAGAAUUAGCUGUCAUUGUUUGGUAGUAUGGCAAGGAAAAUAAACUUAAUUUAUGUCGAAAGGUUACUUUUUAAUUAGUUAGCUAUUCAAGUUUGAUUAGUUGUAUUUAGAGAAAUUGAUUGUACUAGGUGAAAUGAGAUCAAAAGAUUAACAAAAGUUACUUGAUGGUUUCUAGCUUUUUAGCUGAAAUAAAGUCCUGUAUGAAAUGAUAUAAUAUUUUAGUUUUCUAUUAUGGCUUGUUUUCCUUGCAAAGUAUGAAUCUUGAAUUAGUUCCUGCCUCCCUCUUCUAAUUCUCCUUACCCAUUUCUAGUUGAAAGUUAAUUGAAAUUCCAUGUGAUUUUGUGUUAUAAUUCCAGUUCAUAAUCUGAAUGGAGACAAUAAAUUUGGAUGAAGGAGCUUUAAGCAGUGGGAAAAAUCCAUAAUAAUUUGUAAUUCUCUAAAUCUCUAAACAAUCUUACAUCUCUUUGUCAUGCCUUUCAAACAUAGUUGGUAUAACUAUGUUCAAUUGUCUUAGCUAUUGUUUAAUCAUUUUUAAUUUUUCAUUCCCCCUGCUCCCCCAAAAAAAAAUGUUUGUCUGAGCAAUGAGUCUUUCUCAAAAUCAAUUUCCAAGGCCAUUUUAUUUGAUUAUGACUUUGUGAGUAAAACAUGUUUGUAUUUGUUAGGGAACCGCAGUAACAAAAGUGAAAAUGGCUCAAAAGGAGGCCCAAGGGAUUGCUGAGAAGAGGAAAGGAAGAAGAGGACCUGGGAGUGUAAUUGGGUCCAGUGCUGCUGGUUGUGUAUGUGCUGUUCUAACAAUAUAUGGAGUUGGAGGAGAGGCAUUUACACGUCUUUGGCAACUUGGUUUUAUUGCUAGUUUCUGUACUAAGUUGAGUGAUACAGUGUCCAGUGAGAUUGGGAAAGCAUAUGGCAAAACAACGUAAGUAGUGCAUCUCUGUUUGUUAAUGUAUAGGCGCUUUAGAUUAACUGUAUUAAUAAUUCUCCUUAGUUCAUUCUAAAGAAAGGAUAUUUCAAAUCAAGUGGAAUUUAGAUCCCUUAUGGUUCUUGCUAUAUUCGAGCUCUAUUAUUGUCAUAUAUGCUGGUGAUAAAGGUCGCUUUGACAUCCUAUAUAGAAACAAAAUUUGUGAGUGUUAAUAUUGCCUCAAAUCUUUUUUUUUUUCUUCAAAGGUUUAUGUCAAUUGCUACUCUCUUUUUUUUUUACUGUUAAACUACACUUUAGAAUUGCAAAUAUAAAGUGUGUGAUGUGCCAAAAUGAACAGGUACCUGGUGACAAACUUUCAGAUUGUUCCUAGGGGAACAGAAGGAGCUGUCAGUGUUGAAGGAACUGUUGCUGGACUUCUAGCAUCUAUACUGCUUGCCACUAUUGGUUGUCUAUUGGGUGAGGUAGUACUUGCUAUGUACUCAUACUAUGUGAAUAAUUUGUUCUGCCAUUCAUGAUACCAUUUUUUUUUAAUAACAAGCAUUAUUGUGAUCAUUACAAAAUGUUUACACCUUGUAAGAACCUGGAAUUUUUUCUAGUCUCUGCAACAAUAGACUAAUUGGUGGGGUGGUGCCUAGAUGGAAUGAUUUUGCAGAUAUAAUUUGUUGAAGGUGUUUUUCAAAGGGAACUCUUAGCAAAAUAGCAGAUCAUGAUAUAUUUAUAAAUUGAUUUUGACAUCUCAGUUUAGGCGUGUACGACCUUUGUGAGCAUUAUUUUGCUGGGAACUUAAAUUUCAAUUUAAUAUAGUUCAGGUAUUACAAUUUGGUAAAUUGGAUAAUAUUUUCAAGGGGAAGGAGAAUUAAAUUAGUUGAAACCGAUUUUUAUUGUUAGUGGUUUUUUGUAUGUGAGUGGAUGAGGUUGUCUCUCUAGCCUUGCUGCAUCUUUAGCUAGGAUUUUCUCAAAAAUCUUGUAUAUAUCCCUAAGGUUAUGGUGUUGUUCAUAGUAUUGACGCCAUAACCUCUAUACACUUUCAAACUGAAUAUGAUCAACAGCUUCUAGAGAAUGCAUAAAUGAAAUAUGGGUAUUUGAAUUUAUAGAGAUGUUCUAAGCUUCUGUUUUUUGCUUUUUCAUUUAUCUUUGCAAGCAGAUAAAUGUACCUGAGGUAUUGAUAUGUGUAAUAGCAUCCCAGAUUGCUAAUCUUGGUGAGAGCAUAAUUGGUGCUGCAUUCCAAGGGAAAGAAGGAUUUCGUUGGGUAAGGAAUCAUUUGAAUAAUAGGAUGGUUUCUGUCAUCCUGUUUUCUUAACCAUUUUUUCUUAAAUUUAGUGCCUAUGUAUCUUCUAGAUUUUAGUGUUACCGAUGAAUCAGGCUUGAUUCUAUAUGAAUGUAUGGUUUGAUGUGGUAUAUCGAUGAGAUGAUUACAUGUAUAUCAUUUUGUGGACUCUCAUCAUGUUUGGAUCUGGCUGCACUCCUAAAGCUGUAGUGAGGAAGAAUUAUAUACCCACUGUUUUGGGGUAAAGAAGAUCGAAGAGUAAAUUUAGAGAGAUCAGCCUGUUAUAAAACUGCCUGCUAAGGAUUAAUUCUAGUCUUAAUUUUCAUUCGAUGAAAUCACGGUAUUGUGCAUGUAAAAGGCUGUUAUGUUGGUCUGAUUCUUCUUUUUGCUUUGAAGUAUCCAUGUUCAACAUAUAGUCACACAAGAAAUAUGGAGAUAUGACCUUCAAGAUACAUGAUAAACUUUAGCACAAAUCUCUAUCAGACACUUACCUGAAUUUGAGCGAAAUAUCUGGGUUGGCCAUAUAUAAAUCUGCCUAGGAUCUAUCAUCUUAGCAUGUUUAUAUGCUUUUCAUUAUAAGGCUGAAACUUGGAUUCUUUUACCAUAUUGAUUUUGGUUUUCAUCUUGCAGCUGAACAAUGAUGCUGUUAAUGUCAUCAACAUAUCCAUAGGCUGCAUUUUGGCAGUCUUAAUGCAACAACUACUCCAAAACUGGCAAAUGUAAGUUCACCCCAUCAUCUCUUUUGCGAUGUCAGGUAAUUAUUGCAGAGUUCAUCGACACUGCAAUCGACAUAUUGCAAUGUGGGGAAAGAAAAGAAGAAGAAGAAAGAGAAAGUCUUCAAUGUAAUGCAAGAGAUGAGCACAAAGGUGCAACAAUUAUAGCAAUGAUUUUGCUAACCUUGAAAGAUACUCAAAUGAUAUGGAAAAUCAUUAGCAUAACCAUUUGUUCCAUGAGUAUAUUUUAAAAAGGCUUCUCUCUUUUAUAGUCUUGGUAUUCAAAGAUGUAUUCCUUUUAUCAAUCUCCAGUUAGAAAUGAAUUAGAUGCUUUUUAAAUUGCAUUUCUUAACCAAAAUUAUUGGCUUUUUUUUUAUUGUUGUUGAGCCGCACUGGAUUUAUGGGUGUAAUUGAAGCACAAGCUUGACUUGGAACUUUUAUGUUCAAAGUUCGGCCCGGGCCCAAGCUUGAGUUCAAUUAAGCCAUUUGUGAAUAUAUCAACCAAUUGUUCCUUUGUAAAGACAUGUCUAGUUUGGACUAAACCAUCUUGGAUUUUUUUUACAAGGUGAGAGUCAAUCUCUAUAUGUUUCGUUCUCUCGUAGUAUUCAGGGUUGGUUGCAAUCUGAAUUGCUGCUUGACUAUCAUAGAAUAAUAUGAUUGGUUCUACUCGUUUAAAUCCAAGUUCCUUCAGUAGUCCAGUCAACCAAACUAACUCAGCCAUAGUUCUAUACUUUGCCUUUGCUGAAGAUCGUGAUACUGCAUUUUGUUUUGUUUUGUUUUUUCCAAGAGAUGAGACUUAAAACUUCUGGAGGAUGGUCAGGAUGGGUGUUUGGUUUACAAGGUAAAGAAAACGGUGAAGGUGGAGUUUGUGAGGUUUUCUUUUUACCUUUCCCUUUGGAGGAGGAUGAAGGUUGGAUCAUGAAAUUUUCUGGAAGUUUUUCUGGUGGUCUAGAAAGAAUGUCUGCAAGAACAUUGGUUUUCCCUUUUAUGUGGAGGACAUUCUGUCACUAAUCGCUUUGACAUUGGACUUGAAGCCCAAUUCGAAUCACAAUAUGCUACAAGUUAUGGAGAACCAACUACAGCACAGAAUAAACCUUGUCCUGGAUCCUUUUUAAUGUAUCUGACUAUUCUAAGAGCAGCUUUAUAAUGCGACUUCUUGGGUCGUUGCAUAAACUGACUGGAUGUUGUACCACAAACGUCAUAUCUAGCCUUGUAUGAGUCAAGUACAAAAGCCUUCUAAUAAGCCUUUGAUAUAAUGAAACAUCUGUCAAUACCUCAUCAUCAUGAUUCAUUUGCACCAUCUCAUCUUACUGGAGAUGUCAAGUUUUGAUUUUGUUCUAAAGGAGUGACAACUAUCUUUCCUCCCCCUUACCUCGUGUCUGAAAUUAAUUCAAGAGCAUAUUUGCGUUGAUUCAGUACAAUUUCAAACUGUGAUCUUGUGAUUUCAAUGCCAAGAAAAUACUUUGAGAUCACCUAAAUCUUUCAUUUUGAAAUUUUGAUGCACAGUUCCUUUAAGCUCAUUUAUAAGCUUGGUAUCAUUUCCAGAAAUCAACAAAUCGUUAACAUAUAUCAACAUGACAACCAGCUUAUAACCUUUCUUCUUGAUAAAACGAGAAUAAUCGUACUUACUUUGUGAAUAACCAUUUAGAAGAAUAGCUUUAGUAAGCUUUAGAUUCCACUGUCAGACUUAGCAAUUGACAUACUCUAGUCUCUCUUUGAUUGCGAAAAUCGUCUGGAAGAGUCAUAUAAACCUUCUCAUGUAAAUCUCCUUGCAUUAUAGGCAUCCAUUUGAAACAAGGGCCAACCAAACUAUACAGCAAGAGCAAUGACCGUGCAAAUUGUGACUUGCUUCGCAACAGGGGAAAGUGUCAUGAAAAUAAAAAACCUGCCUGCUGAGUAUAACCCUUCCUAACAAGUCUGGCUUUAAAUCUUUCAACCGAGCCAUCAGAGCUGUACUUGACCUUGUAGACCCAUAUGCAACCAAUGGGCGUUUUACUAGGAGGUAAAGGAACUACCUCCCACGUGACAUUUGAUUCCAAUGCUUGAAUUUCUUGAUCCAUGGCCUUUAUCCAAUGUUUAUCCUUAAUUGCUUCACUUUAGGUUUAAGGUUCAAUAAUAUGGGAAAUGGAGGCAGCAAAAAAUUGUGUAUGCAAAGGUAAAUGAGCAUCAGCUAUACAAUUAGAUAUAGGGUACUAACCUUUAUGGAGUGAAGAAGAUAAAGAAGAGCAAUUUAAAUCUUUCAUCCAUGUAGGAUCCUUAAAAGAACGAGUAGUGCGAUGUAAAGACAGCUGGUAAGGUAGUAGACUACGAAGGUAAUAAGGACUGGUUGGGAAAUGGAGCUGAAGAACGACAAGGAGCUAAGGAUGAACAUUUCAAAUGGGAUUUUUCCAAUUCAAAGCUGAAGUAGGUAAUCUGUUAACAAUAUAACAAGCAGCAAGGAUACACUCGCCCCAAAAUUUGGUAGGUACAUUAGACUGAACUUUGAAAGCACAUGCUAUUUCUAACAAAUGUCGAUGCACACAAGAACUUUGAUGUAUUAUGCCUAAGAAGAAAAAAAAGGAGUAUAUUCAGAGUUAAAGAACUCAGUACUUAUGACUUCCAAAAGUUUUAACAACAGUUGAAAAUUGCGUGUGAACCAAGGCUAUAAACUGUUUCAAAAUGACAAUAGUGUCGGUUUUAAGCUUAAACAGAUGAACCAAAGAAAAAGGAGAAUCCGCUCGAGAAUAACUAAUAGGAAAUGGCAAUCGUGUUUGUUUAGUAAGAGGACGAACAUGGCAUGGACUAAUAUAGUCACUGUUCCAAAAUGAAAGAAACAUGGCCAAGUCCGGCAUGCCAAAGGAAAGACUGAUCAUGAGAUGUCAAAAAGGAAGAAAUGGGAGAAGAUACAAAAGAUGGCAAUUGAGGCUGUUGAUGCACCAGAAUGUAAAGAUCAUUCUGUUCUUUACCAAUCCCCUUCACUUGUCCACUGCAAAGUUGCCGUAAAAGGCAAAAAUCGGGAUAAAAGGAUACAAAACAAUGUAAGUCUCGAGUUAACUUGAAAACGAAAAUUAAAUUGAAAUGAAAGUCUGGGACAUGAAGGGCAUUGGUUAACUUGAUAGAGGAGGACAAGACAUAGGAACCCAUGUGAGUAAUAGGGACGGAUUUACCAGUGGGAAAUUGGACAAAUGAAGAAUGAAAAGUAAAAGGAACAAGAGAAUCCAAAUAUUGGCAAUCAGAUAUCAUGUGGUUGGUGGCCCUCGUCUCCAAAAUCCAUUGGAAAGAUGCAGGCCAAGAAACCAUACCUGCCAUGUGAGCAGCUACUCCAACAGUUGAAGUGAACUCAAGACUGAGUAAAUUCAAGAUCAGUAGAUACUGUGCCUGAAUAAACACAGGUGCAAAUACUAUGGUAGCAUUGUUAGUCAUAGUUGACCUUUGUUUUGUAAAUUUAAAAUCAACAGGAUACCCAAUAAGCUUCUAACAAGUUUCCCGUUUGUGACCUUUAAUCUUUCAAUGGUCACACACAUCUUUCAAUGGUCACAGAAUACAAUGUUGUAGGUUCAGAAGGAAAAGAUAUGCCAGAAGAAUGUUGUCUUUGAGCUUCCUCUUGAACAAGCACGGAAUUAGCUUAAUUAACAGAAGGUAAGGGUUCCAUUAACAAAACCUGACUUCCAACAACAGCAUAAGAAUCAUUCAGGCCCAUCAGAAACUGAAAUAACCACUGUUGUUGAAUAAGUUGUUGAUUCAUGCGGGAAUUUUCACAAGAAAAAGAACCAAAGCAUCGUAAUCCCACAAAAGCUUCAAUCGUGUAAACAAAACUGAAACAGAGUAAGUACCUUGAGCAUGGGAAGCAAUCUCACCAUGAAGAACCAUCGACUUUCUCAUAUCGUUCUUGAAGUUCUUUCCAUGUUGACAAAAAUAAACUGUGCGGUAUAAUUAUAUAAUUAACGUCGCUCAAAAUUAACAUAAAAUUUCAAUAUUUGUAAAUUCGAAUAAAGAAGGUGAAAUUCAAUUAUAUUACUUUAUAUACUCAGUGCUUUCUAUGUAAAUUAUUUUCAUUAUUUUAAAUAUAAAAUGUUUAUAUUAACAUGAUAAAAAAUAAAUUAAAUUAUAAAUUAAAUAAAAAAUAAAAUUCAGUUUUAGUUACAUUCAAAUACUCGAUUUUUGGGGUUUUCUGCGCCCUAAUAGUAGGAAAAGAAAAUUCUCAUCAAACCCUAAAGCCCAUAAAAGAAAAAGUGAGAAGUUUAGUUGAUCUAUCAGAAUCUCAAGCACUCACCCUUAAUUUGCAGUAAGUUGCGAGUCUGCAAUUCUUUAGACCCCUUUUCUCAAUUGAUUUUCUUCUUUAACCAAUCGUUUCUCUCGCGCUCUGUUUCUUUUAGGAUGGCCGAUGAACAUAUUUCCACAGUCCUGGAGCAGCUACGACGAAUCAUGGCCGACGAAAGAUUUCGGAACUCGGAGUUUCAGAUAAACUUGCUUGUAUGGAGACUCGAAGCUUUUCAAUCUAUGAUUCUUUAACAUGGGGACGGGCUAUUUUCGGUUCGGCUAUUGGAGCGUGGGAUUACUGUUCAUGCACUCGAUCAAGUGCUAUAUAACAUAGAAGAUGUAAUUAACGACGUCUUACAUUUAGGAGUAUCUACUGAAUUAGCAGCAGCAGGCCUUGAGAAGUUUGCUUCUACUCAAUCAAAAGCAGCAUCAGCAGAAACAGCCACUCUUUACAUCUUGCGCAAGAGGUUGGAAGAAUUGGAGGAGGUAUUGAUUGGUAAUCCGCAUGAAUCGCAUCCCUUGCACUCUAAACGAUCUUUUUUUGUAAAAUUGUCAAAGUUAUAUGGUCUAGAUGUGGUUAAGAAAGAUAUAAUAAAUGUAAUUUUGGGUGAAAGUUUCAGGGAUAGUAGCGACAGCAUUAAAACCAUCAUUAUUGUUGGCAUGGAAGGAACGGGGAAAACAUAUCUUGCGCGGUGCAUUUGUACUGAUUGUCAAGUUCUGGAAAUUUUUGACAACAUAAUUUGGGUGAAUGUUUCGGAUGAUUUUGAUUUAGGUAAAAUUGCAAGAAAAAUUAUUCUGUCUCUUGAAGGUUUGGAGCAUGACUCUUUGCGUCUCCUAACAUUAGUUCCAUUGCAAAGUCUGUUAGAUAGAAUUCAGCGAAAGAUUGUUAACAAGAAAUCACUUCUUGUUUUAGAUGGUGUGGGGAGAUAUGAUUGUGAUGAUUGGGAAGCACUUAGAGCUGUUUUUCAACAUGGCAUGUCGGGGAGUGGGAUUCUAGUGACUACUCAUGAGCACUCGGUUGCAGGAGCAAUGGAAUCAUCUUAUAAAUUUUGUUUGGGAAAGCUGUCUGAUGAGUUGUGUUGGAUGAUACUUCGUGAAGUUGGAUUGAAUGAUGAUACUCUUGAAUAUGCGGUAGAGGAUAUAGGAAGGGAACUUGCAAGGAGGUGUGAAGGACUACCCUUUGCUGCAAAGGUUUUGGGAGAUGCUAUACGACAUUAUGACUUUGGAAUAAGAGGAUGGGAUGUUUUUCUGAGAAAUUGUAUCUGGAAAUCUCCUAGAAUACCCAAAUAUAUGUCUAAAAUUCUAUCACUAUCUUAUUGCAAUCUACCUUUGUCUGUAAGACGGUGCUUAUCGUAUUGGGCUAUCUUCCCCAAAAGCUUUGAGAUUUCAAAAACUCUUUUGGUGCAACACUGGAUGGCACAAGGUUGUCUGUACUCAUCUGAUAAUUUAGAAAUGGAACUAAAAGGUGAAGAGUACUUUAAAUGCUUAGAAGCUCAUUCAUGUUUCCAAUAUUGUACCAGAGAUGGUGGUAUGCUUACUUGUAAGAUGCAUAGCUUAGUACAUGAUUGUGUCCAAUCUUUGUCCCCAUAUGAUUUAAUGAUGAGGUUCGAGUCUGUUAAACAGCUGACCUUGAAUUUAUCUUCUUGGACGGAGGAGGUCAAAGUUGUUGGCACUCAUCAUUUGGUAAUGAUGAUUGCUCAAGGAGCUGGUUUUCCCAUGGACAUUAGUGGUGCAGAGAAAUUGAGGACCCUUGUUGCUGUUACUCAAGGGUGUUUGAUAACUAGUCAAGCAUUAUCUAACUUAUUUAAACAAUCCAAACAUCUGAGGUUAUUGGAUUUGAGCUUGACUAGUGGGUGGCAUAAUUGUUUUGGGCCAUCCGGACAAGGUAAUAUACUAGAUGAAAUUCCGGUGGAAAUCUGCAGAUUGAUUAAUUUGAGGUACCUUAGCUUGGCUGGCAGCAAAGUAUUGAAGAUAUUACCAGAAACAUUGUGUGACUUGCAUAAUUUGCAAUCCUUGGAUCUUACUGGUUGUAGUAGUCUUAGAAAAUUGCCAGAUGGAAUGGGGAAAUUAAUGAACUUGAGGUAUUUUUAUACCUGGUGUUGCUCUAGUAUAACUUCCUAUCCAAAAGGGAUUAGCUGCUUAACUUCUCUUUGAGAAUUAACCAAUGUCAUUGCUAGAGCUGAUCACAAUGAUGCAAAGGAAUUCACUCUUGGAGAUUUUGAAAAGUUGAACAACCUUUGUGGACAUGUUCGUGUGAAACUGGUAGGGAAUGCGAUGGAUGCAGAUGAGGCUAUUAGAGCUAACCUUUGGAACAAGAAGGAUCUUGACCGUAUCAGAAUAAAUCUGGAUGGGGAUAUAGGGAAAGAAAGCCAAGACGUUAUAAAGAAAGCAUUAAACCCGCCUUCCGACUUGAAUAUAGAGUUCGUAGGUUGGUGGUUCUAGUCCAGAAAUGUAAGGAUGCUGCAAAGCAACAGGUAGUCUCUCUGUCUCAUUUUCUCUUUUGUUGUAGCUUUGAUGGUUCAAAUUCAGUAUUUACUCCUAUGAUUCAUUCAAACCCAAAUUUCAGUUGUGUUAUAGUAGUUCUAGUUUCUGUUGUUAUCAUCUGAUUAGAUGGAAUAUUAUGAAAUCUCUUAUAACAUUACAAUGACAAAGAUAUCGGCUUGUCUAUCACAUGAAAUUUCUCUCUUGCUAAAGCAUGCUCUGAAUGAAUCACUUUAAAACGGCAAGAUAACUUAGAUUAUCCUUAUUUUCUUUUGCUGGACAUACAUAUCCCGUGAGAGACAUUGUCGUUAUCGGUGGUACUGUAGUUAAAGUUGGAGUAUAUUUUUAGUAUUUUAGUUUUUAUAUUAGGAUUUAAUCAGUUAUUAAGAUGGAUUUUUUCUGGAAAAAACAUGGAUACUUUUUUCUAAAAUUUUUUAUUAACUCUUUUGAAAUUUGUUAAAUUUUUAAUUAUUUUUAUUAGUUUUUGAAUUUUUAUGAAUUAUAGGUAGGCUACCACACGAAUUGAUCACGUCAAUAUUGUUAAAAUUUUAAUAAUCUUUUUAAUUCAAAAGAAAGUAAUAUAACUAAAUUGUAAAGGUUAAGUGUAAAAGUCAAAAUGACAAAAUAAGUCAACAUUAAAAGAUUAAAUUUAUCACGAUGCCUUUUUUAUAUACUCAUAAUUAAUUAUAAUAAAAAGUUAACUUUAUUCAGAUAUAUUUGUUAUUUUAAAUAAAUAUUCAGAAUACAACUUGAAAAUAAUCUCAUGUUUAUAAUUAUAACACGAAAACUUUACUUACUAUAUAAUGGAAGAGUAUUUGGUAUAUUAACAGUGUGCCUUUUUUUAUUGCACAAGUAUGUGUAAAAGAUUGAUAUAUGUCUUUAUUUUUUAAUAUUUUAUUAUACUUUCUAAGACACUUGUCAAUCUUUUAACUUUGCUUAUAAAAUUUAAAAAUUCCACUAAUAAUCUCACCUAGCAAAAUGGAUUAAAAACAUUUAAAGUAAUUUAGUUGAAUUAUGAUAAAAGGUCAAUGUAUUCUAAAAUGCUAAAUGGCAUAAAUUUGAGUUUGUCAAAUUCUCUAGCAUUGGGAGGUAAGUCAAAUUGCAAACUAAGUUGAAUAUUUUUUGGCUUUUCAGUAAUCAUAUUCAUGCUAAUAUUUUUAGAUUUAAUUCUCACUUUCAAUAUUAAAAGAGGGUUCAAAUGCAACUUGGAGUCAACAUGAACAUGAUACUUUGAAAACCCUAAAGGGCACUUGCACUCUUGUUUUGGAGGUGAGGUUAAGAAGACCUACAACAAGUUUUAAUAGAAUUUGAUAUAGUUGAAAAAGAUUCAGAGGAAAAUGGUACCAAAAUCUACAGUCGUGGAAUACGAUGACUGUAUUAAAAUAUAUGAAAUUGGUUGAUGGUUUUAUUUAUUGUCUCUUAAUAUUUUAACUAAUCAAUUAAGUAGUAAUGAGAAGGACAUGACACUUAAUCAUUAUAGUUUCUAGUUAAAGUUUAGGAAGAUGCAUUGACAUCAAUUCACUAAUUUUUUAUGAAAAAUGUUUUUAACCGGUUCAUAUCCCCAAUACCAUUGAACGUUGAAUCAAAUGGUUUUGUUGAUUAGAGAAAGACACUAAGAAAUGUAGAGGAACAUGUAUGCGUAAGAGAGAAUUUGAGGCACAUUUAAUAAGUUAACUUUGGAAAUUUUAUAUGUGGAUAAUAGCAACGAAGAAAGAGACUGUUGAGAAUGAUCAAACUUGGAGCAUAUGUUUAGAUCCAUGUGGAGGUACCUAUUAGGUAAGUGAAACAAGCAAUUGAAAUGAUGGAGAGUUUAGUACACCGGUAUCGUACUAUGAUAAUUUAUGGUCAUUUUUAAUUAAUACAAGUCAAAAAUAAUAAUAUUUAAUAAACCUAAAAUUAAUGGGCAAAUAGUGAUGAGUUAUCCUAAAAUAGAAUUGAAGAGGAUAAGGUCCUACAAUUAAUAAUAAGAAAAGUGAAGACUCUUUGAAAAGAUUAAGGAUGUACUUUGAUUAAGAGUGGUUAUAAAAAAAAAAAUUGGGGGGAAGGGAUAGAGUGGAGUAAGGAAAGUGGUGUGAUUGCCCAUUAACAUAAGUAAGAAAUAUGCGAAUGAUUGCCCAUUAACAUAUAGAGUAGGUAAAAUUGACUUGUUUUUCUAGAAAGACAAUAGAUAAGCCUAAAAAGUUAUAAAAAGUAAUUGUUAAAAUAGUUAAAAUGAGAGGAAAAAAUAAGAUAUUUUUGUUUAUGAGAAUUAAGUGUCGUGAGUCGGGACGAAAAGAUUAAUCAUUGUUACGACAGUAAAUACCUUGAUUACAACGAAAAAGAUAAAAUACCAUUUUACUUUAUAGAAAAUUCUCAUGAUUUUAUAAAAUAUACCAUGAAUAUAUUAAAUCAUAUAAAAAGCGUAAUUCUAUAACUCAUACCUAAUUUAAAUACAGGAUGGUAUUUAGAAUGAUUAUAAGAAAAUGCUUGUUCAUGAAUGUUGUGAGUUUUCCGAAUCUUGGGGACAAUGUACCCUCUGGCUCCCGUCAGGAUUCACCUGGUAAUUUAUAAAAAGGAAUAAACAAUCACUUGGUAACUCACAACUCACAAGGCAUAAAAUAUAAUCACGUCAAGCAGCAAAACACAAACCUUUUUUAAUAUUCCAAUCUAAUACAAGUGAUAAUAUCAACUCUUAGAGCCCUAACUCUUAAAGUAUCAGCACAUAAUUUUAACCACUUACUUUUAAUAAAUACCACCAUCACUACCAUUAUCACCAUCGACAGAGCCUCUCAAUUCAUAUGUCCUGCAAAAAAUGGUGUCAACACUAACAAAAAAACCAAAAUUAUAUCAUUAAAAUAUAUUUGUAUUUCUUAAAAGGCAGAUCAUUCAGUUUUUCUGGACAAGUUUCCCUAUGCAAUCUAAUACAAGUGAUAAUAUCAACUCUUAGGGUCUGUUUGAUUGACGGAAUUGAUUUUCCGGAAAAUCAUUUCCAACUUUUCCAGCGUUUGAUUGGCGGAAAACAUUUUCCAUUUGGAAAAUGAACUCCAAAACAAGGGAAAAUGAGUUACAUUUUAGGGAAAAUGUCUUACUCUUUCAAUUUCUAUAAUUUUAGGCUUUUCCCACCUACCUCUAAUUACACAAAAUAUUUUCAGAUUUAAUUUACUAAUUUUGGCUUUUACAAGGUCAAGAUUUGACUAUCCCAUCAAAUGUCCCAAAUUUAUAAUUUGGUCCCUCUUCUCUUUUCCAUGCUUCAAUCUAACCCCUUCUUUGCUUGUUUUUGAUUUAAAGUGCCCGAAUUUUGUUCCUGUCAAUAUUUAAACACAAAACGCACCAAUUACCAGGGAUUAAUUUGAGAAUAAGUCGAGUUGAACACGUAAAUUAUGCAAAAUGAACAAGUUAUCAUUGACCAUUAGUGCUACGUCAGCACAAACAAACGGUGUUAGUGCAGAGAUACCAACCUAGGUGACAGAAUAUAAAUUCAGGUACCAAUUAGAUAAAAAAAAAUCAUACACCAAAUAAAUACUUUUGAAUAAGUUCGAAAAUAGACGACAAAUUAUCCUUUCUUUUCUCUUUUUAUCUACCUGUAAUAUUUGAAUAUGAAAAGAAGUUACACAACUUUUCAAUUUCAAUAGUAGUUAUUUAACUUUGCCUAGUUGAGUUUUACAUAAAAUUUCUUUCUUUCGUUGAACAUGCUCUCAAUGAAUCACUUCAAACCCCCAAGAUCCUAAUAUUUUGCAGAACAUAUCAAUUGAGAGGCUCUAUCGAUGGUGGUGGUGGUGUUAGAAUCCGUUUAUGCUGGUGGUAGCAUUUUGUAUUUUUUUUUAUCGUAUUUAUUAAAAAUAAGUGGUUAAAAUUACGUGUUGAAAAUUUAAGAUUUAGAGCAUAUCGCCACUCGUAUUAAAUUGUAAUAUAAGCAUCGAUUGUAAAAAGAAAAGUUUGUGUUUUGCUUGUACUGUCUCAUAAAAGACAUUAAGUAAUUUCGUUGUCGUGUUUAUAUUUUAUGCCUUAUGAGUUACCAAAUGGUUGUUCAUUCCUUUUUAUAAAUUACUAGCCGAAUCCUCUUCAGUGAAGGAGCUUGAAAAUUUUUUGGGAGGGUCGGAAUUAAAUUGUAUAUUUGUAUGAUGGUAAAAAUAGAAUUUUAUAAUUUUAAUAGCUUAUAUCUUUAUAAUUUUUAAAAGGUUAAAUCAAAAUUGUAUCAUUUUAAGAGGUCAAAGUAUAGUUUUACUAUUACUAAUUUAAAAUUUUAUAAAUUAUAAAGGGCCUAAAUUAAAAUUUACUAUUUUAAGGGGGCUAUGGCGCCUUGGGUCUCCACUACAUUAUGCCACUGAUCCUCAUGGAAGACAGAGGCUACCUUGACCCCCAAGAUUUAGAAAAUUGCCAUUUGACCUUUUUAAUUUUAUAAAAUUUUUAAUUUAGUUUAUUAAAAUUCUGUAAAUUUUCAUUAAACAAUUUUUAAAACUUUUAAUUAGAUCUCUCAAAUUCUUUUUGGAAAUUCUUAUUUUCUCAAUUAAUUUUUUAAUUAAACUAUUCAGAAUUUUUGAUAAUUCUCAUUAAACCUUUUUAAAAUUCUCGAAAUUUUAAUUAAAUUGGUAAAAUUUGAAAAAUUUUAGUGAAGGGAAUCCCUCCCACAUAUUGAUCAAGAAAGCUUUGAAAAAAUAUUAAUUAAUUAUAUGUUUGAGAGAUUAAUAAUGUACUAUUUGGCUCCCAACAAUAAUAAUUCACUCUUAAUUUUGCUUCUUUUCCCUUUUUCUUUUACUUGUUUUUGUGAAAGAUAUCAUAAUAUAUGUUUUAAAUAAUUAAUGUAAUAAUAGAAAUAUUAAAAAAUAUAGUUAAUAGUAACAAUAUUUUAUACAAGCACAAUGACUUAUUCAAUUCUCCAAUUUUACAAAAAGAGACCAAUAAGUGAUUAGAUGUAAUGACAGGUCACAUUGCAUUCCCAAAAGAACUGCCUAAGUUCGAACAUCAUAAGUAAUAUAAAAACUUAAACAAAGUCAUGUAACAACCCAUAUAUCAAGUAUCACCAAAUACCAUUUCAUUCUUAUUCCAUUGUUUAGUUUCUAUUUUCAAUCAACUGAAUAUCGUCCGAUGGAACUAUAGCAAAACGGGCUCAAAUACACGGGAAUAAGUUGGUCACACAAGUUGACAGUAUAUUAGGGCUGCUCAGACAAGUUGACAUUACAACAGAAUUGCUCACAUAAACUGAUAUUAUAUCAAGGUUAUUCAUCUGGGCUAAACCUUCAAUAUGUAUAACCCGAGAAUUUGAGACAAGCCCAAGAACUCAUCCUAUGUAAAAGGGGUGCCAAACCCUAGUGCAUAGUAGGGUAUGUUGCCGCCCCUUAGUGUUUUGAAUAAAGGGGAACUGUAGUAUCAUAUUAAAACAAUACUAUUUAAUUACUCAUUAUUCAAGUAAAACUUUUGUACUAUUUUCCUAAAAUAGGAUCUAUGAAAUGAUUUAAUUACACCUAUCGCUGUUAUUUUAUCAUAAAAUAGUGGUAAUUUGUUUAUAAGAAUAAAUUCUAUAUUCUGAAAAGCUCAAAGUUUUCGAUUUCUAUAUAGAGAAUUAACUUUCUCACUAAAAGUUCAUGAAAGAUUGGUUGAACUGGGCAAAAAAAUUGGUCGAAUUAGAUGCGAUUGAACUGGUUGAACUAAAAUAUUUUAAUAUAUUUUUAUUUUUUAUGAAUUUUUUAUGAUUUAUUUAAUUGAAUUAGACUAAUCAAUCAAACCAAUUGAAUCAAUUGGAUCAACAAACUAGUAACCUUAUUGGUUUGAUCAUCGAUUUAGUUUUUAAAACCUUAGAUUUCGUCAUACCGUUUCAAUUAUUAUACCUUAUAAAUAAAAUAUAAAGUAAACCAGUGGUGAAAUUAGGGGGAUUGGCAAGGGCCCUGGCCCUCCCUAAAAUGAUUUUUUUUUUCAUAUGGACCCUCUAAAAAAAUUAAAAUUUUAAAUUAAUAAAAAUAAAAUUAUACUUUGGCUCCCCUAAAAUAUAAAAAUUUGAUUUAAUCUAUUAAAAAUUAUAAAGAUGUAGUCUAUUAAAAUGGUGAAAUUGUAUUUUUCUAUCGUAAAAAUUACAAUUUAAUUUUAGCCCAUAAUUUUUUUUUUCUAAUUUCGCACCUGAAAUAAGCUAUAUUUGAUUAAAUUUAUUAUUUUACCUUACAUACAAAACACAAAAUAAACAUUUAACUAUACAAAAUUAAUUGAUGAAUUGUUUUACUCAGUUGAAAGUAGAACAAAUAAUUGAUCCAAGAGGAAAGUGAAAUUUAUCCUUUUAUACGUCGAACAUUAGCGAAAAGGACAAAAAAGAAAUUUUGGGUUAUUUGGCUUUUGUUUCCUGCUGCUCUCCUCAAUCCAUUGACGCUGUUUCACCCCCUUUCUCUCGAUUUCUCAAUGUUUCUUUUCCUGUAAUUUGUUGUGAUUUGAAGUAUAAAUCAGGGAGAAGUAAAAGCUAUCAUAAAAAUGGCGGAGGCAAUUCUUACGGUAGUCUUGCGACAGAUAACAACAAUCUUGAGUGACCAAGCGGUAAAAGAGAUGACGAUGUGGGGAGACCGCGAGGCUGCUCUCAAAAAUCUUGAAACAUAUCUGAAAUCCAUCCGAUCCGUUCUCAAAGAUGCAGAGGACCUUCAAAUUACAGACGAUGCAAUCAAACUGUUGCUAGAAGAUCUGAAAAUUGUAAUUUAUGAAAUCGAGGAUGUGUUGAAUUUAUGGAGCUGUAAAGUACGGAAGGCAGAAUCUGUUCGUGCCAAGGUAAAUUGUCUACUUGAAUUCAUUGCAUAUCGUCGUAGUUCUGAUAGAAUAAAGAAGAUUUGUGAAAAACUGAGUCCAUUUGAGCUGAAAAACAAGCUGGAUCUGGGCAAGAGUAAAAUUAUAUCUCCUCUGCGGAACAAAGAAAGUACUAGCUAUUGUGAUCUAUCAAAAAUUAUUGGUCGAAGCGGAAUAAAAACUGAGUUAGUGUUCCGUUUAGUUUNNNNNNNNNNNNNNNNNNNNNNNNNNNNNNNNNNNNNNNNNNNNNNNNNNNNNNNNNNNNNNNNNNNNNNNNNNNNNNNNNNNNNNNNNNNNNNNNNNNNNNNNNNNNNNNNNNNNNNNNNNNNNNNNNNNNNNNNNNNNNNNNNNNNNNNNNNNNNNNNNNNNNNNNNNNNNNNNNNNNNNNNNNNNNNNNNNNNNNNNNNNNNNNNNNNNNNNNNNNNNNNNNNNNNNNNNNNNNNNNNNNNNNNNNNNNNNNNNNNNNNNNNNNNNNNNNNNNNNNNNNNNNNNNNNNNNNNNNNNNNNNNNNNNNNNNNNNNNNNNNNNNNNNNNNNNNNNNNNNNNNNNNNNNNNNNNNNNNNNNNNNNNNNNNNNNNNNNNNNNNNNNNNNNNNNNNNNNNNNNNNNNNNNNNNNNNNNNNNNNNNNNNNNNNNNNNNNNNNNNNNNNNNNNNNNNNNNNNNNNNNNNNNNNNNNNNNNNNNNNNNNNNNNNNNNNNNNNNNNNGCAUCUUUCUAACACCAACAACAUUACUGCCAUCCUAAUAAACCAUAAGUACCAUUUCCACUCCAUCAUCAUCAUCAUCUUUCUGUUUUCACUUCUCUCUCAGCUAUAUGUUACUUUUUGUUAACUUCUAUAUGUAUAUAAUCUAAAGAAGCCUAAGCUUCUUAUUUAUAUACAAGCAGAACAUUUUGCAUCCCACUUAUUCAAUAUAAUAUAAAAAUAAUAUAUAAUUAAUUAAUUCCUCAAAAAUUGGAUCAAUCUAGGCUUCUUAUUUACGUAAAUUCCUUAUUGCAAAAACUCUUGGUAGAAAUUCGUUAGGAAAGGAUGAAUGGACCACAAGAAUGCUUAUCAACUCUUGACUUUGGCGUCCAAUGCUAAAUUUAUUUUAAAAUUUCUUCAUGGAGACAAGAUGGGAUGACAAGAAUGAUAAGUUUUAAGUCAUUUAAGUUUACACAAUUUUAAUCACUCAUAAAAACAAGUAUUGACAUUCUAUUAAAGAAUUUAAACAUGGCUUAACGUUGAUUUUAAAUCUAAUGUUGAUGUUAAUCUUGAAAAAAGAAUGGCCAAAAAAAAUAUGAAAAGUGAGAGGUGGACAUAAAAUAGUGUAGUUGGGGUUAUAAAAUUCUUCAUGUAGACAUAAUAUUUUUUUUAUGCCUUUUUUACACUUAUAUAGAGUUAGUCUUGACUUUGCUUUAUUAAUAGAAAUUUUAGGUCUUCAUUUUUUGUUUUAUUCAUGGACAUAAUAUUUUCUUAUUUUUAUUUUAUGGUCUAUGAUCGAGGUUUAUGACUAUCCCCUUUCAACAACGUCGUCUCAACUGUUCAAACAUACACUUGCAGGUAAAAUAAUACUUUUUAAAAUCACAAAUAUUUAAAAUAAUACAUUGCAGCUAUAUAAAUGCUUUCUUGUUUAAGAUACUAAUAAAGUAAUUAACAAAGUAAUUAUUAUACCUAUAAUAAUUCAAAAUGCCACUUGUUAUCUAAUGAAGUAUAGGGGUGUAAAUGAGACAUCCGUACCCGCAAGCUAUUCGAAUUUGGCUCAAAAAAUUUUGAAAUUGAUUCGGUAAUUAUUGAGCCGAGCUAUAGGUCGAUCCGGAUUCGAGCUUAGUAAUACUUGACUCGAGUAGUUUGAGAGCCUUAUUGAACUUUUUAUAUUUUUAUAUUAUUAGAUUACAUUAUUGCUAUUAAUAUAUAUUAUUAACCCUAAGUUUAAUUAUUGAGGCGAGCUCAAACUCGAGUACAAAAAUUGAUAAACAUAUUUAAUUUCGAGCUUAAAAAUAUAUGUUCGAUCGAGCAUCAAGCUUUGAAUUUCAAAUUAAACUUGAGUUUAACAGUAUUGAGUUCAAAUAGAUUCAAUUACACCCUACAAUAAAAUAUACCAACAAAACCUACAUUCCAUCUUUGCUAUAAAUUUUAUGUAUGUGUGUGUUUAACGUGAGUUCCAUCUAUGUCCAACUUGAUGACGAUGAAAGUUCCUAUGGUGUAAAAAGUUUUAGUUAUGUGGAAAAAUAAGGCCUUCUCUUCACACGUUUAAUAUGCUUACUUGUGUCGGUCAUUUCGAUCUUCACAUCAAUUUUCAAAAAGUUGGAAAACUUAUGUCUGCUUUUAUGAUUCUUUUAUGUGUGUGUUUAACGUGACUUCCUUGUGAGUUCCAUCUAUGUCCAACUUGAUGACAAUGAAAGUUCCUAUGGUGUAAAAAGUUUUAGUUAUGUGGAAAAUUGGUGGAAAACUUACGUCUUUUUCACUUGCUUUUAUGAUUCUUUUUACAUGAUAUUACUAUAUAAUUAAAUUGAAAUACUGAUAAAUUUGAACCCAUAUGAUGUAAGUCUAGGCAUCAUCUAAUUUAUUGAUAUUUAAUUAAUUAAUAUAUAUACUUUCAAUUAUAAGAAUUGAAACAUAACUUUCAAGUCAAUUGGAGUAUGCCCCUGUUACACGUCAAAAGAAGUAGAUUUUGAACUCAACAUGAACCUGUGAGAUUUGAUGCCUAAAAUAUAGGUAUAAGGUUUCAAUUCAUGGAAAUGUUGGAAAUCUUGGAAAUUUCUUAGUCUCCUCUCUUUGGAUGUUUUUGAACAAAAAUGUUUUAAGUCUCUUCCGAUGCUAAACUUCUGAUUGGUCGUCGGUUCACUGACCCUUUGGUACACAGCAAUAUGAAGCAUUGGCCAUUCAAGGCCAUUGCUGGUCCUGGUGAUAAGCCAAUGAUUGUACUACUAUAGAUUUGAAUAUUUGUACACAUUUGAUCGGCUCUUCGUAAAUUUAAAUCUUACAAAUUCGGAUAAUAUUUGAACUUUGAAUGUAUGUUUUGUUGGUGAGAAUAUAAAGUUGAUAAAGAUUUGGUAAAUAGAGUAAAAUAUUAUUUUUAUUAGAAAAAUUAUUUGGUACACUGCCAAUCGAGGUAAUUAAAACAUGUCAUUAUAAAUAAUAAAAUUAUGAUGACUCAAAUAUACGAACACGUCAAAAUUUAUGUACAACGAAUUAUUAACAUGUAAAUGUAUAAUACGGUACGCAAAAAUAAGAUAAUUGCUUGUUUUUUUAAUUGAAUUGUUAUAACAUAUUAUACAAAAUACAUUGUGACUUAAAGCAUAAAAUGAACUUGAUAUCAAAAUAUUAAAUUUUUUUUAAAAUUCAAUGAUACGAAUAAUUAUGUAAAAUAUAACAUGAUGCAAAAUAUCUUGAGAGGAAAAGAGGAAUAAAGAAUUGCAUUAUUUGUGAGGUUUUAAAAUAUUCCAGUUUUAGAUUCAAUUUUCUAGUAUGUUUGGUUUAAUUUUACAUUAGAUUUCCUUUUCAGUAUGCACUAGUGAACGCUUAGCAGUCAGUUUAAUUUAAUUCAAAGAGAUAUUGCAUAUACAUAAUAAUGGAUUAUGAUUUUACAUUAAAUUUCAUAGAAGAAAAAGAAAUAGAUGGUUGAAAAUGAUAAAACCAUAAGAUAAAAGAGCUUUUAUUCAAAAUGCAAAAAUCAACAAAAUAUUCAUUAUCGCUCAACUUAGCAUAAUUAAACAUUUAGGUGUGGAAACAAGUCACAAUUUGAGUAGCUAAACACAUUGCUUGAAAAUGUGAUAAGUAAGAAAAUUGCCCACAUUUGAGUAGCGACAUGUGGUGAAGCAUUUCCCAACGAGAGAAAACUAAGCUCUUCACCAGUAUGGAUUUAUGUAGAGGACAACAAAAAUUGUCAACAACACAACUACAUAAGAAACCAAAAAGCUCACAAAAAAAUCAUAAGUAUCUAUCAAACCAUCUUCUCCUUUAUCUUCUGAUACAAUUGAUAUCGCUGAUGGUGAAUCGGUUUUGGAACAACUUUUAUGCAAUAUAUCUCCACAACGAAAAGGAUUUCCCUCAUAACUGUUUUCAAUAAAGGUCCCAAAUUGAGCUUUUGGUUCGGGAAUACUACCUGACAAAUUGUUAUAUGCCACGCUGAAAACCUCCAAAGAGUUCAACUCUACCAAUUGAUUGGGGAUUUCACCACACUCAAGUUGUUGUAAGAAAGGUCCAAACUCUCAAUGUGCUGAAGUUUUGAGAAUGAUGAGGGUAUAACUCUGGUCAACUUAUUGUGUGACAAGUUUAAAGAAUGGAUUUCACUCAAGUUCCCUAAUUUUGGUGGGAUAUGACCAGUUAAGUUUUUGCAAGAUAAAUCAAUCCCAAUAAUAUAUGAAAGGAUGUUGCCCUUGUACGAAUAGAACCCACUCUUUGUUGUGAACUCUAUUACUUCUUCUAAGUAGCUGUCAGGGUUGUAAGGAUUUAUACCCCUUUCCCAUUUUCUCAUCACAAUGGAUGUUGAUUCAUCCUUUUCUAUAAAUGGAAGAUAGAACCCAGUUGCUAGACUCUCUUUCUCUUUCAGUGGAAGAGAUAAAUUUCCCAAACAAGAAGGUAUAGGACUAGAAAACAUAUUUUGAGAAAGAUCUAUGAUGCUUAAAGAAUGCAACUUGCAUAACUCAAUAGGAACUUUAUCAUGAAAAUGAUUAUCUUUCAGGAGAAGAACACUCAAAGAAGAAAGCGUGUAAAUCCAUUUUGGAAUACUACCUGUCAAAUUGUUUCCUCUAAGAUCUAAAGUCACUAUUGAAGAGUUAUUAUAAAAAAGCAAGUGAUAGUGUGCCUCUCAGUCUAUUCCCGUGGAGGUGGACAUGCUCUAUGUAUGGUGGAUUAAAACAUGACGGUAUAGAGCCAGAUAAAUUAUUUUGAGAAAGAUCCAAAAAUUCCAACCUAUUCAACUUUCAAAAUUCCAUUGGAAUAGAACCUUCAAAACCAUUGUUGGACAAAUUUAAUCUCCACAAAAAUGAUGCAUUCCCUAUCCAUCUUGGGAGCUUUCCAUGCAACUUGUUACUGAGAUCAAUUUCGCUUAGUGAAUUUGGAAACUCAAAAAGAAAUGUUCACACAAAGUUUUUUCCAACAUAUGUCUGUCAUUUGUGGGGUCUUGAAUUUAAUAUCAAUGGUUGAAUUUUCAUAGCUAAUAUGUGCGCAAAAGGCCUAGUGGGUGGAAUUUUAUGUCAGGAAAGCGUUUCUACAAUGACAUAAUUAAUUGCAUUACUUUUCAAAGAUUGACUAUUGACUUUGGUGAGCUUAUUAGGUUAAAUUCUGCUGCUGGUCACUGUUCUUUGUGAAAGUUGUAAAUUUAGUCUAUUUACUUCAAUUUGAUCAAUUUUAAUCCCUAUACAUUUUGAUUUUUAAAAUUUUAGUUGUGACCCAAACAAUAGAGUUAAAUCAAUUUAAUUAAAACCAAUUACUAGUCCUAUAUUAUGUGUACAAUUGUUGAUUUAGUCCAUACUCUCCAAUUGGAUCAUUCUAAGUACCUAUAUUUUUCAAAUUUUAAAAUUUCAGUCUUGAUGCAAAUGACAAUCCUUAGUCCGUUAACUAGAUUUUUAGUAACAUAUGAAAAUAAUAAGAUGAUAUGACAUUACAAAUAUGAUAAUAUUUUUGCGUUAAAUAUGUCAACAAUGACAUAAUUAAUUGCAUUAACUUUCAGACGUUGACCAUUGACUUUUGCUUCAACCUUGAGCUUAUAUAGCCCCUACAAUAAUUUAGGUUAUGGAAAUAAUCUUACAAUUAAUGCCUGAGAAAUUAUUAUAGAUCAAUUUAUAGUUUUAAUCCCUAUAAUUACUCAAUUGAAUUGAAGAUUCAGAUUUUCUUAUUUAAUUUGAUAUAUUUUCUUCUCUUAUUAAUGUUAAUGUUAUGGAUUAGUUUUUUUAAGACAACAUUAUUUUAUUCAAUGAAUAAUAUCAUACAAUUCGAGGAGAAAAUAACAAACACUCGUUGUACUCGUUAAAGGACAAGUUCCAUCAACACAACAAAACCUUUAACUUCAACAUUAAUAGAACAUUAUGGCAUGUUGAAAUCGGCUCUGUCACAACUCAAGCACAACAUAUCAGGAGUGAUUACAAGCACUUAAUAUGGUAAGAAAAUUAACCCCGGAUGGUCCAAAGCGGUGGGCAUAAAUCAGCAAAAGAACUGAGCAUCCACCAAACUAGAGGGGAUGCGGCGACAAAACUAACCCUAAAAUUACUCUCAAAAGCAAGACUAAAAAGCGUACUACAAGAGUAGACAAAAACUUCGAAAAGUAAAGACUUAUUAAACAAUGGAAAAAUAAACAAAAAAAACAUAUAAAACUUAAGAUAACAUGAGUCUAAACCGAGUCAUGAAAUUAUUUAUUAUUUUGAAACUCUCAAAACAUAAACAAAUUAAGAAGUCAACGAAGAGGUACCCACUUUCUAAAAGAAAGUGUUGGUGGUCGGUGGUGUUUCAAUGAUGAUAGGCAUUGUCACCUGUUCAUCACAACUUGUAAAGAUAACAAAAAUACCCACAAAAUAAAUCUGUAAAUUGAAAAGAACGAAGACUCAUGGAGUGAAUGAGAAGAAGAAAAAUAAAAAGGGUUAAUAGAGACAAAGCAGGGCGGUAACUAGUUCAGAGGCUAACACCGCUGCUAGGCUAAAAAAAGAAGAAGAAGCAAACAUGUUAUGGAUUAGUUAAAAUAACUAACAUCAUUGAAAAUUUCAUUACUUGGCUGAUUUGGAUUUUUUUUUUUAAAAAAUUGAAACUAGAAACCAUAAAUGAUCUAACAUUUAGAAACCAUAAAUUGGGUUCAAUUGCUUUGCUGUCCAACUCCAUCCAUCUAAAAUCGCAAGGAUGUACCCAUGUUCAAUAUGCAGUACAGACCCAAAAAUUGACCAUAUAAUGUGGCUCAAGAGAAUUUUCGAAUGGUUUUAAAGAAUUAUGAGAACACAAUGAAUAAAGUUAAGGCAUCAUUUAUUCAGCUUGCUAUAAUGCAGGUCAUUCCAAUAAAGAAGCAUUUUUUAACUAUAUUUUCCGUUACCCCAAUAACAAUGGCACAGAAUGUUCUCCGAUGAACAUAGAACUCACCAUUUUUAGGAACACGUGUAGUUGAGGAUGAGAAUUCGGAUCAACUGUAACUUCAAAUGGUGGAAUGAAAACAUUGUCCAGAAUAUUCUGAAAAGAUUUUUCAAUUCCCAUUUGCUUGUACACAUUAUACAAUCGUGGUGACUGCAGAAUUAAGUCAAAAUCAAGUGAAGAAGGUUACCUUUGACUUGAGAAAUAUAUCACAGAGAGAGAGAAAGAGAAAACAGUAAUCUGGAAAGAUGAUGCUUAAUAUGGACAUGAUACCCUAGAAACCGAUCGAUCUUAAAUUUUAAUUUCUAAAAUAUUAUUAGCUUGUGCAUACUUUCAAAUACUUUUCAUUAGAGUUACCAUAAGACUAAUUUUUCCAAUUUUAGAUGAUUCAAGAAACUAUUUGGGGGCAAUUCUUAAAUAAACAUGUCCAAACAGUAGUCAUUAACAAGAAAGCAUCCAAGAAAACCAGCAGUUAAUACUUAAAUUAACAUUAUCAAAUGGAGAUGUAAAGAAGAAAGAAUCCUACUGCAAAGCUAGAUAGCAGGAGAAUCACUAGAAUGAAGAGAAAUACUAUUGGCACUAUACCUGGAUUAACCAAACAGUAGUCUCACUAUAAAUUUCAUUGUUAAUAAACCAACUUGCCAAACUGGUCCCAUUCACUUUGUUUCCUUCCAUAUAUGGACACCCUGUACUCUGCCAUCUAGAAAAUAUAUAUAUUAUUCAGUGUAGUCAGAGGCGCAAGGAGCACUCUAGGUGCUAGAAUCCUUUUAUUGUACAAGGCACAUGGCGCACAAAAAAAAAAAAAAACUUGCUUAUGUUAAGGCACAUGUAUGCGUGUUUUGGUAUGUCCAUGUCUGUAUAUAUAUAAGCCGAAGAUAUAUAAUUAUAAUAAUAAACUAUAAAAGUGCUCCAGUCUGAAGUACAGAACAUGCCAAAUUUUCUUUCUUUUGUCAACCAUAUGCAUAUUUCCAUAUGAUGCCAUGCCUGGUGUUGAAUACUCAAAUAUUGAGAAGUUGAGAGUUCGAUAUUAUCCCUUUGUUACAAUUAAGAAACAAUUAAAGAGAUAGUAAAGAGAACUUCAAUUAGAAGGCCUUUUCCCCCUACAUGCACCAGGCAGGCGCUUAGCCUGAAAAGGUCAAAGGCCCUUUUACUGUCUGGUGAUAAGGCAAAAAACAUUGGACAAAGUUGGUGGGAGGAUAGAAUACUAAAAGAGCCCAAUGUUGUCACUUUUCUAAAGUAAGCUCAUAUGCCUUUUUUGUACCCAAACAAUAUCUUACCCUUUAAUUUGUACCUAAAGAAAUUAUUUCUAAUAGAAAGUUUACUUUUGUUAUGAUCAAUGCUGGAGGCCAAAACUGAUUUGGGCUAAGGAAUUGGUGGUGAGAGUUGGAAGGCAAGAAGAAAGAAAGUUCUUUUGAGUGUUAUAUUUUUCAAAAAAUACAAAUUGUUCAUUUUUUUUACCACAUCAUCAUGCCAGGUCAGCUUCCAUGUGGAUAAAGAAAAUUUUGGCGGCAUUGAAACAGAGGCUUCAUGGGCUUUUAGUAAUUUAGCCCUUGGAAGGAAUAUGACCAUCCAAAAAAAGGCAGUUGAUGCUUUAAGGUCAAUUAGCCGAAACAAUAACAACAAUUCCUAGGCUUCAAUAAAAUAAUUUAGACAACAAAUAAAGCUUGAAGGUUGAGUUUUGCACUGCAGCAGCAUUGGGCUUUACAAGGUGAAAACCCACAUUGCACAAAAAUAUCAAAGUUUCAGAUCUAUCAUAAUUUAAAAUUCUAACUAAACUAAACGCCAAGAAUGCUGAAUGCCUAAUCAAAAAACAUAAGAUUAACCCAAGGACCUAAUUGGGUAUGCUAAAAUUUGUCUUGGAAUGAAAUUAAUAAUAUCCUUACUAUUUCACUUUUUUUUUCUUCAUAUGUUUGGUGUGAGCAUGAUACAGAUUAGACUGAUUUUAAAGUAAAAGUAAAACGAUACCAAACCUAAACAUUUUGGUUUUUUUUUAAUUUUUUAUCAGAGCCCUGUUUGAUGCAUUUUUAGUUUUGUUUUCUAAUAACAAAUGGAAAGUUAAUUAAAAAAAAACCCUAAUCCAAUGAGUUCUUUUAUAGAUAUAAGAUAAGUCCUGCAAAGUUUUUGUUUUUUAGAAAUAAAAUUUUAUUUUUGUUUUUUAAUUCUUCAUACCUAUUUUAAUAUCUAAGUUCCGGAUUCCUAACUGCCCUUUCAAUUAUAUAGUAUUCAAGAUUUGAACUUAUAUUUUUCUAUAAAAAUAUAAUGUAUUUUAUUAUUGUAUCCUACAUUCAUUAAUACUUAGUAGAAAUAACCUAAUAAAAUGAUUUUUUUCAUAUAUUAAUAGAGAUAAGAUUCGUGCAAAAUUGUUGGUUGAAAAUUCAUUAGGAAAGGAUGAUUGUACGAAUGUACCAUCAUUAUAAGUGAGCUCAACGAUAAGCCUCCUAUCAAUCACCAGUGUGCAGAAAACAUUUGAAAUCGAAACACCCGUUCAUACAUCAUACAUCAUCAUAAGUGAGCUCAACGAUAAGCCUCCAAUCAAUCACCAGUCUACAGAAAACAUUUGAAAUCGAAACACCCCGGACAUCUCCAACAAAUCUGCCAUAACGUUAGCAUCUCUUCCAUUUUUUCUAAACAAAACCUCACUAAGCUCAUCAAAUGUGCCAAUAUUUCCAAGGCCUAGAUUUCUCAUUGAUACACCAAGAAAGCUCGACUAUGGAGUCGGAUUCAACCAUAAGCUUUCAGUCUAUAAUCCACUAGGAAUCCAAAAAGAAACACUCUCGAACACCUAAAGAACCUGAAACAUAGCAAUGACAUGACCCUUUGAAUUUCUAAGAACCUCACCUCACCACGUCGAGCUAAGAUUACCUAAUGUCGAACCUUCACGGUUAAACUUUUACCAGCCUUCACCUUACUCUUGAUAUGAUGAUUAUGGAUACUCCCUUCACAAUCCCACAAACACUCCCACCAAAUUGACUCAACAAAAUUUGCACCUAUAGGUUUUCUGUUUAUAUUUGAUUUUGUUCACACAUUGCCUAAAACUACUCAUGAUCCCUCUCCAACCUAUAAAUACGAGGAUAAUGCGCUUCAACGCGCUCAAACCCACGUCCUCCUACAUUAGCAACAAUACUCAUGUCAAUCGAGUUAAAACACAAUCAAUAGAUUUUUUUUAAAAAAAAUCUUUAAAUGUUAUAUUAUUAUAUAAGAAUUUGAAACAUGACUUCCGUAGGUUUUAAAUCUAAUGUUGACACUAAUCUUGAAUAAGUCAUUCCACUCCCAUCUUAACUAAUGGCCAAAGAGAUAUCAAAAGUGGGAGAUGGCCAUAAAAUUGUGUAGUUUGGGUUAUAAAAUUUUUGGGCAAACUACAUAUAUUAUCAUUUAAUUAUAUAUUUUUUUCAAUUUAAACACUUAAAGUAAAAAAUUUAUAAUUUAAGCACCCACAUUAUAUAGUUUAGUUAUUUUGAUCACUCCAGUUAAAAUAAAAAAUGGCAAACUGAAGCGACAAUUAAAAAAAUGUAUAAUAACAAAUUUAACCCUCAAAUUUUAUAUAUUAUAUCAAUUACAUAUUACAACUAAUUUUAUAAUUAUUGAUAUUGAAUAUGUCCCUCACUACGUUAGGGAUUUUUUUUAUAAUUUGUAUUUAAUUAAUAUUUAAAAUUAAUUUCAAAAUAUGUGAAAAUUUUAUAAUUAUUUGGUGUUAGUCCCUUUAUUAUACCCAAAUUUAGGAUUAAGCCCCUAUAUUUUAAUUUUGACAUAAUUUGUUUCUUUCACUUUUAUAAUCUCAUUAAUUAUUUCAAGUAACUAACACUUUUAACAAUAUUGCCAAAUAAAAUAAUGUCAUAUUUUUUUUUCUUAAAGCCAUCACUUCUAACUAAAUCAUGACUUAAUCACUUUCUAAUUAAUCAUACUAACUUAGAUUUUUCUUUUGUUGGAAUCAGUACGUUUAAGGAAAACCCACCUUAACAUUUGUAGAUGUCUUCAACAAUUUCCUAAGCACGAUACAAUAAAGCUUGGUGUGUAUAAUUUUGUUUUAUGGAAGCUCCAAAUUAUGUUGAUUCUUGAAUGAUACGGUCUGCAUGGGUUUGUUUUGGGUGCUAUUAGUGUACUAGCACAGUUUGUAGAGGAUAAAUAUGGGAGAUUAGUAGAAAAUUCUGAUUAUGUUUUACAUGUGCAACAAGAUAAGCUAUUGGCUUCUUGGUUACUUUCAACUGUUAGUGAUGAAAUCCUAGCCUAUCUUACUAGUGCUCGUACUAGUUAUUAUAUGUGGGAAACUAUUGAAAAGAAGGGUUGCGACUAAGUCCACGGUAAAAUUGUCCAGUCAUGUGUUGUAUUCACAGAAAAAGGGUCAUUUGUUUGUUAAAGAAUAUUUGUCUAAGAUCAAGUCCAUGUGUGAUAUGUUGGUUGCAACGGGUUGUUUGAUUUCAAAUCAAGAAAUGGUUAGCAUCAUUCUUGCAAGGUUGCCAGUUGAGUGUGAAUCAGUACGGGUAGUAGCUUCAGCUACUGGUGUGUCACUUGAUCUGUUGAUUGAGAUGCUGCUUGAUUGUGAAGCUCGAAAAUUGAGUUCUUGAAUAGUGUUCUCGUACAACCUAACAUAGCUAGUAAACAAGAUUGUGAUGAGGGUGAUCGGACCAAGGGUUCUGAUUAUAACAGUGGCUAUCAAGGGAACAAACAGACAUAUAUAGGUGGUUUUCAAUGCAAUAGAGGUUCCAUCGAGGUUGAGGCCGUGAGGGUUGUUUUUCUAACAAUCGGCCCCAAUGCCAGUUGUGUGGUAAAAUUGGACACAUUGUCCAAAAGUGUUAUUACCGUUUUGAUGAAAAGUUUUGCAGGUAUUGCUAGGAUGGUAAUAUGGUAUAGUGGGCUGCAUCUUGAUUGUUUGUUUCUCAUGCUGAGGCUAUAAUUUUAAUCAUACCUAUUAUUGUUUCUUGUGUCCUGCAAUUUCAUCAUUUGCAGGCUGUUUCACUAAUUGCAUCCUAUUUACAAGUUCCCUUGUGUUAUCCUCUGCGCUUGGGUGGUUCUCGCUCAUAUAUUAAUGACCAUGCGUCUUCAAUAGACCAUGCAUCUUCUGAUUUGUCAUUGGAUACAACACUUUCAGCAAAUGUAAAGCCGGUAGAAUUUCCGCUGUUUUUAGAAGGUCAAGACACGACAAGAGCAGCAUAUGCUGUGUUCUUGUUAAACAAGGUAAGCUUUUGCAUAUUAGUAAUUUUUUUUUCCAAGAUGAAUUAUUCUCCUUUGGCAUUUUAUAUUAUAUAAUUAGUCACUACAAAACAUAAAUAAAUAAUAAUACUCCAUUUUUACAAUAAAAAUUCACUAAAGAAAAUACAUUUGAAGUCUAUCAUUGCUUUUUCGAAUAAGAGUCGGUCAAGAAAGUUAUGCGCAAAUACUUAUAUCUUUAUUUCAGAUGCUUUCAAUUCUAUUGUCACUUAAAUCCAAGUACUUUAAAUUUGUCAAAUUAUUCAAUUUUGAAAUUCAAUCCCAAAUAUUGAUCAAUUAUAUAUAUUCAUGAUAUGAUAAAAGCAAAGACAUCUUUCAACAUUAACUUUCCCUUAAACAAAAAUUGGUUUUAAAGUAAAAAAGAAACAUAUAAAACCAGUCUAGCUUGAAUAUGAAUCAAUAUAUAAACACUAUACUUAUACCUUGGUUUGAGAUGCUUUCAAUAUUGUUGUCGCUUAAAUACAAGUAUUUCAAGUUUGUCAAAUUAUUCAAUCCCAAAUAUUGGUUAGUUAUAUAUGAUAUGAUAAAAUCAAACUUGAACAUACAUUGAUUUUUAAAGUUGAAAAUUACUUGUUAAUUUUUUUUCUUUCUUACCUAUAUGAAAAUUUUACUAAAGUAAAAGUUGAAUUACAACGGAUAAAAAGAAUGGAAAACUAGGUACCAAGCCUAGAAGACCAUCCUCAAACUCCACUAUACAAAUAAAAACUACUCAAACUCCACUAUACAAAUAAAAACUAACACCGGACCAAACUUAAUUUACCUCUUAGAUGACUUGAUCCUUCAAACUGGUUGUAUGAUAGAUCUAAAUACCGGAGAGAUGAAAGCUCACUCAAAGAUAACAAAAUGCUAUCAUUCAAGUAAUUGUAACUUAAGUCAAGGAUCUCCAAAUUACUCAAUGUGAAUGAUAGCUUUCCAAAGCCUGUAGAAGUGUUCUUUUAAACAUAUACAAGCAGUUAGUGACUUUUCUUCCAUAAAAUAAAAUAUAAGUAAUUGUAAAUUAACAAUGGUGAGAAUAGUGGAAUAGUAAAAGAUAUAAUUAAGGAAAAAAAAUAAAGGCACGACCUUCAUUUUCAAGGUUACCACCUAUGGCAUUUCCCGACAAAUAAAGUCUCUUCAAUUCCUCAAAAGGAAGAAACAUAGAGGCAUUGAGAUACCAGACAAUGAGAUUCCUAUUAUCCAUGCCGUAUUCCCAAUUGUCUUCCCAUUUUGUAGAAAUAAGGGAGAGUUGUAUGAGUCUCCUAGUGGUGGUGUUACACUCAAAUCCUUCCCAUUUACAACAAUCUGAACCCUUCACCUCAACCCAACUUUGCAAUGGAUUACGAUAAACGAAGAAAGGCUUGAGAUGCAAGAGAGCGAUUCUCUCAUGCUCCAAACAAGCAUCAGUAGUACACCAUCUGCAUCCUUCUAACACCAACAACAUUAUUGCCAUCCUAAUAAACUAUAACCAUUUCCACUCCAUCAUCAUCAUCUCUCUGUUUUGUAUACAUAUGGACUACAAUUCAAGUUUCAUGCUUAUAAUUAUACCAAAUCAAAGUUCAUGUAUCAAAUUGCACAUUAAAUCAAAAUUUAUGUAUACAUUUGAUAUUUAUCUCAUUUAUGGGAGAUUAACUUUCUAAUGGUAUUGUUUUGUUUACAUUAAUCCAAAUAAUAGGAAAUGAUGAAUUAGUUUAACGCAAAUUGUAAUUCUAUUAAUGUUUCUUCUCAAACUUUUGGUUGCUCUUAUUUACAUGUUUUAUUAAUUGAUAGAUUUAAAUUCUUGGAAUAUAUUCGGUUAGAAUGAAGUGCCCCGAAUCCUUAUUUAAAUAAAAUACAGUGUUAAAAUAAAAGAAAAGUAAAAUCCCUACAGAAUUAUACUUCUUUUAUUUUAUUUUAGAAUAAGGCUUUUUAAAUCUUAUUAAACUCCAUCUAUUUGAUAUUGAUUAGAAUAAAGAGUUUCACUCCUAUUAGAAUAAAGUUUUACAAGCCUAUAAAUAGACAUAGUCUACUCCUCUUGUAAUUAAUUCAAAUUCGACAUAGUGAAUUUUCUUCUCCUCUGCCCGUGGUUUUUUCCCGAAAGGGUUUCCACGUAAAAUUUGUGUGUUCUUUAUUUUUCUAUUUCUAUUUUCUUUGUGAUAUAUUAUCAUUACCGACAUUUAUUUUCACAAAUUGGUAUCCGAGCUUCUGGGUUGUUCAUCGCAAUCACUGUAAUGACGUCUUUGAAGUAUGAAAUUCUACUGUUGGAUCGCAACACCAGAUUCGCAUUUUGGCAGAUAAAGAUGCAGGCAGUUCUUGCACAGAUGGACUUAGAGAAAGCCCUGCUAAGGUUAGAUAAGAUGCCUUCAACAUUGAUGGAGGAAGAGAAGAAGCACAAGGAUUGAAAGGCGUUAACACAAUUACAUCUGCAUUUGUCUAACGAAAUUUUGCAGGAUGUGAUAAAGGAGAAUACCGCCGCUAGAUUAUGGAAGACGUUGGAACAACUAUGUAUGUCGAAAACUCUAACUAGUAAGCUGCAUAUGAAGCAGCGUCUUUAUGCUCAUUGUUUGGAGGAAGGUGCGUCUAUGCAUGAACACUUGACAGUGUUUAAAGAAAUUCUCUCAAAUUUGGAGGCCAUGGAGGUUCAGUAUGAUAAGGAAGAUUUAGGGUUGAUUCUACUUUGUUCGUUGCCCCCGUCUUAUUUAACCUUUAGAGAUACAAUUUUAUAUAAUCGCGAGUCUUUCACAGUUGAUGAGAUUUAUAAUUCUUUAACCUCGUAUGAUAAGAUGAUGCAUCUUAUGGUUAAAACUGACUCUCAAUGAGAGGGUCUCAUUAUUCGUGAGAGAUAAGAUCAGAAUAUUGAUGAUGAUCAUGGAAGGACACAAGAACGGAAUCCUCGUGGUAAAUCUAAAGGUAGAUCGAAGUUUUCAAACAGAGGUAAAACUUGUAACUUCUGCAAGAAGAAAGGGCACAUUAAAUCUAAGUGCUAUAAGCUACAGAAUAAGAUCAAAAGGGAGACUGUGAAUCAAAAUGGAAAACAACCAGAAAAUUUUGGUAAGGCUAAUGUUGUAGAAUACUACAGUGAUUGUGAACUUCUAGUCGCUUCUGUCAAUAAUUUUAAAGUGAGCGAGGAGUGGAUCCUUGAUUCGGGUUGCACCUUCCACAUGAGUCCCAAUAGUUAUUGGUUUACAACUUACGAAAUAGUGUCUGAAGGUGUUGUUUUAAUGGGAAAUAAUACUUCAUGUAGAAUUGCAGGUGUUGGAACAAUUAAAGUUAAGAUGCUUGAUGGAGUUGUCAGAACACUUAGUGACAUAUGACAUGUUCCAAAAUUGAAGAGAAAUUUAAUUUCAUUGAGUACUCUUGAUUCAAAAGGGUACAAAUACACAGCUAAAAGUGGUGUUUUGAAUAUUUCUAAAGGUUCCCUCAUUGUGAUGAAAGGAUAGAGAAAGACUACCAAGUUUUAUGUUUUGCAAGGUUCUAUUGUUACUGGUGAUGCAGCUGUCGUAUCCUCUUCCUUGUCAGAUGAUGAUAUUACUAAACUUUGGCAUAUGCGCCUAGGGCAUAUGAGUGAGAAUGGCAUGGCAGAAUUGAGCAAAAGUGGACUUCUUGAUAGGCAAUGAAUUUGCAAACUGAAGUUCUGUGAGCACUACAUUUUUGGGAAGCAAAAGAGAGUUUGAUUCACCAGAGGAAUCCAUAACACAAAGGGAACGUUUGAGUAUAUUCAUUCUGAUCUGUGGGGGCCAUCCAGAGUACUUUCGAGAGGUGGAGCUAAUUAUAUGCUAACUUUUAUUUAUGAUUUUUCCAAAAAAGUGUGGGCGUUCUUCCUGAAGCAGAAAAACGAUGUGUUUUUUGUAUUUAAGUCUUGAAAAACCAUGAUUGAAAAACAAACGGGAAAGUAAAUAAAACACCUCCGCACAGACAAUGGCUCAGAGUUCUGUUUUGAUAAGUUUAAUAAAUUGUGCAAGUCAGAAGGGUUCAUGAAACACUUGAUAGUUCAUCAUACUCCACAGGAAAACGGCGUUACAGAAUAAAUGAACAGAACGAUCAUGGAGAAGGUUCGAUGUAUGUUGUCAAAUACCAACUUACCAAAGUCAUUUUGGGCUGAAGCAGCCUCUACUGCAUGAUUUUUAAUCAACCGAUCUCUAUCCAUUGCCAUUGAGAAAAAGACUCCACAAGAGGUAUGGUCUUGUAAUCCUGCUGACUAUUCUGAUUUAAAGAUUUUUGGUUGUCAUGUGUGUGUGCAUGUUGAUAAUGGAAAAUUGGAAUUGAGAUCCAUUAAAUGUGUUUUUCUUGGUUAUAAAGCUGAUGUAAAAGGGUAUAAGUUAUGAUAUCCUAAAAAUAGAAAAGUUGUGAUUAGCAGAUAUGUUAUUUUUUAUGAAACUGCUAUGCUACCUAACUUAUCUCUUAAAGAAUCUCUCAAUAAAGAAAAUCAAAAGUAGGUGGAGCAUCAGAUUAAUACAGAAUCUACAACAGAGUCGACUACUGAAGCCAGUACAAAAAUUCAAAAUAGAGUUGCUCCUUCACCAUAAUACUCUAUCGCCAAAAAUAGAACUAGAAGAGAAAUUAGACCUCCAAAGAAGUAUGUCAAGUCUGAUCUAGUUGCUUAUGCUUUAAAUGUGGCUAAAGAUAUAGAUGUAAAAUAAGAGCCAUCUAAUUAUUCUGAGGCGAUUAGUUGUGAAGACUCAGAAAAGUGGAUGUUUGCUAUGCAAAAGGAGAUGGAAUCACUCCACAAAAAUAAAAUAUGGGAUCUUGUGAAACUUCCUAAAUGUAAAAAGAUUAUUCGUUGUAAAUGGGUGUUUAAAAAGAAAGAAUGGACUCCAAGAGUUGAAGAACCCAGAUAUAAAGCAAAGUUUGUUGCAAAUGGUUACAGUCAAAUUCCAGGAGUGGACUUCACAGAUGUGUUCUCUCCAGUUGUGAAGCAUAGUUUGAUUCAAGCUUUACUUGGUAUUGUGGCCAUACAUGAUUUGGAGCUUGAACAGUUAGAUGUAAAAAAUGCUUUUUUGCAUAGAGAAGUUAAGGAGGAUAUUUACAUGCAACAACCAGAGGGUUUUACAGUCUCAGAAAAAAGGACUAUGUUUGCUUGCUGAAAAAGUCUCUUUACAGUUUGAAACAGUCACCAAGACAGUGGUACAAGAGGUUUGAUUCAUUUAUGACUUCUCAUGAUUUUAAAAGAAGUAGCUUUGACAGUUGUGCUUACUUUAAGAAAAACAAUGAUGGUUCUUUUGUGUAUCCACUCUUUUAUGGUGAUGAAAUGUUGAUAGCAGUGAAAGAUAAAUGAGGGAUAAGAAAGGUCAAAGCCCAACUAAGUGAAGAAUUUGAGAUGAAAGAUUUGGGACCAGCAAAGAAGAUACUUGGUAUGGAGAUUCUCAAAGAUAGAAAAGUAAGUAAAUUGUACCUAAGUCAAAAGGGGUACAUUGAGAAAGUUCUUUGCAGAUUCAAUAUGCAGAAUGCUAAGCCUGUUAGUACUCCUUUAGCAGCCCAUUUUAGACUUUUAUCGGCUUUGUCUCCACAAUCAGAUGAUGAGAUUAAGUACAUGUCACAUGUUCCAUACUCUAGUACAGUGGGAUCUCUCAUGUAUACUAUGGUUUGUUCACGUCCAGAUUUAUCAUAUGUAGUUAGUGAAGUUAGCAGAUACUUGGUGAAUCCCGAUAAAGAACAUUGGAAAGUAGUUCAGUGGAUUUUAAGAUACUUACGAGGUACUACUGAUGUUUCCUUACAGUUUGGAAGAACUAGAGAUGAAGUCAUUGGGUAUGUUGAUGCUAAUUUUGCUGGAGACUUUGAUAGAAGAAGAUCUCUCACAGGUUAUGUCUUUAUAAUCGGAGGUUGUGCAAUCAGUUGGAAAGCCACUUUGCAAACUACAGUUGCUUUGUCCACCACUGAAGAUGAGUACAUGGCGAUUACUGAGGCUUGUAAAGAAGCUAUUUGGUUGAAGGGACUCUUUAGUGAACUCAAUAAAGGCUUUCAAAUCAAUACAGUAUUUUGCGACAGUCAGAGUGCUAUCUUCUUUACAAAAGAUCAAAUGUUUCAUGAGAGAACAAAACACAUUGAUAUUCGGUAUCAUUUUGUUCGUGAUAUUAUUGCUUGUGGUGAUAUUGUUAUGAGCAAAAUUAGUACUCAUGAAAAUCCUGCAGAUAUGAUGACUAAGUCACUUCCUAUAACCAAGUUUGAGCAUUGCUUAGACUUGGUUAGUGUUCAUUGUUGAAGUUAAACCCUUAAGGGGUUUUAUGGAAUAGGUGGAAAACUUGAUCGUUGAGAGUUCGCGAUGAAGAACUUGUUCAUUAAGAAUUCGUGUCAAUGUGGAGAUUGUUAGAAUUAAGUGACCCGAAUCCUUAUUUAAAUAAAAUACAGUGGUAAAAUAAAAUAAAAGUAAAAUCCCUAUAGAAUUAUACUUCUUUUAUUUUAUUUUAGAAUAAUAUUUUUUAAAUCUUAUUAAACUCCAUCUAUUUGAUAUUGAUUAGAAUAAAGAGUUUCACUCCUAUUAGAAUAAGGUUUUACAAGCCUAUAAAUAGACAUAGUCUACUCCUCUUGUAAUUAAUUCGAAUUCGACAUGGUGAAUUAUCUUCUUCUCUGCCCGUGGUUUUUUCCCGAAAGGGUUUCCACGUAAAAUCUGUGUGUUCUUUAUUUUUUCUAUUUUUAUUUUCUUUACGAUAUAUUGCUAUUAUCGACAUUUAUUUUCACAUAUUCUAAUUAAUUAGAUAUUUCCUUCCUUCCAAAAGCCUUUCAAAAUAGGUUUAGUUUGACCAAGAUACUCUUGUAGAAAAUUUUAGUUUUGUGGGAAAACGAAAAACUAGAUUUAUUUUUUAUUCUAAUUGGUUUCAUAUGCAAGGUAUAUAAACUUUUGUGUCGCUGCAAUUUUUUUCCAACAUAUGUAUGUGAUUUGUGGGGUUUCAAUUUUGAAUUUUUUUUAUAAUUUAAUUAAAUUGUGAAAGUAUUUGAAAGUUUUUAAGUUGAUACAAUGUUUAGAACUACCCCAACACCCACCCAACCCUUAAAUAGGAGGAUAAACAUGCUUCAGCACGCUCAAACUCACAUUCUCCUACAUCUAUGAUAAUACUAAUGCCAACCGAGUUAAGACUCAACUAGCCUUGAAUUUUGAAUUUUACUUCUGAUAUAUUUUGAAUUUUGAAAUUUUAAUUUUGACCCAAACAGUAGCAGUUAAUUUAAUUUGAUUAAAUUUAAUUACUAGACCUAUAUUAUGCGUACGAUUAUUGAUUAGUCUAUACUCUCAAAUUGGGCAAUUCUAAGUACCUAUACUUUCUGAAUUUUGAAAUUUCAGUCUUGAUGCAAAUGACAAUUGUUAAUCUAUUAAUUAGAUUUUUAGCGAGUAAUAUGUAAAAAUAACAAACUGGCAUAACAUUACACAUAUGAUAAUAUGUUUAUUGCACCGCAUUUGAAAAUAGCCGAAUUUAACAAAUAUCGUUAGUGAGGAUUGGAAAUUAGAGUCUAGGGAUUAAAUCCACAAGUUCAGUAAAUUACAAGAACUAAUGGUAGAAUUUAACCUUUAUAUAACCUUUAAAUUCUAACCGUGGUUUGCACACUACUCAGCCGACCAUUGGCUGUGGUGGGAACACAAACUGUUUGAAUUUGACAUCAGUGAUUGAAUUUUCAUAGCUAAUAUGUACGUUCCUUCAAUUUCUCCAUAGGAGGGAGUGGAAUACAUUAUAUAAGGUAAUAUUUGAUAUAUUCGGUAAAUGAAUAAUUGCAAGAUAUCUCAUUAUCUAGUAAAAUAAAUAAUGAAAAUUUUAUAAAUAAAUAUUAAUAAAAUAUUAUUACAUAUAUCAACAAUGACAUAGUAAGUUGCAUUAACUUUUAGAUGUUGACUAUUGACUUUUGCAUCAACCUUGAACUUACAUAGGCCCCUACAAUAAUUUAGGUUAUGGAAAUAAUCUUGCAAAUAAUGCUUGAGACAUCAUUAUACAUCAAUUUAUAGUUUUAAUUCUUGUACUUACUCAAUUGGAAUAAAGAUUUAGUUUUUUAUUUUCUUUUGAUACAAUGUCUAGAAUUAUCCAUAGCCCUUUUCCAACCCUUAAAUAAAUGAAUAAUGUGCUUCAGCGUACUCGAACUCACAUCUUCUUACAUUGACAAAUUGCUGAUGCCAAUUAGUUAAUGUUAAUGCUAUACUUUAGUUAAAAAUAACUAACAUUAUUAAAAAAUUCAUUAGUUGGCUCAUGUGGAUUUUUUUUCAAAAAAAUUGAAAUUAAGAACCAUAAAUUCUUUAAGACUUAAAAAUUAAAAUUAUGUGGUUAUUAAAAAAGAUUUAUUUUUUAUUAAAUUAUUAUUUAAAAUAAAUUUAUCUCAUCAUAAUGAUAUGAUUUUUUUCUUUAAAAAAUCCACAUUAACCAACUAAUAGAAUUGUAUAAAGCUGCCACCAAUCUCUUAGCAUGAUGGCAAAAGAUUCAGAGGCAGCCAGAAAAUCUUUUGAGGGGCGUGAAUAAAGUUAUAUAUUUUUAUAAUAGCAAAAGUGAAAUUUUAUUAUUAUAAUAGUUUAUAUCUUUAAUUUUUAAAAUAUUAAAUAAUUUUUUUCUUAUUUUUGAGGGGAUAAAGUAUAAGUUUAUCAUAUACUAAUUUUAAAAUUAUAAAAAGACUAAAUGUGAAAUUUUUCAUUUUAAGGGGUGGGGCCCUGUCAGGUCUCCUUGGCUUCACCUUGAUAAAAGUAUUAUGUAAUACGUAUAAAGUUUGAGUUUAAUCCCAAACAAUCUCAUUUCUUAUCCCUCAUUAUAAAAUAAUAAAAUAAAUAGAGCAAUUGAUAUGAGGAGACAAGUAUAAUAGGGCAAUUUUAACCUGGGCCAGAUUUCAAAACAAAACCCAAACCAAAUAAUAAAAGAGUCCAAAAUAAUUAAAACAAUCCAUCCAUUUUACAAACAAACCCAAAUUAGCAGCCCAAAUACAAAUUAAAACUCAAUAACCCAAAACUAACUAUAGCCCAAUUAGCUAAACACUUAAACGCAACAAAAAAAACCCUAUCCCCCUAAGCCUCCAACGCUGCAUGACCACCUACGCCGCACGUCGUCGCUGCCGCUCGAGGCUCGCCUAUCUUCGACCAUCCACGCAUCUGACACUUGCAAAACCAAGGCAACACGCAACAACAAAGGCCAAAUAGAGGAAACAACAAGGAAACAGACAAAAAAGGAAGAAACAAACAGUUUUGAUUCGGCUAUAAAAGCCCGAAUCUCACCCUUGUAAUUUUUUUGCGAACAUUAGAAAAUAAAAAAACAAAAACAACACUUUCAAGGUGAAUUUCUACUUUUAUUUCUGUUUUAAAUACUUAUUUGAUUCUAUAUUCAUAUUUUUAUUUUAUUUUUUAUAUAUAUACGAAAAUAAUAAAAUAAAAAAAGGAAGAAAGGGCUCACCGGAGACGCCCCGUGAUCGUGCCGUCAGAAGGCUCUUCUCCGUUGUUGCCAUCGGAUCCGAGAGGGGGUCGAGAGUCUUCCUCUUUCGCUUUUUUGGGUCGAGAGGGCUGGGCUUCCAAGGGAGCUGCGAAACGGGGGCUAAAAAUGCCCUUUUGCGCAACACCGACCACCGGCCACGACAGCACUACGACGGCGACCAUGGCCGGCCAAGGGGUGGGCUGAGAGAGAGACCAAGAGAUACUGAGAGAGUUCUCUGUUUUUUUAGAAAAAUGAAAGUUGAACCGUUUUUUUCUUCUUUUUUUUUGCUAUUUAUAUAGGGUAUAAUACGACGCCGUUUUGGACUUAAGCAUCAGUGGCCAAAACAAUGCCGUUUUGCAUCAGACCUGAAAAUCGACUCGAAUGCGGCCAGGAUCUGCGCGUUUUAGCUUUGAGGAGCUAUUUGCAUAUUCAGCCCUUCCGCUUUUGUAGUAUAGUGCAAUCUGGUCCUCGUUGUUUUUAUAUUUUGGCCGCAUAAUUUUUUGAUUGUUUUACUUUGGUCCGAGCUGAAACGCUGCGCAUAGGGGCUAGGAAUAUUGCCCAGUCGGUCCCUCAUUCCUUAAGCGCGCUCUAUUUCAGUCCCUAGCAACCCUUUUUUUUAUUUGUAAUUUAAACCCCAAAUUCUGGGUCGAUUUUAGUAUCAUCCUUAGUCCAUUUAAUUUAUUUGUUCACUAUUUUUUAUUUAAAAAACUCUUUUAUUAUUAUUUGUUUUAAGUUUUUUUAUUUAUCAUUUAUUUUAAAUUGUUUUACAUACUAUUUAUUUAAAUUUUUUAUAUAUUAGUCAUUUUAAACCAUUAUAUGUACAUUAUCUUUUAAAUUUUUAUAUACAUAUAUUUUUUUUAAAAAAAACUGUUGUAUGUUUCUUAUUUAUUUAUUUUAAACUGUUAUUAUUAUUCAUUUUAAGUUUUUAUAUACUGUUUAUUUGAAGCCGGUUAUUAUUUAUUUUUGAAUUGUUCUUAUAAAUUAUUUACUUUAAAUUAUUAUUUACUUUGAAAUUUUUUUGCAUAUUAUUUUGUUUUGUUUUUUUUAUUGUUAAUAUUAGUAUAAAAAUUAUAUACAUUGUGUGAUUAUUACCGCCAUGUGUACUAUAAUUAGUUUCUUCGUGUUUUCAUAUUAUUAUCACUCAUUAACAUAACAUUUUUUUCAUAAAUUGUUAUUUUAUGUUCUAUGUUAUCAUUCCAUUUCACUUCAUCACUUCGAAAGUUGCAUUCAAUUUGUAUUUACCCAUAAUAAACCGUUCUAUUUUGUCACAAAUAAAACAAAUGCACCUCGUUCAAGCAUUGUACUCACAAUUAUUCAAAACGGGGAAAAGUUUUAAAAUAAGACAAUAUUUCGCAUUUUGGAGAUUUGAGAAAUUGUACCCUAACUUACGGGGUUUCAAUUUUCUCGUUGAACCUAAAUAGCAAAAUAUCCUUCUAAUUUUCAAAAUUUACGAAAUUCCAAUAAAGUUAAAGGCUAGCUUAUUCUCAAGGGUUCUAAGUGUCGUGUCCUAACUUACGGGAUGUGACAUUUAUUAUCUCGAGACGAGAGGAUCUUUGACAUUCGUUUCAAUUUAUUCAAGCAAAUUCUUUUAAAUUAAAAUAGCGUUAACAAAAGGGGGAUCGUGUUUUAAAUUCUUUCGAAGUUUUUCAAUUUUUAACAUUUAGACAUUAAUUAAUCAAUUGAAUACCAAUUUUGGGCGUGACGAGGGUGCUAAUCCUUCCUCGCAUGUAACUGACUCCCGAAUCCGUUUUCUCAAAUUUCAUAGACCAAAAUCACUGUUUUGAUAAAUUAAAAUAUUUUAUUAAAACAACUAAAUUAUGAGGUGACCUAAUCACACCUCAUAAAAAAAAGAUUGGUGGCAACUCUCGUUUUAAUUUCCAUUUUCAAACCAACGUCGACCCUUUUAAAAAAAUGGUUUCAAUAUUAAGUUAUAAGUUGAAUGAAUUAAAAAUAUGUGAAAAGUGUAAAUAGAGACUCUUCAAUCUCAUUUCCUCUAAUGCUCUUUUUUUAAAUUUUUUUUUAAAUUUUUUAUGUACCUUUUAAAUAGUUAAUGAAAAUAAAAAUAUUUUGAUAAUUUUCACUUCGAAAUGCAAAAGCCAACAACAGUUUUUGACUACAAAAGCGGUGUGUUCUUCAUCACUUCUCAGUGGAAAAACACUUCUGCAAUGUAACAACACUUUUAACCCAAAACGGCUUUUUCACCACAAUAGAGAAUGCACCCUAAAAUUGUAAAUAGAAAAAAGAAGGAUCAAACAUUGUUUCUACCCUGUUUUUGUCUCCUCUUUGAAAAUACUUUCCAAAAAGUUUUAUCAUUUUUUUUUCUGUUUACAAAUUCCUUAUAGAAGUGCUUUCUUUUGAUCCACUUGCAUCAUUGUAAUAAGUUUGCAUUGCCUUCUAACUUUCUAUGUUGAUUACAGUUUAUUAAGUUUUCUGUUGGAUCUUAUAGUCAAAUUCCUUUACAUCAUGUAUGUUAAUUUGCUUAGCCCUGAUAAAUGUUAGAUAUAGGGUUAUCAGUGUCGAAACCACUUUUUUGGCGAACAAAAAUUAGUUGUUGACUUUAAAAACGAAAGUUGGAGUCGCCAUCGAUCCUUUAUUGGGGUGUGAUCGGCUCACCUUAAAAACGAUUUUGGUCUGCAAAAUUUGAGAAAACAGGUUCGGGAGUCGGUUACGCAUGAGAAAGAGUUAGCACCCUCUUAACGCCCAAAAUUGGUACCGAAUUAAUUAAUUAAGGUCUUAAUGCCGAAUAUCGAAAAUCUGUGAAGAAUUUAAAAAUACGAUCCUCCCUUUUUGUUAAUGUUAAUUUUAUAAAAGAUGCUUGGAUAAAUCGAAGCGAAUGCUAAAGACCUUUUUGUCUUGGAAUAAUAAAAUGUCACACCCAAUACGUUAGGACAUGACAUUUUAGUCCUCGAGAAUAAGCUUGUCUUUUGAUUUUCAAAGCUCGUGCGGUGAAGUUUAAAAAGGAUAUUCAAUUGCUUUAACUCAGAUGAAAAAUCGGAGCCCAAUACGUUAGGGCACAAUUUCUCAAAAUUCCGAGCAUUGAAUAUUGCCCUUAUUAUUAUUAUUUUUAAAAUCUUCAUCUCGAGAAAAUGACAUGUCAUAUCCAAUAUGUUAGGACACGACGUAUCGAAUUUUCGAGAAUGAGCUUUUUAUUUAUGCUUUAAUUAAAAAAGGAUACCCGGUUUCUUAGAUUCAACGAGGAAGAUUGGAAUCCAAUAAGUUAGGACACAAUCUUUUCGAGGAUCCUAAAUUCCGAGUGUCGCGUUAUUUUUGAAAAAAAACUUUUUGAAUAAAAAUGCUCUCGAUACUUGAAUGAUAUUAAACGUAACCUUUUAACAACGAAUAAAAUGCGACGGGACGAUAAUGUAUAACGCGGAAUGACGAUUUGUAAACAAAAUAUACUCUAACGAAUGACAAAUAAUCAAUAAAAACAAAUAAACAUUAUCAUACAUAUAAGAGCAAUAAUCACAUGUAAAUAUUAACAUCAACAUUUGAAAGCUAAUGACCUAAAAGCCUAUCGCAAAUACAACAAAUUUAAAAUAACUAAAAAAAAAGCAUGAGAGAAAAGAAAUUUGAAAUUAUCAACAUAUAUACACAAAAUACACGUAUAUAAAAAUUUAAAAGAAAUAAUUAAUAGGAAGACUUGAAAUAAUUUAAAAAUAGAAUUAAAAAUGAAUAAUAAUAUCUAAAUGAAUUUUAAAAUAAAUAUUAUAAGAAGAAAGUCAAAAUAAAUAAAACCCAAAAUAAUACACAUAUAUUAAUCUAAAUAGGUAAUAGAUAUAAAUUACGUAUUAUAAAAGAAAACUAUUUAAAAAGGGUAAAUUCUAUUGGAUUAACAUAAAAAUAUAAAAUAAUUUAUUAUGAAAUUAAAUAAUAAUAUAUGAUAAUAAUAUAAAAAAACUUAAAAUAAUAGUGCAUAAUAGAAUAAAAUAAUGAAUAUAAAAAGGUUAGAUAAAUUGAUAAAAAAUAAUACUAAUAAUAAUAAUAGUAGCAGUAAUAAUAAUAAUAAUAAUAAUAAUAAUAAUAAUAGUAAUAAUAGUAAUAAUGAUAAAUUAAUAUUAAAGUAAUUAAUUUGAUAGCAAAAAUAACAAAACAGAUUACUAAUUUGGAAUUAAAACAGAAAUUUAGGGGUAAGACGUGCAAUAAAAUGAAAUGAAAAGGACCUAAUUGAAAUUAAUUUAAAAUCAGACUGACUAGCAAAGAAAUUAAACGCACAAGUCUCACCUGGCAAUCAAGUCAGAUCAUCAGAAACGGCGUCGUUUCGAACGUUUGUCUCCUCAACUGACAGAAGGACGAAAUUGAAAGAAAUAUCGAAUUAUGUGGCAAAAUUAAAAAAGACAAAGAAGGAUUAAAAUGAAGUAAAUAAAAAACAGAAGGACCAAACAGGAGAAUAAGCCAUUGAAACAAAACACGCGGAUCCUCCCCGGGUCAAAUCGGAUCAUCGGGUCAACCAACACGGAGACGUUUUGAAGCCAUUAAAUCGGGCUUAAACGGCACCGUUUUAUUAUCGUUAAAAACCUAAAAAAAUAAAACCCUAAUAAUUUGUUUUGCCAUCCUAAAACAGAUCAAGAGCCUAGCCUUCUCCCCACCGGUCUCCACUCACGAACCCAAUCUGACUCCGAUUCAGACGGAGCAAACCAGAUUCCAAUGGCGUCUGCUCUGGUAAGACGCUUCUUCUCUCCCUCUUUUUUUUUCGUUUGGUGCCAAAGAAGAAAACAAAGAAUCAAAGAAAUAAAAGAGAAAAAAAAACGAAGAAAAUCACCUUUCGAAAAAACUUUCUGUUUUGAUUUUUUGUUUGUAUUCAAUAUGCGUAAAAAAGGAUUACAAUGGCCUUCUCCCUCUUUAUAGCCGAAUAUUCGAAAUAAAAUGAAAGAAAAUACAAAAAAUUCUCUCUGCUGCGUUGUUUUCGUCUUCUUUGCAGGUAAGGAGGCUAGCUGGCGUAAGGAGGUGGUGGACGUGGCACAGCACACUCGGGGAAGGCCCUGGUGGCUGCGGCGCUGGAAGGAGGGCUGUUGCAGCUAGGGUUUUCUGAUUUUUUUUUGGGCUAGGGUUGGGUUGAUAGUUGUAUUGGGCUAGGUAUUUGGGCUGGGUGUAGUUGGACUAGAUGUAUCUGACUUUGGGUUUGUACCGGGUCACUGUAAAUGGGUUUGGUUUUUGUUGUUAUUGGGCUGUGAACUAUUUGAGUUUUAAUUAAUUUUUAUUUAUUUGGUUUUUUAUUGUGGGCUGGGCAAAUUGGGUAUUACAAUCAGCUAAUUAGGAAAGACUGUGAUGAUAGUCACACCUUACAUCCAAAAGCAAAGCUUUUUUUACAUGUGUAUGUAAGGUUGCUAAGCAAAUCUGGUGAGCCUUCACUGCUGUUUUAAGGUUAAGUUAAUGUUCCUUUUCGGCAAAGAACAUUAUCGAGAUCACGGUAUUUUGAUCGCCUUUUGCUUCUUGUUAUUCGUUCUGAAACGAUUGCAUAAUCUUUACUGUGAUUGCAGGAUAUAGAGCAACUUUUGAAUUUCAUCGCUGUAAAGUGUUUAGGACCACGACAUGUUCUUGCAAAUUUGAAGAAGCUUCUAAGGUCUGUCCAGUCUUCAGAAUAUAUAGAUACCUGAAUUAAUUUUGAUUUUGUAGGAUCAACUAUAAUUAGCUACUUAUUAGAGUAUGAAUAGACAACCUCACCUUCUUCACACACUGACACGUGCGGAUUUUUUGCCAAUCCCAUUUCAAAGGAUCACACUUUUUUGUUGUUUACAGAAUCAUAAUUAAUGUUAAUUAAAGUGGAAUAUUUCAGAUUUCUGAUGAUGAGCAUAUUCUUGAGUAUUGCAGUAAAAAAAUGGGUGCGGAACUUAUUUGAACUUUGAAUGUAUGUUUUGUUGGUGAGAAUAUAAAGUUGAUAAAGAUUUGGUAAAUAGAAUAAAAUACUAUUUUUUAUUAGAAAAAUUAUUUGGUAGACUGCCAAUCGAUUUAUAAUUAUCAUGACGCAAUAUUAAGGGUAAUUAAAACAUGUCAUAUUACAAAUAAUAAAAUUAUAAUGACUCAAAUAUACGAACAUGUCAAAAUUUAUGUACAACGAAUUAUUAACAUGUCAAUGUAUAGUAUAAUAUGGUACGCAAAAAUAAGAUAAUUGCUUGUCUUUAAUUGAAUUGUUAUAACACAUUAUACAAAAUACAUUGUGAAUUAAAGCAUAAUAUAAUCAUGAUAUCAAUAUAUUAAAUUUUUUAAAAAUUCGAUGAUACGAAUAAUUAUGUAAAAUAUCACAUGAUACAAAAUGACUUGAGAGGAAAAGAGGAACAAAGACUUGCNNNNNNNNNNNNNNNNNNNNNNNNNNNNNNNNNNNNNNNNNNNNNNNNNNNNNNNNNNNNNNNNNNNNNNNNNNNNNNNNNNNNNNNNNNNNNNNNNNNNNNNNNNNNNNNNNNNNNNNNNNNNNNNNNNNNNNNNNNNNNNNNNNNNNNNNNNNNNNNNNNNNNNNNNNNNNNNNNNNNNNNNNNNNNNNNNNNNNNNNNNNNNNNNNNNNNNNNNNNNNNNNNNNNNNNNNNNNNNNNNNNNNNNNNNNNNNNNNNNNNNNNNNNNNNNNNNNNNNNNNNNNNNNNNNNNNNNNNNNNNNNNNNNNNNNNNNNNNNNNNNNNNNNNNNNNNNNNNNNNNNNNNNNNNNNNNNNNNNNNNNNNNNNNNNNNNNNNNNNNNNNNNNNNNNNNNNNNNNNNNNNNNNNNNNNNNNNNNNNNNNNNNNNNNNNNNNNNNNNNNNNNNNNNNNNNNNNNNNNNNNNNNNNNNNNNNNNNNNNNNNNNNNNNNNNNNNNNNNNNAUGGUCUUCUAGGCUUGGUACCUAGUUUUCCAUUCUUUUUAUCCGUUCUAAUUCCACUUUUGCUUUAGUAAAAUUUUCUUAUAGCUAAGAAAGAAAAAAAAAACUAUUAACAAGUAAUUAUAUAUAUAUAUCAGGUUUUCAAUUGCUUUCAAGACUCAAUAACUUGGAAACUCUCGAUUUAAGUCGGAAUUCUUUUAAGAAUAGCAUUUUGUUCCAUAUGAGAAAUCUUUCAUCCUUGAAGACUUUAAGAUUGAGCGGUAAUCAGUUGAAAGGAAGGCUGGAUCAUAUUCAAGGUAGACUAAUUUUACCUGUUUCUUUUUAACUUUAAAAAUCAAUGUAUGCUCAAGUUUGAUUUUAUCAUACGAUGAAUGUAUAUAACUAAUCAAUAUUUGGGAUUGAAUUUCAGGAUUGAAUAAUUUGACAAAUUUGAAGUACUUGGAUUUAAGUUGGAACGACAUUGAAAGCAUCUCAAACAAAGGUAUAAGUAUUUGUGCAAAACUUUCUUGACCGACUCUUAUUCCAAAAGGCAAUGACAGACUUCAAAUGUAUUUUCUUUAGUGAAUUUUUAUUGCAAAAAUGGAGUAUUAUUAUUUAUUUAUGUUUUGUAGUAACUAAUUAUAUAAUAUAUAAAUCAGGUUUUCAACGGCUCAUUAAAUUGGAAAUUAUUGAUAUAAGUUGGAAUUAUUUGAAGAAUAGCAUUCUUUAAAAUAAAUUCAUGUUGAAGGAAAAGUUGUUGCAAUAAGUCAUUUGAUUUUAUCAUAUCAUGAAUAUAUAUAAGUAAUCAAUAUUUGGGAUUGAAUUUCAAAAUUGAGUAAUUUAAGUAGGAAGGUAUCUCAAACAAAGUAUUUAUAUAUUGAAUCAAUUCAUGGGAAAGCUUGUAAAUUGGCUCUUCCUUCUCAAACAAUCAUUUUUCCUAACUUUUUAUAUCUUGAAUGAUAUUAACUAUACUCAUUAUUUUCUUCCAAUGAUAGAUGGAACACAAUGGAGGCUAACAAACUUAGAGGAACUUGAUUUGAGUGGUAAUCUCUUUCGGAACAACACAAUUUCCUUUCCUCAAGGGCUUUCAAGCCUAAAGUCUUUGACUUUGUACAACAACCAUUUGCAAGGCUCAUUAGAUACUAUAGGUACCAAAGCUAUAACUUUGUUUUUCUUGAUAAUUCUUUCUAGAACCUUUUAAAAUUAAUUGUUUCAAAUUUGAACAUUCACAUUUCACUUUUGAGGAUUUUCAUCUUCACUUCCAGUUUUAGAUUUACUUUUUUUUUCAUUUUUAUUUCAUUAAAAUAUUAAGUAGAAAUUAAAAUUAUUAACAUAAUGAUUUUUUAAAUUGUACGUGGAUAUGUAUAGGAUUGAGCAAUUUAACAAAUUUGAAGAAACUCGAUUUAAGUGGGAAUCAAAUUGAAAGCUUUCAAACCUUUAAAGGUAUGCAUUUAUAUUUAACUAAUUACCUAAAUUCUUACAUAUAAUUAAAUUUUAUGCCAAUUCAUUUCAGUGAUGAAAUUAUAUAAAUCUUUUGUAGAUGGUGGUAGAAAAUUGGAGUUGACCCACUUGGAAGAGCUUUAUUUAGAUGGAAAUCACUUCAAUACUAGUGUAUUUGCAUCCCUUAACAAGCUUUCAAAUUUGAAAUCUUUGAGCAUAAGUGAGAAUCAAUUGAAAGGAUCAAUAGAUAUGAAAGGUAAAAAUAUUAGUUUUUUAACAAGAAUAUAAUAAUGUUUGAAGAGAAUAUAAUGAAGUUGAUUUGUUGUUUUUGUUUUCCUAGAUUUGGAAGCAUUUAUCAAAUUAAGGGAACUAGAUAUGAGCUAUAAUGAAUUGAGAGAUUUUGUGAUCCACCAAGGUAUCAUUUAAUUAAUUUUCCUUUUUUUUUAAUUUAGAAAUUUAGUUUUGAUCUAUGAUAUUAUAAUAACAGUUAUUGUCAUAAAUAUUAAUAAAGUUAUAUCAUAUCAUACUUGAAAGUAAAAUAUGGGUUUGGUGAAACAUUUUCUAAACCCUCCAUUAUAAUGUGUUUCGACUUUGGUUUGAAACUAAAAUUCUUUAAAUUUUUCAUAAUUUUUAAAUAUUAAUGUUUAUAAUUAUUUUGUUUGUAUAACUAUGUUUUUAAAAUAAUUUAUUGAAUUUUUAUGAGAUAAAAAAUAAUUAUAACGAUAAAAAAUGAUAUUAUAAGUAAAAAUACAUAUAUUUAUGGGAAAAUAUGUAAUAUAACUAUAUUUUAAUUUCAUAUAUUUUUAAUAGUAUAAAACAUAAAAAUACAUAUUAGAGUUAAAUAAAUGGCAUUUUUUGGCCAAAAAUAAAUAAAUGUCAAUUUUGAAUAAUAUAAAAAAAAACUUCAAUUUUAUGAAAUUUAAACAUACAUUUUGAGGUGUUUAAACUUUUUUUUUUAACUUUUUAUAAAUUUCAAAAUGCACAUGUUGUUAAUUUUUUGGUUUUAAAAAAUGUGAUAGGUCUAUGUACUCUUUACAAAUUUGUAAUUUAAUUCUUGUAUUUUUAUUUUCGGGAAUUUGAUCCCUCUAUUUUUUAAAUUUUAAAAUCCAAGUUCAAUUGUUAACAUUGUUAUUUUUUUAAAAAAUAAUUUAUUGGUGUUGACAUUUUAAAAUAAAAGAACUUGGUAGCGAUGUAACUAAAAGAUGAUGUAAUGAACAUGGAUUUAAUAAAAUAAUUUCAACCGUAUAAAUAGUUAGACUUGAAUUUUGAAAAAAAAAAUUUGUAAAGAGAAAAAUAUGCACAUUAGAUUUAAAUAAAAAUAAUAUUUUUUUUAGUUUAAAAUUUUCUAUUUUAUAAUAGAACCAUUGAUUUAAAUAAAUGAGAUUUUGAAGAAUUUCCAAAAAAAAAAAACUAUGUAGGUGAAAUUUAAAUAGAGAAUUUGAUAAGCUGAAAUUCUCUUUUGGAAUUCAUAAAUUUUAAAAUUCAGAAGCAUGUAUUUUGACAAUUUUGAUUUAAUAUGGUGAAUUUAAUCAAAAAAUUAUUUAUUAGAUUGUAAAAUAUUUCUUAACAUUUAUAAUUGAGUACAAAGUAAAUUAAGUUUAAGGGAAAAUAUUGGGUACUAUUAAUGAAAUUCUUUUCUUUUAUCAAUUUUUUUUUAAAAAAAUCGGGGUGGUACUAUUAAUGAAAUUCUAAACUUCAUAAGUAGGAUUGAGAUAAUAACAAAUUUCUUAUAUGGUAUAGUAAAAUAUUAAAAAAUAAAUAUUUAAAAGAAAUAGGUUAGUGGCCAUUUUUUAACUUCACUUGUAGAGUUAAAAAACUCCAUUACCAGUACCAAAUACUAACAUUAAGGUUAAAUGCUAAUUGAUUUCAAACAUAUUUGAGUUUUUUAAAAGAAUAUUCUCAUAUAUUUAAAAGAAAACAACACAAAGUUAGAAGAUCUCAUCUUGAAGGGUAAUUCAUUUACCGGUCCUCUCACAUUACCGUCAGCUCCUAACUCUAAAGUGUCUUUAAUUGACAUAUCCCAAAACAAAUUGCAAGGUCAGAUUCCAACCAACGUGUGUUCACAUUUUCCACAUUUGAGCCACUUAUUCUUAUCCAAGAAUGCCUUCGAAGGUGAUAUCCCUCCUUGUUUGAGUGGCAUGAAGGAUUUAUCGAUUUUAGAUUUAUCAGACAAUCAAUUGUCUGGAAGAGUACCUGAAGAGUUAAUCACAAAAAACUCGUUGACCAUUUUGAGACUAUCAAACAACAACCUCAGUGGACAUGUGCUUCCUGUGAUUCUCAAUGCAAAUGGGCUGUCAAAAUUAUAUUUGGAUGGAAAUAAUUUUUCUGGGGAGAUGGCAAAUGUUGAUGUCUCUAUUUCUGAGUUUCCAACUUCACUAAGGGAAAUUAAUCUCGGAAAUAACAAGUUUUAUGGAAACCUCCCAAGAUGGAUGGGGAAUGUGUCAUUUUUGGAGAGAUUAGCUUUGUCCCAAAAUGGUUUCGAGGGUUCUAUUCCAAUGGAAUUUUGCAACUUGAAUCGCUUGGAAUUUUUGGAUCUCUCUGAAAACAAUUUAUUUGGCUCUAUACCGUCCUGCUUUAAUACCCUAAACAUAAAGCAUGUCCACCUGCACGGGAGUAGACUAAGUGGCCCACUACCAAUCGCUUUUUAUAAUAUCUCUUCACUGGUUACGUUAGAUCUUAGAGGAAACAAUUUGACUGGUAGUAUUCCAAAAUGGAUUGGCACACUUUCUUCAUUGAGUGUUCUUCUCUUGAAAGAUAAUCAUUUUCAUGGUGAAGUUCCAGUUCAGUUAUGCAAGUUGGAUUCUUUAAACAUCAUAGAUCUUUCUCAAAAUAUGUUUUCUGGUAUUAUACCUUCUUGUUUGGGAAAUUUAACCCUUUCAACGGAAACAAAUAAGAUUCUAACUGAUUCGAAAAUUAGUCCAAGGUUAACAGGGGACGGAUUAGUGAAAACAUUGGGAGCUCUCGGAAAUUAUUACUAUCCUGAAGGCUACUUAGAAGAAGUAAUAGAGUUCACAACAAAGAGUGGGUUCUUAUCGUAUGAGGGAAACAUCCUUACAUAUAUGACCGGGAUUGAUUUAUCUUGCAACAACUUAACUGGUCAUAUCCCACCAGAAUUAGGGAACUUAAGUGAAAUCUAUUCUUUAAACUUGUCGCAUAAUAAGUUGACAGGAGUUAUACCCUCAUCAUUCGCAAAACUUCAUCAAAUUGAGAGUUUGGACCUUUCUUACAACAAUUUGAGUGGUGAAAUCCCCAAUCAGUUGGUAGAGUUGAACUCUUUGGAGGUUUUCAACGUGGCAUACAACAACUUGUCAGGUAGUAUUCCCGAACCAAAAGCUCAAUUUGGGACCUUUAUUGAAAACAGUUAUGAGGGAAAUCUUUUUCUUUGUGGAGCUAUAUUGCAUAAAAGUUGUUCCAAAACCGAUUCACCAUCAACGAUAUCAACUCUAUCAGAAUAUAAAGGAGAAGAUGGUUUGAUAGGUACUUAUGAUUUUUGUGUGAGCUUUUUGGUUUCUUAUGUAGUUGUGUUGUUGACCAUUUUUGUUGUCCUCUACAUAAAUCAAUACUGGCGAAGAGUUUGGUUUUCUCUCAUUGGGAAAUGCAUCACCACCUGUCGCUACUCAAAUGUGGGCAAUUUUCUUACUUAUCACAUUUUCAAGCAAUGAGUUUAGCUACUCAAAUUGUAAUUUGAUUUUCACACCUAAAUGUUUAAUUAUGCUAAGUUGAGCGAUAAUGAAUAUUUUGUUGAUUUUUGCAUUUUAAAUAAAAGCUCUUUGAUCUUAUGAUUUUAUCAUUUUCAACCAUCUAUUUCUUUUUUCUUCUAUGAAAUUUAAUGUAAAAUCAUAAUCCAUUAUUAUGUAUAUGCAAUAUCUCUUUGAAUUAAAUUAAAUUGAAUACCAAGCGUUCACUAGUGCAUACUGAAAAGGAAAUCUAAUGUAAAAUUAAACCAAACAUACUAGAAAAAUGAAUCUGAAACUGAAAUAUUUUAAAACCUCAAAAACAAUGCAAUUCUUUAUUCCUCUUUUCCUUUCAAGUUAUUUUGUAUCAUGUUAUAUUUUACAUAAUCAUUCAUAUCAUCAAAUUUUAAAAAAUAUUUAAUAUUUUGAUAUCAUGUUCAUAUUAUGCUUUAAUUCACAAUGUAUUUUAUACAAUAUGUUAUAACAAUUCAAUUUAAAAAACAAGCAAUGAUCUUAUUUUUGCAUACCGUAUUAUACAUUUACAUGUUAAUAAUUCAUUGUACGUAAAUUUUGACAUGUUUGCAUAUUUGAGUCAUUAUAAUUUUAUUAUUUGUAAUAUGACAUGUUUUAAUUACCCUUAAUAUUGUGUCAUGAUAAUUAUAACUCGAUUGGCACCAAAUAAUUUUUCUAAUAAAAAAUAGUAUUUUAUUCUAUUUACCAAAUCUUUAUCAACUUUAUAUUCUCACCAACAAAACAUACAUUCAAAGUUCAAAUAAGUUCCACACCCAUUUCUUUACUGCAAUACUCAAGAAUAUGCUCAUCAUCAGAAAUCUGAAAUAUUCCACUCUAAUUAACAUUACGAUUCUGUAAAAACCAAAAAUGUGUGAUCCUUUUUUAAAGCUCUUUUUUUUUUCCUUUAAUGAAAUGGGAUUGGUAAAAAAUCCGCACAUGUGUCGUGUGUGAAGAAGGUGAGGUUGUCUAUUCAUUCUCUAAUAAGUAGCUAAUUAUAGUUGAUCCUACAAAAUCAAAAUUAAUUCAGGUAUCUUUAUAUUCUGAAGACUGGACAGACCUUAGAAGCUUCUUCAAAUUUGCAAGAACAUGUCGUGGUCCUAAACUCUUUACACCGAUGAAAUUCAAAAGUUGCUCUAUAUUCUGCAAUCACAGUAAAGAUUAUGCAGUCAUUUCAGAACGAAUAACAUAACAAGCAAAAGGCGAUCAAAAUACCGUGAUCUCGAUAAUGUUCUUUGCCGAAAAGGAACAUUAACUUAACCUUAAAACAUCAGUGAAGGCUCAUCAGAUUUGCUUAGCAACCUCACAUACACAUGUAAAAAGCUUUGCUUUUGGAUGUAAGGUGUGACUAUCAUUACAGUCUUUUCUAAUUAGCUGAUAACCCUGUAUCUAACAUUUAUCAGGGCUAAGCAAAUUAACAUACAUGAUGUAAAGGAAUUUGACUAUAAGAUCCAACAGAAAACUUAAUAAACGAUAAUCAACAUAGAAAGAAGGCAAUGCAAACUUAUUACAAUGAUGCAAGCGGAUCAAAAGAAAGCACUUCUAUAGGGAAUUUGCAUUUAAGGCAUCGUAAACAGAAAAAAAAAUGAUAAAACUUUUUGGAAAGUAUUUUCAAAGAGGAGACAAAAACAGGGUAGAAACAAUGUUUGGUUCUUCCUUUUUCUAUUUACAAUUUUAGGGUGCAUUCUCUACUGUUGUGAAAAAGCCUUUUUGGGUUAAAAGUGUUUUUACACUGCAGAAGUGUUUUUCCACUGCAGAAGUGAUGAACAACACAUAGCUGUUGUAGUCAAAAACUGUUUUUGGCUUUUGCAUUCAAAAGAGAAAAUUAUCAAAAUACUAUUAUUUUCAUUAACUAUUUAAAAGGUAUAUAAAAAUUAGAUUAAUUUAUAUUUUAUAUAUUAUUAUAUUAAAUUGUUUAAAUCUUAUUUAUUAUUAUAUUUAAUUUUUUCAAAAUAUUUUAUAUAUUAUCAAUUUUACAACUAAUUAACAAAAUAUUUUACUAGGGAAUACGUAUAUGUGAAUAUCUAUAAAUGGCAUGCCUGGAUAUGCAUAUCCUUUGAUAUCAAAUAUUUUGAAAAAAAUAUUAUCAAUUCCACUGAUAUAUUAUCAAUUCCACUGAUAUAAAGCUCUUUAUAUUACCAAUAUAAAUAUAAAUAUUUUGAAUAUAAAUAUCCAUUGAUAUAUUAUCAAUUCCACUGAUAUAAAGCUCUUUAUAUUAUAAAUAUUUUAUAUUUUUUUUCAAAAAUAUGGAUAUGCAUAUCCUUUGAUAUCAAAUAUAAAGGUAAUAUUUAUAGGAAUUGUUUUUUAAUUAGAUAUUUUUAUAUAUCAGUGGAAUUGUCAAAAUAUUUUCAUUAACUAUUUAAAAGGUAUAUAAAAAGAGCUUUAUAUUGCCUCAAGCGCAAGGCACAAAAUGAAGCGCUAGCCUGUGUGCAGUAAAGCGCAAUACGUAUAUGUGAGAGUUUUUGCAAGUCUGUGUGUCUAUAACAUAAAAGUUUAAGAUAUAUAGUAAACUCUAAAGUGUGGUCUGGUUUAUCCACAAAACUUGAAAUUUUUUUAUAGGUGAAUGCUCAAAUAUUGAGAAUUAUAGAGUUUGAUAUUAUCCCUUCCUUAUUAGUAAAGGUAUAUCAAAUGAAAACAGUGAAAAAUAAAAUAAAUUAUUGAGAAAUUCAACAAGGCAGGUUUUUCUAAUGCCCAUUGCCUUACAAAAAAAGUGUGCCUAGGUGCACCAGGCAUGCGCUUGAUCAAAUGGACCUCACCUGGAAGGGUCCAAGGCGUUUUGUUGUAUAAAACUAAGGCGUAGGCAUGCCUAGGCGCAUGCCUUGACGACACUGACCAUAUGUUGGCUUUAUUGCAAAGCAUUAGCAAUUCAAAACUACUAGCACAUUACCUAAUCUACUACUGCUAGAAUAGGACUCAAGUUCUUGCUCCUGUGCAGGUCCAACCAAGAUCUUUACAGGAUACAGUAAUGAAACUUGUGAUAUCAUAUAUUGUUGCCUUGCUCGAAGCUUCCUUUGCACAUUUUUAAGUUUAACACAACCCCUUUCUUCAGUGAGUAAUCUAUUUGCUUCCUGUGAUAAAAACAACAUAUAAUCAAUCAUGCCAUGCAUGCAAGACUACCAACCAUCUUAAAAAAGAGACAAAGAAGUAGGACAGCAAGAAGGGGAUAACCCUUGACUAUGCAAAGGAAUUCAUAGAAUGAGAAUCAUCUCAUCUAAGCCCCUCAACCACCUUCACAGGGGGUGGAGCUGCAAAAAGAGAUGUCUUAUUGAUCCAAGAGGAGAAUAAAUAACAUCUAAAGCUGAAUAAGAAGAAACCUUCAAAUGUAUCAUAAAUUCAGCAUUCAUGAUAAUAUCAAAAUGAAAUUCCAAAGCUAAUUUAAGCUAGAAUAAAAAUGCUUCACCUGUAAUCGCUUCCUUGCUACAGAAAGAGAGGUACCAGCAACCAACAAUGAUCUUACUUCAGUACUAAGCAUUUCCUCCUGUUUUUUAGCAUCCUCUGUUGCAACUUUGCAACGAGUUGACAUUUUGCCAUAACUACUUUCCUUGCCUCUAGUCUCUCACGCAUUUCCUCAAGCUCGUUCAGUUUAUUCAAAGACUCAUUUUUUACCUGCACAGCAUGUUCCCGCCCAUUAAUCAGUGGGCCAAUUGAUUAGGUCACAGAAGACAAAACUAAAUUACCACUCACCAGGUCCCCUUGAAGUGUCAUAUGGCUUUAACAAUUCAACGUGCAAUAUCUAGUAAAAGUAAAAUAAACAUAGAAGAAAGCAAAUGCAAUUCUUAAACGCCUUUAAAUGGACAACAUGAAACAGUUUAAGAGCCCUAUAAAACAGUAAAGUGGAAAAAAAAUCUGAAAAGGAAAAAGAAAUGAAUUGAAACAAUAAAUCCAUCAGGUACAAACAGCAACAAAACUUGAAAUAAGCUUUGGCUUUAGCCCAUUAAAGCCCGGGCAUCCAGCCAAAUAAACAGUGACUGCCAUGUCAACUUUUUGAGACGGUAGAAAAGAGAUCGAAAAUCUCAAUUUCCAAAAAUAAGGACAUAAGAAGUAAAAAAAUGCACUUAUUCUUACAGUAGAAGAGCAAAAUGAAACUAAAUGAAGCAUAAGGGAACUGAUGCGAAUUGACAUUGUCAUUUUUGGGACUAAAAAGAAUACGCAGAUUGAAUAUUUAAGAUUUGGAAGGGAAAAGUUCCAUUCACCAACACAAUUAUCGUCGCCCUUCAUCCUAGUAAAGCUUAAUUGACAAUUUUUCUGUCUCGUGUUCUUGCUAAAGCAUUUGAGCAACCCAACAGAAAUCAUUAUAUUUCAAACUGAAAUGAUUGGCUUUAUCAAUUUCACAACCUAUACCGCCCAACCUAGUAAGUAAUUUAGGUGCAGACACCAGAAAUCUAUUUCCUUUGCACUCUACAACUAAAUAGCCUACCACUUAUCAAUCAAACACAGCUGAAAACUUCAGUGAGGAAACAUUAUGAAAACUGAAAAAACUAUAACUUCAACUUGAUUCAUAGCUCGGCAAGUUCAGGGAAUUGGGACUUCUACCACCAUGAUCCAGUUCGAUGUGAAACAGUGAUCUAUAUCACGCAUAUCGGUUCCCGCAACAAGAGGUAAAACAGCAAAUUAGGUAAACGAUGAUCCUACUAUAUUUCAGAAUAGCAACAUUGAGCAUGAAAGCUAAAGUUAUAGCAUAUUAUGGGUCCUUGCUCUCUACAACUACAUAUAAAAUUACUAAACAAUAUUACUACAUUAAGGAUCCAGAAAAACUUUGUUUCAAUUGUUGAUCACUUGAUCCAACUAUUUUAGAAAGUUUAUUCUUCUUUUUCCUUUCCCUUAUUUUCUAAAUCAGGAAAAACAGUAGCACAUAAACUGGAUUACUACUCCAAGUUUCUAAAAUUUCAGCAAUAUCCCUUUAACCUUUUCACUCAAGUCACUACCCCCCCAAUUAACAAAUAUAUUCCCAGUUUCCCUUUCACUUCAAACCCCCUUUUUUUUUUCUCUACCCAAAUUCAGCUUAAGUUCAAAAACCCAAAAUUGGUUUGCUAAAAAUACAUAAUUUUCAAACACAAAGGUAACCUAAUUUUAAUCAGAAAAAAAAAGCAUUACCUGAAUUAGUGAAUGGAGUUUCUCUUGAAGACUUUGUUUUAAAACUAUCUUAUACUAUUUGCUUUAAAUCGAUUUUUAUUAGCUAUUUAAAACUCGUUUUCAUGUAUUAUUUAUUUUUUUAUCACUUAUUUAAAUUGUUUUACAUAUCUAUUUUUUAAACCCUAUUUUAUUAUAUUUUACUUAUUUUAACUUUUUUACAUAUUUCAUUAUAAAUAUUAUUAAUUAUCUAUAUUGAGUUUUUCAUUCCAUAUGUAUUACUUAUUUAGAUAAAUAUAUACUAUUUUGUGUAUUACUUAUUUUGAUUUUCUUCUUAUACAAUAUUACUUUAAAAUUCAUUUAGAUAUUAUUAUUUCACGUAGUAUUUAUUUUUAUCUUCAUUUUUUAUUUAUUUCAAACUCAUAUAUUGUUUAUUUUGAAAUUUUAUGCAUAUGAUUUAUUGUUUAUAUUGAUGAUUUUAAAUUUCCUUUCUUGCAUGUUUUUUUUAUUUAUUUUAAAACUUGUUAUACUUUAUUUGUGUUAAUUUGCUUAGUUUUUCUUUCAAAAUUAACUUAUAAUUCAUUAGCUUUUAAUGUUAGUAUUUGCACAAUAUGUGAUGUAAGAUUAUUGCUUUCCUGUAUUGCUUAUCUGUAUAUAUUGAUUAUUUGUCAUUCAUUAGUAUACAUUUUGGUUUACGAAUUGACUAAUUUACCAAAAAAAGCCAUUUUUUUAUAAAUUACCGAAAUAGGCCGGUUUUUUAAUUAUUUACCGGAAUGGGCCAUUUCCCCCGAAAUCGCGCCACGUCGAAGCGAUGUCAGGGGACGGGGCAGAAGGUCGCGUCCACGUCAGAGCGACCUACUGACGUGGAAGGAAAUCGCUCCCCUGAGGGCGCGAUUUCCUUCCACGUCAGCAGGUCGCGCUGACGUGGACGCGACCUCCUGUCACUUUGCGCGGUACCGGGAAUGCGAUUUUGACCCUGAUUUUUACGCCUAGGUUUUAUGGCUUUUAGGGUUUAGGGUGCAGGCUUUUUAGGAGUUAGGGGUCCGGGAAAAUUAUUUUUCGAGUUGACGUUUCUGGUUAAAUAGUGGGAAAUCGCUUAUACUAGGAUGCUAUUUAAGAAGAAAUUGUGAAAUAGUGGCCUCGUGGACGCGAUUUCGCUACAGUGGUCAUGUGAGAAAUAAUUUUUUUAGACGUUUUCUGAGGAAAUAGUAUAAAAUCGCUGAUACCAGGAUGCUAUAUGAGAAGAAAUUGUGAAAUCGCGCCCUCGUGGACGCGAUUUCGCUACAGUUGGUCAUGUAGGAAAUAAUUUUUUUUGACGUUUCUGAGUAAAUAGUGUCAAAUCGCGCCCUCGUGGACGCGAUUUCGCUACAGUAGCAAGUUUGGGCUGAGGUUAUAAAUUAGGCAGAGAAUUUUCUUAGAAUGCAUAACUCAGAGCAGAAACAUUUUAGGUUAGGGUUAGGGAAUUUAGAGUUUCAAAAUGAGUGAAUGUAUUAGUGCUGUUAUUUACUACGAUGGUGAGGUUUGCCACACCGAGAAUGGUGUUGUUUUUUUGUCGAAGAAUACGAUGCGACUGUCAUUUAGCCAAAACAUAGAUUUGACAGAACUCCGUAAAAGAAUUAGGCGUAAAAUCUUCGGAACCACGCCAAUGAAAGUUCAGUCAAUGACGUAUCGAUUUUGUUCUUCUGUUGAUUCGGUGACAUAUGACUCGUUCGACAUAAAAGGUGCUCGUAGCUUAGAGGCAAUGGUGCAGACUCAUCUUGCUAGCGGAGCAACUUAUAUUGAGUUAUAUGUACAAUUUACGUCACCAAAUGAUGUACUUUCGUCCGGUGUUCGAGAUGUAUACACGACCCCUGGCCGACACUCGGUUAGUGUGUUACAAAAUACGGAACAGCCCAUGUUCGGUAGCGGUGUCGAAUGCACAUCCCCCCAAGACACUCUGUCGGUGGAUGGGACAUGUACGUCGGUGGCUCGACGGUUGACGCUGGAAAUACGAGCUGGUACGUUCAUUCUCUUAUUUUAUUUUAUUUCAUAUUUUGGGAAAUUUAGAACGAUAAGCGAAAAUGAAUAUAUUCAGAUUAGCAGGGGACAUGACCCAUUUGUUUAGUGUUCUUGUUUUGCUUCUUAAGAUCCACACAAUCAAGUCUUGUGCUGGUACGUUCAUUUUCCAAAUAUUUACUUUACUUUUUGUUUCUGGGCUUAUUUCAUUUUAUGUUGUACUUUUUUCCCAGUAAUUUACUGCUUAAUAUAAAAGAAUCGAAUAUUUAGGUUAAAUUGUGGGUGGGUUUUUGCUAGUUUAUUGAAUACUCAAAUUGGAGCCAUGUAAAAUGUGGAAACUUUAGCUUGAUAGAAAAUGUGACCCCCUUUUUUUUUAAUGUAUGGAAUAAAAAUUUUUGUAUUUUGUGAAUUUUUUUUUAGUAAUUUGAAUUUGUAUGUAUGUUCAUUGGAAGUUUAGAAGCAAGGAGUUCUGAUCAUUAGGACUUUAUGUGAUUCAUUCAUUUUGAGUUAUAGUGUAGUUAGUUGUUGGAUUUAGUGUCACUGUUGGCAUCUUAUUUUAGCUGAUUUCCUUUCUAUUUGUACCGAUAAACCUCUAGAGGUUUUGAAAUUAGCAACUGAUUUUUUUUAUGUGUGAGAGUUUUUAUGGAAAUCAAUAAGCUAAUUACAUUUUGCAGGAUCAUACAGUCGGGUUAGUGGUUUUUAUGUCAUGCUGGCCUAUGGUUUUGAGAUGAACAUCAUGAAAUCUGUAUAAGAUGAGGGUAUUAAACUAUAAACAUAGCCGAGGUAGCGAUUUAUUUCGUAUCAUGCUAUUGGAAGUUUUUUUGGGGCGGCAAUGUCAACUAAAUUUAUAUUCUUUUGAUCAAGUCGAUUAUUUCCAGUUGCACAACUAGCUUGUUGGAAAUAUUUUCUUUCUUUGCUCCUGUCCUUUUCACUUUCAUAUUUUAUGGGUGGUGUGAUGAUGGGAAGAUUCAUGGGUGGCUAAAGCCAUCUUACUCACUAGAAGUGAGGCUGUUAUUUUUAGAAGUUAGAGAUGCUAUAUCAAUUGAGGAUGCCGUGAGCAAAAGCUUGCUAAUAAUAAGUGACUGUUCAUAUGCGUGGGUUCUAUCACAUGUUGAUGGAGUAUUUGGUGCUCUUUCUUCACUAAUUUCAUAUGUAUAGAUAUAAUUGUAUAACAUCUCGACGUUGAUUACUGUUACGAGGGGAAAAAAACACAGCAUGUAAUGAAACUCAAAAAGUAGGAAUCCUAGAUCCUUGUAUUCAUUCAUAGGCAUUUUACAACAUUUGAUUUAACUUGAGCAAGAUUCCGUUUUGGGCCUGGUCUUUUCCUGUUCGUUCCCUUGUUUAUAUAUGAUGAAGUUGGUUCAGCAUGCAGGAAACUCGACAGCAUGCAGGCCAUGAAGACCAAGUCGUGCAGGAGCUGCUGGAACGAGCUGAACUUUUCCUAUUUUGUUCAUCUAGUAAUCUUAAGUUAAUGUAAUGUACUUUAGUUCAUUUAGAACUAUGUUAGGUUUAUGAUUGAUGUAAUUUUGAUGACAAUUGAGCUGUUAAGUCAGCUUUGUUUAAGUGUGUAAGCUUAGUUUUUCAAGUUUCAAUGUAUUAGUGGUAGUAGGUGAUGAUUAGGUAUCAUUAUGCAGAUUUUGACAAGCAAAUUGCUUGGUUUAUGUAUUGGCAUUAUGCCAUUGUUCAACAUAUGAAUGAAAUCAACUUUGUUCAUCAAUAUUCUCUCAAAUUUCCUCAGCUUAUUUUCUUUUUUCUUCAACUCGAAAUUGUUUGUUUGCUCAGCAAGAUUCGAGGCUUGCUCGACAAGAAACUUGCUGAGUCUGUUUGAUUCUGCUGUUGCACCAACAAUUGGUAUCAGAGCUUAUUUCUUAAGGGACCUGUUAUACAAAUCCAUGGCUUCAUCAAGUUUUUCACCAGCUGCACCUCAAGUCUUCAAUGGAGAAGGCUAUCACAUAUGGGUGGUCAAAAUGAAGACCUACCUGCAGGCAUUUGAUCUGUGGGAGGUGGUCAACUCUGAUGUUGAACCAGAGCCACUUAGAGCUAAUCCAACAGUGGCUCAGAUCAGGCAGCAUGCUGAUGAAAGGACCAAGAGGCACAAUGCUAUGUCUUGCAUCCAAAACUCAGUGUCUGAUGUGAUUUUCACAAGGAUUAUGGCCUGUGAAUCACCAAAACAGGCCUGGGACAAGUUGCAGGAAGAGUUUCAAGGGACUGAGAGGACAAGGCAACAACAGUUGUUAAACUUGAGGAGAGAUUUCGAGAAUUUGAAGAUGAAGGAAGAAGAAACUGUCAAGCAAUAUUCUGACAGGAUUAUGGCUGUGGUUAACAGCAUCAGGCUCCUUGGAGAGCAGUUCAAUGAAGCUAGGAUAGUGGAGAAGGUUAUAGCAACUCUGCCUGAGAGGUAUGAGGCAAAAAUCUCAUCUCUCGAGGACUCAAGGGACCUGUCCACCAUCUCCCUGACAGAGUUGAUCAAUGCUCUAUAUGCUCAAGAGCAGAGGAGAGCAAGCAGACUGGAGGAGCACCAAGAAGGUGCCUUUCAGGCAAGAACAAAUACUUCCUACAAAGGCAAGAAGGCUUGGAGAGACAAGCCAAAGGAUGAUGCUGCAAGGAGAGAAGGUCAAACUUGCAAGCACUGCAGAAAGGCUGGUCAUUCAGAAGAAAAAUGCUGGUUUAAUCCAGAUGCUGUGUGUCAGCAUUGUAAGAAAAAGGGCCAUGUUGAGAGAGUUUGUAAGAGCAAUGCCAAAACAAGGCGCAAUCAGGCUCAACAGAUGAAAGCUGAGGCUCGAGUAGCUAAGGAGGACAGUGACCAAGAGGAGCAAGUCUUUACUGUGUCAUGCUCAGCUGCUCAGGAAAGGUCCUCAUCUGGUUGGCUCCUAGACAGUGGAUGCACCAACCACAUGACACCUGAUGCUGCAAUCUUCAAGUCUUUAGACAGAAGCUGCAGAACUAAAGUCAAGAUAGGAAAUGGUCAUUUUAUUCAAGCUGAAGGCAAGGGUGAUGUUCUGAUAUGCACUCUUACAGGUACCAAAGUGAUUUCAAAUGUGCUGUUGGUGCCUGAAAUUGACAGAAACCUGCUCAGCAUAGCUCAGUUGCUGGAAAAAGGUUACUUAGUUGUGUUUAAAGACCACCAAUGCCAAAUCAGUGAUCCAAGUGGAUCCAAACUGAUGGCAGUCCCUAUGGCUGAUAAGAGCUUUGUGGUUGACUGGACAAAAAAGUCAGACAUUGCCUACACAGCCACUUCAGAUGAAUCCAAGCUGUGGCAUCAAAGACUGGGACAUGCCAACUUCAGAUCGAUGGCCCGAAUGAUCAGAGAAGACCUGGCUGAAAACUUCAUCAACUCAGUAGACCAUGAUGAUGUAUGUGAAGUAUGUCAGCUAGGAAAGCAGGCCAGACUCCCAUUUCCCUCGAAUCAAGCCUAGAGAGCCUCUGAAAAACUCCAACUGGUGCAUACUGAUGUGUGUGGACCUAUGAAGACUGAGUCAUUAAGUGGAAACAGGUAUUUCAUACUGUUCAUUGAUGAUUUCUCGAGAUAUUGCUGGAUUUACUUCUUAAAACAGAAAUCAGAGGUGGCCACUGUGUUUUGGAAGUUCAAAACUGCUGCUGAGACUGAAACAGGCUGCAAGGUGAAGACCAUAAGGUCUGAUAAUGGGACUGAGUACACCUCAGCUCAGUUCCAAGCCUUCUGUGAUAAGGCAGGCAUCAAACAUCAACUUGCCAACACAUAUACACCUCAGCAGAAUGGGGUAAGUGAAAGGAAGAAUAGGAGUUUGAUGGAUAUGGCCAGGUGCUUGAUGAUUCAGAAGAAUCUGCCUAAAGCACUAUGGGCAGAAGCAGUUAACACUGCAACAUACAUUCAAAAUAGACUUCCAACCAGGGCUUUGGAUCAAAAGACCCCAUUCGAGGCCUGGUUUAGCUUCAAGCCAUCACUGGCUCAUCUGAAGGUCUUUGGAUGCAUCUGUUAUGCACAUGUACCUGCUGUUAAAAGGGACAAAUUGUCUGAAAGGGCUCGACCUGGUGUUUUGGUGGGCUAUAGCACUGUUAAGAAGGGCUAUAGGAUUUUAGAUCCUUCAACAAACAAAGUGUCAGUAAGCAGGGAUGUGGUAUUUGAUGAGAGGUCAUGUUGGAACUAGGAAAGACAUGAACCUGAAGAAGUUUUUGAAGAACUUGCAGCAGACCAAGCUGAGCCAGACCAAGAUGUCCCUGAAAUGGAUAUUGAUGAUGAACCAGUCAGAGGAACAAGGCCAUUGGCUGAAAUUUAUGAAAGGGCUCAUGUAGCCAUAGUUGAACCAAGCAACUUUGAAGAGGCUGAGGCUCAGCAAGGGUGGAAGCAGGCAAUGGCUGAGGAGAUCAGCAUGAUUGAGAAGAACCACACCUGGAAAUUGGUUGAAAGGCCAGUCAAAAGGAAAGUGAUUGGGGUGAAAUGGGUGUACAAAGCCAAGCAGAAUGCUGAUGGUACCUUGAACAAGCUGAAAGCAAGGCUAGUUGUCAAGGGGUUCAGUCAGAGGUAUGGCUUGGACUACCUGGAGACCUUUGCACCAGUGGCCAGGCUCGACACCAUCAGACUGCUGAUUGCCUUAGCAGCACAGCUUGAAUGGAAGAUCCAUCAACUUGAUGUGAAAUCAGCUUUUCUGAAUGGUUUCUUAGAUGAAGACAUCUAUGUUGAACAACCACAAAGGUUUGAAAUAGCUGGCAGAGAGCAUAUGGUCUACAAACUGAAAAAGGCCCUAUAUGGAUUAAAGCAGGCUCCAAGGGCCUGGUAUAGCAGAAUUGAUGGCUACUUGACUGAUCUAGGAUUCGAUCGAAGCAAGAGUGAGCCAACACUGUAUGUCAAGAAACAAGGGACACAAAUACAACUCAUUGUGUCCCUGUAUGUUGAUGAUCUUCUGGUGACAGGAGGAGAUCGAGUAGUGCUGGCUGAUUUUAAGACCAAGAUGCAGGAAGUGUUUGAAAUGUCUGAUCUUGGGGAGAUGUCAUACUUUCUUGGAAUGGAGGUGUCUCAAGUAUAGAAUGAGAUAUUUCUAAGCCAGAGAAGCUUUGCCACAAAGAUUCUGACCAAGUUCUCCAUGCAAAACAGCAAGGCAACUAAAACACCUAUUGCUGUUGGAGAAAAACUAUCGAGCCAAGGUGAUUUUAAGAAAGUUUGUGAAACAACCUACAGGAGUCUAGUUGGUUGCUUGCUAUACUUGACUGCCACUAGACCAGACAUUAUGUAUGCUGUAGGAUUGCUCUCAAGGUUCUUGCAUUGCUGCAAUGAGAAGCAUUUCCAAGCUGCAAAGAGAGUGCUGAGAUAUGUCAAAGGCACUUUAAACUAUGGUUUGAAGUACAGUAAAGAAGGAAAUCUGAAGCUGAUUGGCUACACUGAUAGUGACUGGGCUGGCUCGAUAGAUGACAUGAAAAGCACCUCAGGGUAUGCUUUUAACCUUGGUUCAGCCAUGUUUUGUUGGAGCUCAAAGAAGCAAAGUCUAGUAGCUCAAUCUACUGCUGAAGCAGAGUAUGUGGCAACAGCAAGUGCUAUCAACCAAGCCAUAUGGCUAAGAAAAAUAUUGGCUGACUUGAAUGUGCAUCAAGAGCAAGCUACUGAGAUCUUCUGUGACAACCAAUCUGCAGUAGCAAUUGCUAAAAAUCCAGUGUUCCAUGGAAGAACAAAACAUUUCAGCAUAAAGUUGCAUGUUGUUCGAGAAAUGGAGCAAGCUCAGGAAGUAAAGCUGGUCCACUGUAAUUCAGAAGAUCAACUUGCUGACAUUUUAACCAAAGCUCUUAGUGUCACAAGGUUUGAAUAUCUAAGAAAGAAGCUAGGUGUUUGCUCCAUGCAAACCAAGGAGGAGUGAUGAAGUUGGUUCAGCAUGCAGCAAACUCGACAGCAUGCAGGCCAUGAAGACCAAGUCGUGCAGGAGCUGCUGGAACGAGCUGAACUUUUCCUAUUUUGUUCAUCUAGUAAUCUUAAGUUAAUGUAAUGUACUUUAGUUCAUUUAGAACUAUGUUAGGUUUAUGAUUGAUGUAAUUUUGAUGACAAUUGAGCUGUUAAGUCAGCUUUGUUUAAGUGUGUAAGCUUAGUUUUUCAAGUUUCAAUGUAUUAGUGGUAGUAGGUGAUGAUUAGGUAUCAUUAUGCAGAUUUUGACAAGCAAAUUGCUUGGUUUAUGUAUUGGCAUUAUGCCAUUGUUCAACAUAUGAAUGAAAUCAACUUUGUUCAUCAAUAUUCUCUCAAAUUUCCUCAGCUUAUUUUCUUUUUUCUUCAACUCGAAAUUGUUUGUUUGCUCAGCAAGAUUCGAGGCUUGCUCGACAAGAAACUUGCUGAGUCUGUUUGAUUCUGCUGUUGCACCAACAAUAUACCUCCACUGUGCCAUUGUGUAUUUGUGUUCGAUUUUCAGUUCUGUCUCACAAUCCCUGUCAUGUCUUAUGAGUGAUUUUCUGGCUCUAAAUAUCUAUGAUAUAUUUGUGCAGGCAUUUCACUGAAGACUCAGGAACUCUAUGCUAUUGUCUUUGCUACUCGUUACUUGGACAUAUUCACUAAUCAUAUCUCGCCUUAUAACACAAUCAUGAAGCUAAUAUUCCUGGGCAGCUCUUUCUCAAUUGUAUGGUACAUGCGGUAUCACAAAAUAGUUCGUAGAUCUUAUGAUAAGGACCAGGAUACAUUUCGACAUUACAUCCUUAUACUCCCUUGCCUGAUUCUUGCCCUUCUUAUAAACGAGAAGUUCACCUUCAAAGAGGUAUCGACAUCCUUUUGUUUGUUGGAAUAUGAUAACAGUAUGUUCAUAUUAAUUACUGGUUAACUUAGAAGCUCCCUAAACUGUUUAUCUGUUUUAUAUUAAUUAUUCAUUAUUAUCCUUCUGGUUAUAUUUUUAUAUAUUGAUUAUUGUCUUAAAAAAAAUUGUUGAGCAGGUCAUGUGGACAUUUUCCUUGUAUUUGGAAGCUGUUGCGAUACUUCCUCAGCUUGUAUUGUUGCAAAGGACUAGAAAUAUUGACAACUUGACUGGACAAUAUGUGUUUCUCCUUGGGUAACCACUGUAUUCUUUAAAAAUCCUAAUCAGUUGCAAGUUUUCUAUUUUAUUACCUUGCAAUUUGCAUGAAGGACCCUUAUUUCCUGGCUCAGUUCCCUAAAAUGUUGCCUCCUUCCUGAGGAAACAAAAGAGAGAAAGUCUCUAAAUAGAGUUGCCAUCAUAUUGCCGCUUGGUUGCCACUGAUUUCUUUUUGAUGAAAAGUUGAUAUGAUUAUAUGUUGGACCAAAGUUAUCUAUUUUCAGAUGUGAUUAACUGCAGUUGAAUUUUGCGAGUAUGACUGUUCUUGUGUAACUUUUGUUAUGUGCUUUCAUGUCGUUUUUAGUCUUUUACACUGUGUUCUGUCUAUCUUUGUUUGCUAUUAUCCUAAGUUAGGAGACAAGGUGCCAUUAGGAGCAAUGUGACGUCAAAAUUCAUUUCCCUUUAGCCUUCAGUUCUACCUUUUCUUCCCUUUCUUUAUGUAGUUUUUGGGAGUUGGGGAUCACAGCGAUGAUAGUCGGUACAUGUGACUUGAAAGAUGCCUAAAAACUUCAAGAGCAUAGUGUUGUAUAAAUCUUUUGGAGAAAUUUUUUUGGUACAUUGAUGCCAACUUACAAUAACCCUUGCCACUACAACCGUGGCUUUGUUGGCUUAUGUAUGCACUCUCUUUGUCUUUAUAGGUCACCAAAUUCCUAAUGUCUAAUUCUUGGUUAUGGACUAAUAUAGUUGCUUGUUAUUGCAGUGCAUACAGAGCAUUGUACAUAGUGAACUGGAUUUAUCGGUACUUUACUGAAGACCACUUUGUCCACUGGAUAAGUAUGUACUCUUCUCUGUCUCCCUUCAUCUUUUACUCCAAGUCGGUAGCCAUGGGUGUAUGACGAGUGUGUCAAUAUAUCUACCCCAACACAUUUGUGAUAUACUAUGCUAUAUGUGUUAUUUCUAACACCUUGUUUACAUGAUUGCUGCCUUUCAGCUUGGAUUUGCGGUCUUGUCCAGACAUUGCUUUAUGCUGAUUUCUUCUACUAUUACUUCCAGAGGUAACCCCCUUUCUGACACUCUGGAAAGCACUUCAUACCUAUGUGAAUGAUUGCAACUUAUUUGAUUAUUAUGCCUGCAGCUUGAAGAACAACAUGAAGCUCCAAUUACCAGCUUGAGAUUUUAAUGGUGCAAGUUUUGUAGUAGCAUACAUAAACUUACAUCAUAUGGGUUCAAAUUUAUGAGUAUUUCAAUUAAUUUUAAUUUCACUAUGUUAUAUUGUAAUAUCAUGUAAAAAGUAUCAUAAAAGCAGGCAUAAGUUUUCCACCAAUUAGAACAUUUUGAAAAUUGAUGUCAAGCCCGAAAUGACCGUCACAAGUAAGCAUAUUAAACGUGUGAAGAGAAGACCUUAUUUUUCCACAUAACUAAAACUUUUUACACCAUAGGAACUUUCAUCGUCAUCAAGUUGGACAUGGAUGGAGCUCACGUAAAAAUAAUUUUUCAUAUAAAAACUAAAAACUAGAAAUUGACUUGUAAUAAUUCUCAAGGUUAAGGUUGACGUGGUCAAUAGUAAUGAACUUAUGUUUAAGGUUUGGGUUAUUUUUCUCAAUUAUAGAUUAGUAUUUUGUUCAUUGUAAACUUUGCUAACAAAAUUUAAUAUAUGACACAUAUCUGAUUUAAUUUAUUUUUAUUUUAUAAAACUUUCAUUAUUUGUUUUACUCAUUAAUGAAAUUUGGUGUGAAUACAUUAAAUAUUACCUUUUAUAUAUUUCACUCCCUCUUACUAUAUCUCAAUGGAGAAAUUGAAGGUCAUUCAAGGAAAUGGUAAUGUCCAUUUUCCACAAAACUAAAAUUUUCCACACGACAGAAACUUUCUUGGUCAAACAAGUUGGAUUUGGCUUCACCAAUAACUUAAUAAUCUGUACUAAAAUUUUCCACGCAAUAGAAUACGAACUCGUUCUCGUAAAUAUUUUAAAAAAUAAAAAAUUUAAUAUUAUGAGUUAACGAAUUAUCAAUUUAAUUAAAAAAAGUUGAAAGAUACAUUUUUUAAAAUUUUAUGAAAUUAUAUAUUAAUAUAAUUAUAAAAUUAUAGUUUUAACUUUAUAAAAUUUAUUAUUUAUCUUUGAUCUUGAAGAGAGACAAAGUAAAAUACCUAUUCUUGGAGCCAUAACGACAACUAGGAUUAUGAUUGCACAUUUUCUAAGUCUUCAUUUUUGUUAAUUAGGAAAGCUGAUGGGCAUCUCCACUAAGUUUCCACCCACAAGAAUAUACGUAUUAAUUUGUUUUUCUCAAUUUCCAUGAGGGGGGAUAUAAGCUUAAAGUUGACGUAGAAGUCAAUACUCAACAUUUGAAAGUUAAUGCAGUGAACUAUGUGCUUGUUGAUAUAUGAAAUGAUAUUUUCUUAACAAUUUCCUCCAACUAGUUCGUAGAUGGUGCUAUAUUACAUCACAAUGGGUAACCAAAUGUAUAUAAUUGAGAUUUUUAAGCAAAUAUUAUAUUUUAUCUUUAUCCAUGAAUAGUCUAAUAAUAAGGAUUAAUAUUUGGUACAUUGUCAGUGGAGUUUUUAAAUUCCAUAAGUAGGGUUAGAGGAUUGACACAUGCCAAUUUUUUAAUGUUGCUUGUGGGAUGCACUUGAAUUGUGGUUCAUAGAAGGAAAUUAUUAUAUAAAGGUUUAAUUCUACCAUAGUUCUUGUACUUUACUGAAGUUGUAGAUUUAAUUCCCAGACUUUAAUUUGAUAUUUUAGAUAUUUGUUAAAUUCAUAAAGUCCUACUAUUUCCAAAUUUGGUGUGGCAAACAUAUUAUCAUAGGUGUAAUAUCACUAAAAUUCAAAAGAAUGAGAAAUUUGUACAUAUUAUCAGAUGUCAAUAUCAAGUUGAGCAUUUCAAAAUCUAAAGUAAUAGUUCAAGUAUUUAUUUUUCCAUAAAACCAAAAUUUUCUACAUGAUGGCUUUUUUUUUGGCUAUUAGUUAAGAGGAAUUUUUUUAAUAACCCAAUUUAAUUAACUAAUUUAAAAAAUGGUUCAAGUAAAACUCAAGUCAUAUUAAAAAUAAUUAUUUAUAAAUUUUAUGUUUCAAAAACUAAUGAAUGUUCAAAGAAUAGUGAAUUAUUAAAGAGAAGUUAUAUGAUAAUGGAUUGUUUUAAAGUAGUGGUCUAGUAGAAAUAAAUAGUUUUUUAUAAAAAAAUAUUAUAUAAAUAAUUAAAUUUUAUAGUUACUCCUAUUUUUUUUAAAAAUAGUGAAUGUAAUAUUUUUUAAAAUGUUAAAUUAACUCAUGAUAUUAAUUAAAUCAAGAAAUUUUAUAAUAAUAGAGAUGAAAAAAACUAAAUUUUCAAAAUCAAAACCUAAAACGUGCAAGAAUAAAAGCAAUCUGAAGACUUAAAAUUUCCAUUAAUAAAACCAAAAUCAAAGAAGUAAAAUUUCCAUGAAUAAAACCAAAAAUGAAGACCUAAAUUUUCCAUUAAUAAAGCCAAAUCAAGACUAAGUUUGUAUAAGUGUAAGAAGGGUAUAAAGGAAACUCACAAGAAAGCCACAUGAAGAAUUUUAUAACUCCAACUACACGAUUUUAUGUCCACCUCUCACUUUUCAUAUUUUUUUUUGGCCAUUCAUUUUUCAAGAUUAACAUUAGCAUUCUUGUGGUCCGUUCAUCCUUUCCUAACCAAUUUCCACCAAGAGUUUUUGCAAUAAGGAAUUUACCUAAAUAAGAAACCUAGAUUGAUCCAAUUUUUGAGGAAUUAAUUAAUUAUAUAUUAUUUUUAUAUUAUAAUGAAUUAGUGGGAUGCAGUAUGUUCUGCUUGUAUAUAAAUAAGAAGCUUAGGCUUCUUUAGAUUAUAUACAUAUAGAAGUUAACAAAAAGUAACAUAUAGCUGAGAGAGAAGUGAAAAUAGAGAGAUGAUGAUGAUGGAGUGGAAAUGGUUAAGGUUUAUUAGGAUGGCAGUAAUGUUGUUGGUGUUAGAAGGAUGCAGAUGGUGUACUACUGAUGCUUGUUUGGAGCAUGAGAGAAUCGCUCUCUUGCAUCUCAAGCCUUUCUUCAAUUAUCAAAAUCAAUUGCAAAGUUGGGUUGAGGUGAAGGGUUCAGAUUGUUGUAAAUGGGAAAGAGUUGAGUGUAACACCACCACUAGGAGACUCAUACAACUCUCCCUUAAUUCUACAAGAUGGUUUGACAGUAUGGGAUACAAAACGGAUAAUAGGAAUCUCAAUGCCUGGUAUCUCAAUACCUCUAUGUUUCUUCCCUUUGAGGAAUUGAAGAGUCUUUAUUUGCGGGGGAAUGCCAUAAGUGGUAACCUUGAAAAUGAAGGUCGUGCCUCUAGUUUUUCCUUAAUUACAUCUUUUAUUAUCCCACUACUCUUACCAUCGUUAUUUUGCAAUUACUUAUAUUUUAUUUUAUUUUAUGGAAGAAAAGUCACUAACUUGUAUAUAUUUAAAAGAAUAUUUCUAUAGGCUUUGGAAAACUAUCAUCCACAUUGAGUAAUUUGGAGAUCCUUGACUUAAGUGAAAACUACUUGAAUGACAGCAUUUUGUUAUCUUUGAGUGAGCUUUCAUCUCUCUGGUAUUUAGAUCUAUCAGGCAACAAAUUUGAAGGAUCAAGCCAUCUAAGAGGUAAAUUAAGUUUGGUCUGGUAUUAGUUUUUAUUUGUAAAGUGGAGUUUGAGGAUGGUCUUCUAGUAAUUCCACUUUUGCUUUAGUAAAAUUUUCAUACAGCUAAGAAAGAAAAAACAAUUAACAAGUAAUUUUUAACUUUAAAAAUCAAUGUAUGUUCAUAUUCAAGGUAGACUGGUUUUAUAUGUUUCUUUUUUACUUUAAAACCAUUUUUUUUGUUUAAGGGACAGUUAAUGUUGCAAUAUGUCUUUGCUUUUAUCAUAUCAUGAAUAUAUAUAAUUGAUCAAUAUUUGGGAUUGAAUUUCAGGAUUGAAUAAUUUGACAAACUUGAAGUACUUGGAUUUAAGUUCGAACAGAAUUGAAAGCAUCUCAAACAAAGGUAUAAGUACAGUAUUUAUAUGUCAAUUCAUAUUAAAGGUAGACUGGUUUUAUAUGUUUCUUUUUUACUUUAAAACCAAUUUUUGUUUAAGGGACAGUUAAUGUUGCAAUAUGUCUUUGCUUUUAUCAUAUCAUGAAUAUAUAUAUAUAUAUAACUGAUCAAUAUUUGGGAUUGAAUUUCACGAUUGAAUAAUUUGUCAAACUUGAAAUACUUGGAUUUAAGUCGCAACAACGUUGAAAGCAUCUCAAACCAAGGUAUAAGUAUUUGUGCGUAGUAACUUUCUUGACUGACUAUUAUUCCAAAAGGCAAUGACAGACUUCAAAUGUAUUUUCUUUAGUGAAUUUUUAUUGCAAAAAUGGAGUAUUAUUAUUUAUUUAAGUUUUGUAGUAACUAAUUAUAUAAUAUAUAAAUGAGGUUUUCAAUGGCUCAUUAAAUUGGAAAUUAUUGAUAUAAGUUGGAAUUAUUUGAAGAAUAGCAUUCUUUAAAAUAAAUUCAUGUUGAAGGAAAAGUUGUUGCAAUAUGUUAUAUCAUGAAUAUAUAUAAGUAAUCAAUAUUUGGGAUUGAAUUUCAAAAUUGAGUAAUUUAAGUAGGAAGGUAUCUCAAACAAAGUAUUUAUAUAUUGAAUCAAUUCAUGGGAAAGCUUGUAAAUUGGCUCUUCCUUCUCAAACAAACAUUUUUCCUAACUAUUUAUAUAUUGAAUGAUGUUAACUAUACUAAUUACUUUCUUCCAAUGAUAGAUGGAACACAAUUGAGGCUAACAAAUUUAGAGGAACUUGAUUUGAGUGGUAAUCUCUUUCGGAACAACACAAUUUCCUUUCCUCAAGGGCUUUCAAGCCUAAAGUCUUUGACUUUGUUCAACAACCGUUUGCAAGGCUCAUUAGAUACUAAAGGUACUAAAGCUAUAACUUUGUUUUUCUUGAUAAUUCUUUCUAGAGCCUUUUAAAAUUAAUUGUUUCAAAUUUGAACAUUCACAUUUCACGUUUGAGGAUUUUUAUCUUCAAUUCAAGUUUUAGAUUUACUUUUUUUUUUCAUUUUUAUUUCAUUAAAAUAUUAAGUAGAAAUUAAAAUUAUUAACAUAAUGAUUUUUUGAAUUGGACGUGGAUAUGUAUAGGAUUGAGCAAUUUAACAAAUUUGAAGAAACUCGAUUUAAGAUGGAAUCAAAUUGAAAGCUUUCAAUCCUUUAAAGGUAUGCAUUUAUAUUUAACCAAUUACCUAAAUUCUUACAUAUAAUUAAAUUUUAUGCCAAUUCAUUUCAGUGAUGAAAUUAUAUAAAUCUUUUGUAGAUGGUGGUAGAAAAUUGGAGUUGACCCACUUGGAAGAGCUUAAUUUAGAUGGAAAUCACUUCAAUACUAGUGUAUUUGCAUCCCUUAACAAGCUUUCAAAUUUGAAAUCUUUGAGCAUAAGUGGGAACCAAUUGAAAGGAUCAAUAGAUAUGAAAGGUAAAUAUAUUAGUCUUUUUAACAAGAAUAUAAUAAUGUUUGAAGAGAAUAUAAUGAAGUUGAUUUGUUGUUUUUGUUUUCCUAGAUUUGGAAGCAUUUAUCAACUUAAGGGAACUAGAUAUGAGCGGCAAUGAAUUGAAAGAUUUGGUGAUCCACCAAGGUAUCAUUUAAUUAAACUUCCUUUUUUUUUUAAAUUUAGAAAUUUAGUUUUGAUGUCAAAUAUUAUAAUAACGGUUAUUGUCAUAAAUAUUAAUAAAGUAAUAUCAUAUCAUACUUGAAAGUAAAAUAUGGGUUUGGUGAAACAUUUUCUAAAUCAUCCAUUAUAAUGUGUUUGGACUUUGGUUUGAAACUAAAAUUCUUUAAAAUUUUCAUCAUUUUAAAAUAUUAAUGUUUAUAAUUAUUUUGUUUGUAUAAAUAUAUUUUUUAAAAUAAUUUAUUGAAUUUUUAUGAGAUAAAAAAUAAUUAUAACAAUAAAAAAUGAUAUUAUAAAUAAAUAAAAACAUAUAUUUAUGAGAAAAUAUGUAAUAUAACUAUAUUUUAAUUUCAUAUAUUUUUAAUAGUAUAAAACAUAAAAAUACAUAUUAGCGUUAAAUAAAUGGCAUUUUUUGGCAAAAAUAAAUAAAUGUCAAUUUUGAAUAAUUUAAAAAAAAUCUUUAAUUUUGUGAAAUUUAAGCAUACAUCGAGAGGUGCUUAAACUUCCAUUGCAAUCUUUUUAUAAAUUUCAAAGUGCAUAUGUUUUUAACUUUUUGGUUUAAAAAAAUAUGAUAGGUCUACGUACUCUUUACUAAUUUGUAAUUUAAUUCUUAUACUUUUAUUUUCAAGAAUUUAAUCCCUGUUUUUUUAUAAAAAAAAUCAAAAUCCUAGUUCAAUUGUUAAAAUUGUUAAAAUUUUAAAAUAGUUUGUUGGUGUGACAUUUUGAAAUAAAAAAAAAAACUUAGUAGUAAUGUAACUAAAAAAAUGACGUAAUGAACAUGGAUUUAAUAAAAUAAUUUUAACAAUAUUAAUAAAAUAAUUUUGAAUUUUGAAUUUUAACUUAACUCUAUUUUUGGGCCAAGAUUUAAUGCUUUAAAAUUUUCAUUUAAUCCGCUGAGUUUACUUAUAAUUCUUUUGAGUUUUAUUUAUUGGUGAGUAAAAUACCUAUUUGAUUUUUUUAUAUACUAUUGGCAUCUUUAAAGGUAAUAUAAUAAUUUUAGUGUAGACGUGUUUUAUUUUAUAAAUAUUAUUUAUAGUGUAGACAUGUGAAUUUUGAAUAAUUUAAAAAUAUCUUCAAUUUUAUGAAAUUUAAACAUACAUUUAGUGUAGACAUGUUUUAUUUUAUAAAUAUUAUUUAUAGUGUUGUUGAUUGGAGUUUGAAAAUUAUACAACUUAGCUAUAUCAGUUAAUUACUUAUAUUAAAAAAUAAUAUAAGAAAAUACUAAAAAGAAAAAAAAUAGUAUAAUUAAUAAAAUGGAUGAAGAGUUAUAUUAAAGUUUCAACAUCUUCUCUCUAUCAAAAUUUAUCUCAGAUAAAUCAUGAAUAAUCUAACUCAUAAAAAAUAUAUAUAUAUUUAUAUACUUCAUUUCAUUCACAGAAAAUAAAGCAUUCUACUUAGUAGAGGCUUUCUAUAAUACCGUUAUCUAAUACCUCUUGACAUUGCUUAGAUUCAAAUGUGUCGAGCAGUUUGGAGGAAAUAUAUCUUGACUAUUCUACUCUCAACACCAACAUUUUGCAAAGCAUUGGAGUAUUCGCUUCUCUUAAAACAUUGUCUUUAUAUCAUUGUGGACUUAUUGGUCCCUUACCUAAUCAAGGUAAAUAAUUUUAUGGCUCAAUUUGAUUUCUUUAUGAACUUUCUGUAAUAUAUUAUCUCCUAUUCUGUUUUAUAAAGCAAAAUUUAAUUGAAACUUCUUCCAUGAAUUUAUUUAUAAAAUUUUCAGGAUGGUGUGAUCUAAGGAACCUUGAAGUGUUGGAUGUGAGUGGGAAUGCACUUGAGGGGAUGCUUCCUCAUUGUUUUAGUAACUUGACAUCUCUUCGUGAGUUAUAUAUUUCAAGAAACCAUUUUCAAAUUCCGCUGUCAUUUGCACCAUUUGCAAACCUUUCAAACCUCAAAUCCCUUUGGAUUAAUGAAAACAAGAUGGUAAUGGAACCUUCCUUUUAUACCUCAAUCCCAAAGUUCCAAUUGGAAGUCAUCAGUUUGCUAAAGUGCAUAACAUCUCAACAACUCAGUCGUAAAGUUCCUACCUUCCUUUACUACCAAUAUGACUUGAGAUAUGUGGAUCUUUCGCAUAACAAUUUCAGCGGAACAGUCCCAACUUGGUUGUUAGAAAACAACACAAAAUUAAAAGUUCUUAUCUUGAAGGGUAAUUCUUUUACUGGUCCUCUCUCACUUUCGUCGGCUCUUAUUUCUAAUGUAUCUUCAAUUGACUUAUCUGAAAACAAAUUACAAGGUCAAAUUCCGAUUGGUAUAUGUUCAACUUUUCCACAUUUGAGUCAAUUAUUCUUAUCCAAGAAUGCUUUUGAAGGUAAUAUCCCACUUUGUUUAAGUGGCAUGAAGGACUUAUCAACUUUAGAUCUAUCAAACAAUCUAUUGUAUGGAAAAGUUCCAGAAGAGUUGAUCGCGAAAGGCUCACUGACCAUUUUGAGACUAUCAACUAACAACCUCAGUGGAAAUGUAGUUCCUGUGAUUCUCAGCGCAAAUGGGCUGGAGAAUUUAUAUUUGGAUGGAAAUAAUUUUUCAGGAGAGAUGACAAAUGUUGAUGUGUCUACUUUUGAGUUUCCAAAUUCACUACGGGAAAUUGAUCUCAGUAACAACAAGUUGCAUGGAAAGCUCCCAAGAUGGAUAGGGAAUGCAUCGUUUUUGGGGAGAUUAGCUAUGUCCAACAAUAGUUUUGAGGGUUCUAUUCCAAUGGAAUUUUGCAAGUUGAAUAGCUUGGAAUUUUUGGAUCUUUCUCAAAAUAAUUUAUCUGGCUCUAUACCGUCAUGUUUUAAUCCACCAUACAUAGAGUAUGUCCACCUCCACGGGAAUAGACUGAGAGGCCCACUAUCACUUGCUUUUUAUAAUAGCUCUUCAAUAGUGACUUUAGAUCUUAGAGGAAACAAUUUGACAGGUAGUAUUCCAAAAUGGAUUUACACGCUUUCUUCUUUGAGUGUUCUUCUCUUGAAAGAUAAUCAUUUUCAUGGUAAAGUUCCUAUUGAGUUAUGCAAGUUGCAUUCUUUAAGCAUCAUAGAUCUUUCUCAAAAUAUGUUUUCUGGUCCUAUACCUUCUUGUUUGGGAAAUUUAUCUCUUCCAAUGCAAACGAACAAGACUCUAGAAAUUGAGUUCUAUGGGCCAUCUAUAGAAGAGGAUGAAACAACACGCAGUAUGAUACUAAAUUUGGGAAUGGAUUCUUACUAUCCUGGUAGCUACUUAGAAGAAGUAAUAGAGUUCACAACAAAGAGUGGGUUCUAUUCAUACAAGGGCGACAUCCUUUCAUAUAUGACUGGGAUUGAUUUAUCUUGCAACAACUUAACUGGUCAUAUCCCACCAGAAUUAGGGAACUUGAGUGAAAUCCAUUCUUUAAACCUUUCACACAAUAAGUUGACCGGAGUUAUACCCUCGUCACUCUCGAAACUACAUCAAAUUGAGAGUUUGGACCUUUCUUACAACAACUUAAGUGGUGAAAUCCCCAAUCAAUUGGUAGAGUUAAACUCUUUGGAGGUUUUCAGCGUGGCAUUUAACAACUUGUCAGGUAGUAUUCCCGAACCAAAAGCUCAAUUUGGGACCUUUAUUGAAAAUAGUUAUCAGGGAAAUCCGUUUCUUUGUGGAGUUAUAUUGCAUAAAAGUUGUUCCAAAACCGAUUCACCAUCAACGAUAUCAACUGUAUCAGAAGAUAAAGGAGAAGAUGGUUUGAUAGAUACUUAUGAUUUUUGUGUGAGCUUUUUGGUUUCUUAUGUAGUUGUGUUGUUGACAAUUUUUGUUGUCCUCUACAUAAAUCCACACUGGCGAAGAACUUGGUUUUCUCUUGUUGGGAAAUGCAUUACCACCUGUCGCUACUCAAAUGUGGGCAAUUUUCUUACUUAUCACAUUUUCAAGCAAUGUGUUUAGCUACUCAAAUUGUGAUUUGAUUUCCACACCUAAAUGUUUAAUUAUGCUAAGUUGAGCGAUAAUGAAUAUUUUGUUGAUUUUUGCAUUUUGAAUAAAGGCUCUUUUAUCUUAUGGUUUUAUCAUUUCCAACCAUCUAUUUCUUUUUUCUUCUACGAAAUUUAUUAUGUAUAUGCAAUAUCUCUUUGAAUUAAAUUAAAUUGACUGCCAAGAGUUCACUAAUGCAUACCGAAAAGGAAAUCUAAUGUAAAAUUAAACCAAACAUACUAAAAAAUUGAAUCUAAAAUUGGAAUAUUUUAAAACCUCACAAACAAUGCAAGUCUUUGUUCCUCUUUUCCUCUCAAGUCAUUUUGUAUCAUGUGAUAUUUUACAUAAUUAUUCGUAUCAUCGAAUUUUUAAAAAAUUUAAUAUAUUGAUAUCAUGUUCAUAUUAUGCUUUAAUUCACAAUGUAUUUUGUAUAAUGUGUUAUAACAAUUCAAUUAAAAAACAAGCAAUUAUCUUAUUUUUGCGUACCAUAUUAUACAUUGACAUGUUAAUAAUUCGUUGUACAUAAAUUUUGACAUGUUCGUAUAUUUGAGUCAUUAUAAUUUUAUUAUUUGUAAUAUGACAUGUUUUAAUUACCCUUAAUAUUGCGUCAUGAUAAUUAUAAAUCGAUUGGCAGUCUACCAAAUAAUUUUUCUAAUAAAAAAUAGUAUUUUAUUCUAUUUACCAAAUCUUUAUCAACUUUAUAUUCUCACCAACAAAACAUACAUUCAAAGUUCAAAUAAGUUCCGCACCCAUUUUUUUACUGCAAUACUCAAGAAUAUGCUCAUCAUCAGAAAUCUGAAAUAUUCCACUUUAAUUAACAUUAAUUAUGAUUCUGUAAACAACAAAAAAGUGUGAUCCUUUGAAAUGGGAUUGGCAAAAAAUCCGCACGUGUCGUGUGUGAAGAAGGUGAGGUUGUCUAUUCAUACUCUAAUAAGUAGCUAAUUAUAGUUGAUCCUACAAAAUCAAAAUUAAUUCAGGUAUCUAUAUAUUCUGAAGACUGGACAGACCUUAGAAGCUUCUUCAAAUUUGCAAGAACAUGUCGUGGUCCUAAACACUUUACAGCGAUGAAAUUCAAAAGUUGCUCUAUAUCCUGCAAUCACAGUAAAGAUUAUGCAAUCGUUUCAGAACGAAUAACAAGAAGCAAAAGGCGAUCAAAAUACCGUGAUCUCGAUAAUGUUCUUUGCCGAAAAGGAACAUUAACUUAACCUUAAAACAGCAGUGAAGGCUCACCAGAUUUGCUUAGCAACCUUACAUACACAUGUAAAAAAAGCUUUGCUUUUGGAUGUAAGGUGUGACUAUCAUCACAGUCUUUCCUAAUUAGCUGAUUGUAAUACCCAAUUUGCCCAGCCCACAAUAAAAAACCAAAUAAAUAAAAAUUAAUUAAAACUCAAAUAGUUCACAGCCCAAUAACAACAAAAACCAAACCCAUUUACAGUGACCCGGUACAAACCCAAAGUCAGAUACAUCUAGUCCAACUACACCCAGCCCAAAUACCAAGCCCAAUACAACUAUCAACCCAACCCUAGCCCAAAAAAAAAUCAGAAAACCCUAGCUGCAACAGCCCUCCUUCCAGCGCCGCAGCCACCAGGGCCUUCCCCGAGUGUGCUGUGCCACGUCCACCACCUCCUUACGCCAGCUAGCCUCCUUACCUGCAAAGAAGACGAAAACAACGCAGCAGAGAGAAUUUUUUGUAUUUUCUUUCAUUUUAUUUCGAAUAUUCGGCUAUAAAGAGGGAGAAGGCCAUUGUAAUCCUUUUUUACGCAUAUUGAAUACAAACAAAAAAUCAAAACAGAAAGUUUUUUCGAAAGGUGAUUUUCUUCGUUUUUUUUUCUCUUUUAUUUCUUUGAUUCUUUGUUUUCUUCUUUGGCACCAAACGAAAAUAAAAAGAGGGAGAGAAGAAGCGUCUUACCAGAGCAGACGCCAUUGGAACCUGGUUUGCUCCGUCUGAAUCGGAGUCAGAUUGGGUUCGUGACUGGAGACCGGUGGGGAGAAAGGCUAGGCUCUUGAUCUGUUUUAGGAUGGCAAUACAACUUAUUAGGGUUUUAUUUUUUUAAAUGGCUUCAAAACGUCUCCGUGUUGGUUGACCCGAUGAUCCGACUUGACCCGGGGAGGAUCCGCGUGUUUUGUUUCAAUGGCUUAUUUUAGUGUUUGAUGCUUCUUUUUUUGAUUUACUUCAUUUUAAUCCUUCUUUGUCUUUUUUAAUUUUGCCACAUAAUUCGUUCUUUAUUUCAAUUUCAUCCUUCUGUCAGUUGAGGAGACAAACGUUCGAAACGACGCCGUUUCCGAUGAUCUGACUUGAUUGCCAGGUGAGACUUGUGCGUUUAAUUUCUGUUCUAGUCACUCUAUUUUAAAUUAAUUUCAAUUAGGUCCUUUUCAUUUCAUUUUAUUGCAUGUCUUACCCCUAACUUUCUGUUUUAAUUCCAAAUUAGUAAUCUGUUUUGUUAUUUUUGCUAUCAAAUUAAUUACUUUAAUAUUAAUUUAUCAUUAUUACUAUUAUUACUAUUAUUAUUAUUACUAUUAUUAUUACUACUACUAUUAUUAUUAGUAUUAUUUUUUUAAUCAAUUUAUCUAACCUUUUUAUAUUCAUUAUUUUAUUCUAUUAUGCACUAUUAUUUUAAGUUUUUUUUAUAUUAUUAUCAUAUAUUAUUUAAUUUCAUAAUGAAUUAUUUUAUAUUUUUAUGUUAAUCCAAUAGAAUUUACCUUUUUUAAAUAGUUUUCUUAUAAUACGUAAUUUAUAUCUAUUACCUAUUUAGAUUAAUAUAUGUGUAUUAUUUUGGGUUUUAUUUAUUUUGACUUUCUUCUUAUAAUAUUUAUUUUAAAAUUCAUUUAGAUAUUAUUAUUCAUUUUUAAUUCUAUUUUUAAAUUAUUUCAAGUCUUCCUAUUAAUUACUUCUUUUAAACUUUUAUAUAUGUGUAUUUUGUGUAUAUAUGUUGAUAAUUUCAAAUUUCUUUUCUCUCAUGCUUUUUUUUUAGUUAUUUUAAAUUUGUUAUAUUUGUGAUAGGCUUUUAGGUCAUUAGCUUUCAAAUGUUGAUGUUAAUAUUUACAUGUGAUUAUUGCUCUUAUAUGUAUGAUAAUGUUUAUUUGUUUUUAUUGAUUAUUUGUCAUUCGUUAGAGUAUAUUUUGUUUACAAAUCGUCAUUCCGCGUUAUACAUUAUCGUCCCGUCGCAUUUUAUUCGUUGUUAAAAGGUUACGUUUAAUAUCAUUCAAGUAUCGAGAGCAUUUUUAUUCAAAAAGUUUUUUUCAAAAAUAACGCGACACUCGGAAUUUAGGAUCCUCGAAAAGAUUGUGUCCUAACUUAUUGGAUUCCAAUCUUCCUCGUUGAAUCUAAGAAACCGGGUAUCCUUUUUUAAUUAAAGCAUAAAUAAAAAGCUCAUUCUCGAAAAUUCGAUACGUCGNNNNNNNNNNNNNNNNNNNNNNNNNNNNNNNNNNNNNNNNNNNNNNNNNNNNNNNNNNNNNNNNNNNNNNNNNNNNNNNNNNNNNNNNNNNNNNNNNNNNNNNNNNNNNNNNNNNNNNNNNNNNNNNNNNNNNNNNNNNNNNNNNNNNNNNNNNNNNNNNNNNNNNNNNNNNNNNNNNNNNNNNNNNNNNNNNNNNNNNNNNNNNNNNNNNNNNNNNNNNNNNNNNNNNNNNNNNNNNNNNNNNNNNNNNNNNNNNNNNNNNNNNNNNNNNNNNNNNNNNNNNNNNNNNNNNNNNNNNNNNNNNNNNNNNNNNNNNNNNNNNNNNNNNNNNNNNNNNNNNNNNNNNNNNNNNNNNNNNNNNNNNNNNNNNNNNNNNNNNNNNNNNNNNNNNNNNNNNNNNNNNNNNNNNNNNNNNNNNNNNNNNNNNNNNNNNNNNNNNNNNNNNNNNNNNNNNNNNNNNNNNNNNNNNNNNNNNNNNNNNNNNNNNNNNNNNNNNNNNNAAACUAAAUUUACUUUGUACUCAAUUACAAAUGUUAAGAAAUAUUUUACAAUCUAAUAAAUAAAUUUUUUAAUUAAAUUCACCAUAUUAAAUAAAAAUUUUAAAGCACCUAAAAUUGUCAAAUACAUUCUUUUGAAUUUUAGAAUUUAUGAAUUCCGAAACAGACUUUCAGCAUCUCAAAUUCUCUAUUUAAAUUUCACCUACAUAGUUUUUCUAGAAAUUCUUCAAAACUUCAUUUAUUUAAAUCAAUGGUUCUAUUAUAAAAUAGAGAAUUUAAAACUAAAAAGAUAUUAUUUUUAUUUAAAUCUAAUAUGCAUAUUUUUCUCUUUACAAAAAAUAAAUUUUCAAAAUCCAGGUCUACUAUUAAUACUGUUGAAAUUAUUUUAUUAAAUCCAUAUUCAUUUCGUCAUCUUUUAAUUACAUUGUUAUCAAGUUCUUUUAUUUUAAAAAAAGAUCACACUUUUUAGUUGUUUACAGAAUCAUAAUGUUAAUUAGAGUGGAAUAUUUCAGAUUUCUGAUGAUGAGCAUAUUCUUGAGUAUUGCAGUAAAAAAAUGGGUGUGGAACUUAUUUGAACUUUGAAUAUAAACGAACGUGUCAAAAAUUUAAGUACAACGAAUUAUUAACAUGUAAAUGUAUAAUACGGUAUGCAAAAAUAAGAUAAUUGCUUGUUUUUUUAAUUGAAUUGUUAUAACACUACACAAUACAUUGUGAAUUAAAGCAUAACAUAAAGAAUUGCAUUGUUUGUGAGGUUUUAAAAUAUUCCAGUUUUAGAUUCAAUUUUCUAGUAUGUUUGGUUUAAUUUUACAUUAGAUUUCAUUUUCAGUAUGCACUAGUGAAUACUUGGCAGUCAAUUUAAUUUAAUUUAAAGAGAUAUUGCAUAUACAUAGAAAGAAAUAGAUGGUUGAAAAUGAUUAAACCAUAAGAUAAAAGAGCUUUUAUUCAAAAUGCAAAAAUCAACAAAAUAUUAAUUAUCGCUCAACUUAGCAUAAUUAAACAUUUAGGUGUGAAAAUCAAAUCACAAUUUGAGUAGCUAAACAUAUCGCUUGAAAAUGUGAUAAGUAAGAAACUUGCCCACAUUUGAGUAGCGACAGGUGGUGAUGCAUUUCCCAACGAGAGAAAACCAAGCUCUUUGCCAGUAUGGAUUUAUGUAGAGGACAACAAAAAUUGUCAACAACACAACUACAUAAGAAACCAAAAAGCUCACACAAAAAUCACCUAUCAAACCAUCUUCUCCUUUAUCUUCUGAUACAGUUAAUAUCGUUGAUGGCGAAUCGAUUUUGGAACAACUUUUAUGCAAUAUAGCUCCACAAAGAAAAGGAUUUCCCUCAUAACUGUUUUCAAUAAAGGUCCCAAAUUGAGCUUUUUCGGGAAUACUACCUGACAAGUUGUUGUAUGCCACGCUGAAAACCUCCAAAGAGUUCAACUCUACCAACUGAUUGGGGAUUUCACCACUCAAAUUGUUGUAAGAAAGGUCCAAACUCUCAAUUUGAUGUAGUUUUGCGAAUGACGAGGGUAUAACUCCUGUCAACUUAUUGUGCGACAAGUUUAAAGAAUGGAUUUCACUUAAGUUCCCUAAUUCUGGUGGGAUAUGACCAGUUAAGUUGUUGCAAGAUAAAUCAAUCCCGGUCAUAUAUGAAAGGAUGUUGUCCUCGUACAAAAAGAACCCACUCUUUGUUGUGAACUCUAUUACUUCUUCUAAGUAGCUGUCAGGAUAGUAAGAAUCCAUUCCCAAAUUUAGUAUCAUACUGCGUGUUGUUUCAUCCUCUUCUAUAGGCCCAUAGAACUCAGUGUCUAGAAUCUUCUUCGUUUGCAUUAGAAGAGAUAAAUUUCCCAAGCAAGAAGGUAUAGGACCAGAAAACAUAUUUUGAGAAAGAUCUAUGAUGCUUAAAGAAUGCAACUUGCAUAACUCAACAGGAACUUUACCAUGAAAAUGAUUAUCUUUCAAGAGAAGAACACUCAAAGAAGAAAGCGUGUAAAUCCAUUUUGGAAUACUACCUGUCAAAUUGUUUCCUCUAAGAUCUAAAGUCACUAUUGAAGAGCUAUUAUAAAAAGCAAGCGACAGUGGGCCUCUCAGUCUAUUCCCGUGGAUGUGGACAUGCUCUAUGUAUGGUGGAUUAAAACAUGACGGUAUAGAGCCAGAUAAAUUAUUCUGAGAAAGAUCCAAAAAUUCCAACCUAUUCAACUUGCAAAAUUCCAUUGGAAUAGAACCUUCAAAACCAUUAUUAGACAAAUCUAAUCUCCACAAAAAUGAUGCAUUCCCUAUCCAUCUUGGGAGCUUUCCAUGCAACUUGUUGUUACUGAGAUCAAUUUCCCAUAGUGAAUUUGGAAACUCAAAAGUAGACGCAUUAACAUUUGUCAUCUCUCCUGAAAAAUUGUUUCCAUCCAAAUAUAAAUUCUCCACCCCAUUCACGCUGAGAAUCACAGGAACUACAUUUCCA